UUUUAUUUUUUUUUGUGGUGGUAGGAUGUUGGGUAAAUGUUUUUGUAGAUUUAAAUAGGGCCAAAAUGUUAAUGUCCUCAAAAUUCUAUGACAAGAAUGGAACUUGUUUCUCUCAUAUGGCUUUUUCAAAAACAUCUAAUUCAUAUUGCACUACCACAUCACAAAGGGUCAUUCAAUCAAAUACAAGAAUCAAUUUCAAGGAACCAACAAAUUUAAUUAUUUUCUUAAUCAUGUGAUUCACAUAACUCAAAUCAAUUAAUCACUAUACCAAAUAUUUUCUCUUUAUUGAUCAAGAAGAGAGAGGUGUGGGAUGCUUUGUUUGGAUGCAAAGAAACUUUAUUGAUGAACCUCACCCUUCACAGAAUUACCAACCUUUCAAAAUUGGAUCUUGAAUGGUUGCUACCCCACAUAUAUUAUAGCUUGUGGGGAGGUUCAUUGUAACAUCAACAUCAUUCCUACUCUCAGGAUACUAAUUAAACACUUAACCCAUGUGCAAUGCAACAACUCUCUUUAUUAAGUAUUCUAUAUAUGUUUCCAUAGUCCUUGUCUAUGGACCCAUGACAUAAAAGGAUUGGGUUCUUUUGGAAGCUCUUUUUCUAUUUUCAUUUCCAUUGCCACAGCUUUUUCAAAUGUCUCUGAUGAUGUGGUUGCUUCUCAUGGUCGGUGGUCGCCUUCACUACAAUUGCUUUGAUUAAAUGCCAACAACAACUCUAUCUGAUGUUUCAUUAAUUUUCUUUGAAAGAUUCUUCAUUCAUCAUCUCUCACUUCCAAGCUAUUGAUCUAUCCAUGUUUCUUCCUUUAGAAACCCACCCUAGCUCUCUUAAAAUUAUUUUUAAUAACAUAUUCCAACUUAAUUACUUUCCCUCUAUAAUUAAUUUCUCCUUCCUAUCUCCAAGAUUAUCUCCCUAAGAUUUUGAUCCUUUUACCUUUAAGGUAUUAGUCAAAUUUGCUAAAACCAUUAGGGUAUUUGAUAAAACUUAAUAUUUAUUAUUUAAUAAUUUAAUUGAUUUUAAAUUAAAUUGUUCUUAAGUUGUUAACUUAAAUUUAUCAAUUAUUCUUUAAAUAUUAAAAUUGUUUGAUAAAGCUAACUUAAAUUUUAUUCUAUAUCGUGAAAUUCACAUAUUUAUUUUUAUUAAUUUUAACUUAUUUAUUUUCAUUAAUUUUAAAUUGUAAAUUUAUUAUGAAUGUAUAUUUAAAGUAUGGUACAUAUAUAAGAUAACAAUAAAAUAUUUAUUAUAAAAAAUAAAUCAUGGAUAAUUUUAAAAUAUACUUUUAUUAUUGUGGGUAAAUCAAAGAAAAAAGAUUGGAGAUUAAGAAUAAGUUAAUCAAUUUGAUUUAAUAUUUAAAAUUAAAAAUAACUUUAAGUUGUAAUAUUAAGUUAUUUUAUCAAAUAUGUUUAAGCUAUUUAGUGACUUAAUUAAAUUAUUAAAUUAUAUUAAAUCAUUAAGUUAUAUUAAAUCAUUAAGUUGAUUAAUUUACCAAACACUAAGACUUCGCUUUUGGAUGCUUGGAAAAUUAACUUUACAGUGUAUAAAUUUGAAUUGUUGAGUGAAGUUAAAAAAGAAAAUUGGGAGUUAGUGGGGAUAACUUAAGGAGACUAAGGUUAAAGAAAGGACUUAAAUAUCAAGAAAUGAAACCACUAUUUUCAUACUGUUGUCACAUCUGAUAAUAUAGAAAAACCCAUAAAUUUUUUUUCUUUUCCUCUUCCCAAGAUUUGACACUGGAUCUCCUUAUCACUUUCUGAUUGAUCCUUUGUUUCCCCAGUGUCAUUACUGGACAUGCCAGUUAUAUUGAAUGGUCCGGCAGGGCAUAAAGUUGGAUCCGUUAAUAUAUAGAAACCAUGACAGUGGUGUGAAUGUGAUAAGUGUAGCUGGUGGAGAUGCCUUGGCGCUGAUGUUUGCAUGAGAUAAUAUUGAUGACAUUUAAGCAAAACAGAGGAAAGGGAGAGGGAAAGAAAAAUAAAAAAUAAAAAAUAAAAACCAUUACAUUAUUACUUUAUCACACUUAAAAGAUCAAUAUACAUAUUUAAGGAGAUGGGCCUCAUUAUCUCUAGUACGUACCGAUCACAUAUGUAUCAUCAUCCUAGACUAGAAAUACAAGCUUAUUGAUGGGGAUGUGAAAAGAACACUACUCAAGUCCAUGGACGGAGCCCUUGAUGAGCUGUGGCAUUGGUGGGAUGCUCUGUUCAUGCCUGAAGAAGUUAUCUGGAUCAACCUUGGUCUUUACAUGUACCAAUCUGUUGAAGUUGCCCUUGAAGUACUUGGCACCCCAAACACUUGCCUGUAUGAAGCUUGUGUUACUGUUCUUGUUGAUGCCCAAAUCCAGAUCCCUGUAAUUUACAUAUGCAGCUCUAGGGAACAUGGAAACAUAAGGAGUCAUGUAGCAGUAAAGCCUUCUUAUCCAUUCCAUAUGGUUUUUCGUGUUCUUCUCCCCAUCUUGCCAUGUUGUUAAUAACUGGAUUUUAAAUAUGUUGCCCUUUCGAUGAGGGAAUGGAAUUUCAGACUCUGAAAUCUUACUCAUCAUUCCACCAUAAGGAUUCCAUAUCAUCAGUGGAGACUCUUCUUCUAAUAACCUCGUCCACAGCCCUUCAAGGGCGUUUUCAGGGAUGGGUUCCUUCACAAAGUCUGAUUUGGCCUUGAAAUAGUUCUUGAAUGUUGAUUUCCCCUGUAGAAGAACUUCAGGGGGUGUUCCACUUGGGUAGCCCCCGAUGUAAAGCACUGAUCUGAUCCAGCUCAUUUCAGUACAAUCCUUCAUUGUCAAACCCAACUCUGGGAAGCUCUCUCCCAUUAUUUGGAGGAGUCUGUCCACCCCACCCAGAAACAGUGAGUUGAAGGCAGCGCUGACGGUUUUAUUACCUUUUUCAUUUGCCUUCACUGAUAUGAUGACUCUAAUGAAGAGAUCUUCAUGGAGCUUAUCUGCAACUUGUUGCCAUCUAUAGAGGAGCUUUGUUGCCCCUUGCUCUAAGGCUCUUCCCACUGUGAAAACUGUCACGGUUGAUGGAACAGGAACCAACCUUAUUUUCCACCAGAGAAUGAUCCCAAAGCUGGCUCCUCCGCCUCCUCUAAUAGCCCAAAACAGGUCUUCUCCCAUGGAUUCUCGGUCAAGAAUUCUGCCAUGAACAUCAACAAUCCGAGCAUCCAUCACAUUGUCAGCACCCAGUCCAUAUUUUCUCAUCAUGGAUCCAUAAGCACCUCCGGUGAUGUGCCCACCAAUACCCAAGCUUGUGCAGAGGCCGGCUGGGAAGCCAUGAGUCUUGCUUUUCUCAUAAAUUCUGUAGUAAACUUCACCAACAGUGGCACCAGCCUGAACCCAUGCACUAUUGUCAUCUAUAUCAACUUUGAUGCCUCGAAGCCUGGCCAGGUCCACCAUAAUGAAUGGCUUUUCCAUUUCAGAAACAUAAGAAAGGCCCUCAUAGUCAUGGCCACCGCUCCGUACUCUCAUGUGAAUAGAAAGCUGCUUUGAACAAAUAACAGCUGCUUGGACAUGGGUGUCAUGCAUUGGAGUAAAGAUAAACUCAGGCUUGGGUGCAGAUGGCACCAAAUACCUGAGGUUUUGUGCAGAAGAUUGCAGAAAAGCACUGAAAGAAGUGGUGUUUGGGGUGUAAAAGGCAGUGGAUACUGGGAUAAGAAUCUCGGAAUUGAGAGAGACACAUUGGGAAAACUUUUCUAGAAUAGGAUCUGAAGCUGUCACUGAAGCUGAUAGCAGAAUGAAAAGUAAUGGAAACAUGGCAAAAUUUGAAUACACCAUUGCUUCUCUCUGCUUUCUUAAUCAGCUGUUUGUGUUGAGCUCAAGUGUCUGGACAGUCUUAUUUAUGGACAGAGAGGCCUGGUCACAGACUCACGUCUACUUGAGCUAAUGCGAACGUCACUUUGAAGGUGUUGAGAUGAUUAGGAGAAAGUGAGUCCCUUACCAAUUAUGCUUCCCUUGAAAUUCAGCCUUAGAAGGAAUACCAUGGUUGAAUGUGGGUCACUUCCAACUACCCAAUCAACCUUCAUAAAAAUAAAGUGAGACUUUCAAGAAUCAAUUCAAGAAGGUUUUAUCUUUUUCCGCAAAAUUGGGCCAUUAAAUUUCAAAUGGUAACUUUUAGAGAGCUUCAAAUAUAUGGACUGCUGAGAGUUUUGAGUCAAGGGUACUCUUAAUCCUGAACCAGUUCUCUAGGGAAAGACCUCCUUCAUGGGCGGCUUUGACACCUACAAUUCAUUGUAGUACAAGACAGUAUUAAAAUAUUAAUCCUAAUAUCAAUAAUUUUAUAUGUAAAUGCUCUACAUGUGAUACUUUGUAGGCAAGACAGUAUAAAACUAUAGUCUUACCAUGAAGUGGCUUAAUCUUUUAAACAUUUUUUUAAGGAGUGAGAUUCUUUACAUAUCAUAAAAUAACUCAUUUAAAAAUAACAUUGGAUGGGUUAAUAUAUUUAUAAAAUUUUUAUUCUCAACAUUAAAAAAAAAAAAAAAAAGGGAAAAGUUGAAAUUGGAUAAGAGAAAUUUUGUUUUAUUAAAGUUAAACUUUAUUCUAUUUAUUUACACAUUUCCUUCCUUUGCCUUUUCUCUCUCUUCCUUUUCUUUUCUCUCCCUUUCUUUGCUUUCUUUUCAUUCAAUAUCUCAAAACUUAGCUUUGGCAUGUUUAGCCUUGGACAUUGGGAAACGUCCUUCCCUGGUAAGAAUUGAAAGAAGAAUUCAUGUCAUCUUUCCCUGUUAAUAUUCAUUACAAUUUUCAGCCCUUCAAAAAACUUAAAAAGACCAAACUUUUUUUCCCAAAAGGAAAAAGAAAAAGAAAAGAAGUCAAUAAAUUUUUUUUAGGGAAUUUCAAAGUCUAUAGAUAUUGCCCUCAAAAUUGGUUAAACCAUGUGACAGCCAUUUGUUGCGUGGAUUGUGGUUGAUGUUUAACAAUUUUCCAAGUGAAGAGUAGAAAAAAUCUCAUGUAGAUUGCCAAGGAAGUAGGACCUAAAUCCUGAAUCCUGUCUCAACCUUUUUGUUGCGUGGAUUGUGGUUGAUGUUUACUGUUUUCUUCUCCAAUAUCCCAUUGGAAAUGGGCAAAUAGUGCCCCUCUUUACACAUUUUGAUUUCCCUUUUCUCAUUCAACAGUUGUCACCCCCUCUAGUCAACAUUUACCAUCAUACCAAUAUCACUUCGGGUGGCGUUCAAGUUUCCAUUUGGUUUAACUUUUCCAACUUCUCUCUUUGAAGAGAAGAAUGUCCUUAAUUGCUUUCAUAUUUGUUCCGGGUCAAAAACGGAAGGAAAUAUGGAGUGCAUGUUUGUUCAUUGUUGUCCAAUAAAUAACACAACACAUUUAAGAACAAAAAUAUAAAAAACAACUUCAAAACAUUCCAAAUUUUUAAAUAUACUUUCAUUCUGAAAAACAUUUUAAAAAAAUAUUAUUUUUAAAAAUUGUUCUAAACAUAACGUUUCUAAAUAGGCUUUAAUUUCUAGAAUAUUUAUAAAAUUGAGAAUAUUUUCUUUCUAUGAGAAUGAAAAUAUUAAAUGAAUUUAAAACUAAAUUAAAAAGGUAAAAAGACAGAUAUUAACUUUCUCGAUAAGAUCGAACUAAAAAGCAUGAUUUAGUUUAAUAAUCUCUUAUUUUACUUUAUGAUAUAGAUCAAAUUUAAUUCUUUUUAUAUUUAUUAUUUAAUUUAAUGUAUAAAUAAUGAUAAAGAUAUAAAUCAAGAUUUAAUUUUGAUUUCUUGAUGAUUGCAUAAAACUCACCCUUUAUCAUGGAUAGAAUUUGUCUAAAUCUUUUAAAAGGCAUCAACUUUGCCUUUACUUUAGGAAAAAGCCUAACACGUGCGAGAGGAAGCAAAAGGAAAAAAUUAAAAAAAGAAAAAGGGAAAAGCAAAAGAAGUAGGUGAAGGGGCACCUCCAUUCAUUUAUGCAUUGGUUGCAUGAGUUAAUAGUGAAAAAUCAAAAGCAAAGUGUGGGCACGCAAUUACCCUUUACCAGUCAAAAAAAUCUCACUUUAAAGUCAACAUUUACCAAUGAUGUCGGAAAGCAAUACAUGGGUUAAAAGAGUCAAAUUCUCGAUGUUACUUUGAUGACUUGAAAAGUUAAGGCCAUUUUUGUGGUUGUUUUUCAAAAUAGUUUCGAGUUGUCCAAAAAAGUAAAAUGCAUUCCAUAAUCAAAAAGUAAAAAACAAAUAUUGAGAACCUUUUUAAAAAAUAGUUAUAGAAUAAUUAAAAAUAAAUUAUUAUAUAUAAAAACGGUUCAUUUGUAAAAUAUAGAAAACAAGUUAAAAAUAAUUUGUUUCUAAACAUACUUUUAUUUUAUAAAAUAUCAUAGAAUAUUUUUCAAAAAUUGUUAUUUAAAACUAUUUUUCAAAACUAUUUUUAAAAAUACUUUCCAAACGGAGUCCAAGACUUUGUUUGACAACUAUUUUUGAAAAAAAAAAUGUUUUUCAAAACAAAAAAGUAGGAAGCAUGAGUAACAACCAAAAAAUAAAAAAUAGUUUUUUAUUCUUAAAAAUAAAAAAUAUGAUGUUUUCAUAUAACAUUUUUUAAUUGUUUUUACUUAUUCUUUAUAGUUAUAUUAAAAAAUAAUUAUACAAAUAUAGAAAUGAUUAAAAAUAAAGUAUUACAUAUAAAAGUUAUUUUUAAAAAUAUAUUUGAAAAAUGUUUUCUAAAAACACGUUUCAAAUCAAGCUUAGAUCAAAAUCACCAUCUUUAUUUUUUGUAGCAAGUAAAUACAAUGCAUUCACUCUUUUGGAAUAGUUUUUUCAUGAUGCUGAAGGGAAUUAAGCCAAAUUCCCAACCUGUAAUAAACAAAAAAUAGAGAAAACACACGCCAAAGAAAAACAAUCACACGCACAAGACAGUAUUUACGUGGUUCGGCAAUUUGCCUACGUCCACGAAGUUGCAGGGAUAUCAUUAUUAUCAAGGAAGAAUAUAGAGUACAACAUGCGGCUACAAUAUUUUCUCUCUAUAUAUAACACAACAACAACACCACACUAAAAAACCCUAAUUAUGAAAGGCGGUUCCACAAUAGGCUAAAUGGGCUAUCGGCCCAAGCCUUCGCUCCAUGGACUAAGCCUCAAUAAAUCUCCCAUUAAAAAACCACACAAUAUUAUUCGGGUCGGGUCGUCAAACUGGAUCAAACAAAACUAGGCUCCACAAAGCCCAACAAAUCUCCCACUUGGAGACUAGUUCAAUCACCAACAUCAAACCGCUAUCCUCCAAGAAACAAUCCCUCAUCCCUGCAACUUAUCCUCCUAUUCUCAAGCUAGAAGACCAAUUGAAGUUGCGCACAGCUUUAACUUCUCAAUAGUGACACCCUUAGUCAACAUGUCUGUCGGGUUCUUAGAUCCACAAAUCUUCUCAAGUAUUACUAGUUUAUCUUCAACAAGGUAACAGAUAAAGUGGUAUUUUGUUUGUAUAUGCUUCGACUUUGAAUGAAAAACCGAAUUUUUGGCAAGAAAAAUUGCACUCUAAUUAUCACUGUGUAGAAUGCCCAUCUCCUGCUUCUUACUCAAUUCAUCUAAGAAACCAUAUAGCCAAAUCAUCUCCUUUCCAGCUUCAGUUGCUGCAACAUACCCAACUUCUGUAGUAGACAAAGUAACAAUCUUCUGAAGAUUUAAAGCCCAUGAUAUAAUUGUACCACCUAGAGUAAAAACAAACCCAGUAGUACUCUUUUUACUAUCAAUAUCACCAGCAAAAUCAGUAUCUACAUAACCCUGCAGUUUCAAACUUGCACUUGUGAAGCAAAGACAUGUAUCUAAUGAACCCUUCAGAUAUCUUAGAAUCCACUUGACUGCCUCCCAUUGCUGCUUUCUAGGCCUACUCAUGAAUUUGCUCACAACUCCCACUGCAUGUGCAAUGUCUGGCCUUGUACACACCAUAGCAUACAUCAAGCUGCCAAUAGCUGAGGCAUAGGGCACAUUGCUCAUAUGGUCCCUUUCUUCUUCUGUCUUCGGUGACUGUUCUUUGCUUAGUUUGAAAUGACUACCCAAUGGUGUACUCACUGGUUUAGCUUCAUUCAUGUUGAACCUGCUGAGAACUUUCUUCACAUACUCUGACUGUGAAAGCUUCAAUGUACCAUUAGCCUUGUCUCUAAUGAUUCUCAUACCAAGGAUUUGCUUGCAACUCCCAAAUCCUUCAUUGCAAAUUGUUUGGACAAUUACUUCUUCAGAUUAUUAAUCUUCUCAAUGCCAUACUCUGCAAUAAGCAUAUCAUCCACGUACAACAGUAAUAUGAUGUAAGAAUUUUCAAAAGACUUAACAUAGCAAUAGUGAUCAGCUUCACAUCUCUUGAACCUAAUUCUAUGCAUAAAACUGUCAAACUUCUUGUACCACUAUCUAAGAGCUUGUUUAAGUUCAUACAAGCUCUUUCUCAGUUUGCAGACUAAAUUCUCUUGUCCUUGAACAAUGAACCCUUCUGGUUGAAUCAUGUAAAGGUCUUCCUCCAAGUCACCAUGAAGGAAUGUUGUCUUCACAUCUAUCUGCUCAAGAUGUAAGUUUUCUACAGCCACCAUUCCCAGUACAAGUCUAAUUGUUGACAUCUUCACAAUUGGAGAAAAUAUCUUUGUGUAGUCAAUGCCCUCCUUCUUAGAAGUUCAUUUUUCUUAGAAGUUUUGUAUUUAUAGAGUUCACACUUGUUGUAAUUAUUAGAAGUUUUGACUAAACCAAACCGACUACACCUAAUUUAGUCAAUUGUCUUUCAUGAAAUUGAAUUCAACUAAACCAAUUGAUUCUCUCUUUAGGUUUGAUUCUUUUAGUUCUCAUAAGAUCUCAUAGGAUGCAAAUCGAUUAGAUCCAUUCAAUUAGAUUUUAAUGCUCCAAACUAAGUAACUUGAAAUGUGUAGAUGUUCACCCAAGGAUUGAGUAAUCCUGAUUUUGAUGACAACAAAAUAAAGGUUAAAGGAUACUACUGUAUUCAUUGUUCAAGUACAUAGGUUCAAAAGAGCUUCAUCUUUGUAUAUGCCAUAAAUCCCCUGUACAACGCAAAAUGAAAGAUUCAAGGGGAAGAUGCAAGAAGAUUUCAUAAUAUUUGCAAAGUUCUUAGUAAAACUUUUUACUUGAUUUCUCUUGUAAUCAGGUAUGUGUGUUUGACAUGAGGAUGAUUUAAGCUACCUAGCAUAGGAGACUCCAUUGAACCUCAAGUUAUUCAUGAAAAAUCCUUAAGUCUUGGUAAAAACAAUUAUUAAAUUUACCAAAGUGCCCUCAACUUUGAAAAUCUUUCCAAAAUAUUGGUUAAGUUUUAAAUAGUUUUAUUGGAAAUUGGCUAUAGUAAAAAACUCAGUCAGAAUUGGAUUUUAUUUCAAGAAGGAGCACAUGUGGACAUCCACUUGGACGAUCACUUACCUUUUGAGGUGAUUUUUAGCUAUUGGAAGCCAUAUGGACGUUCACUUGAAUGACUACUUGGCAAUGUAGAUGACUAUGUGGAUAUCCAAAUUUGCCUUUUAGCCUCUAACAACUCUUUACAACUCAUUAAAUAUUCCAACAACUAGUAUGUGGGUGGCUAUGUGGACAACCGGUUUUAGGGGUUUAAUUCUAACGACUAGUUUGACUCCAAACCUUAUUUAAACCCGAUCCUUAGUGCAUUUAAAAAGAAACAAGAACUUGAAAAUCACAUUUACUGUUCAUUUAACUUUCUUAAAUUCACAUGUGCUUUAUUAAAAAGCACUUGCAUUGAACUUCUACAUCUCUUGUAUACCUACUCUUUUAGAGAUUUCUAUUCAUUUAUUCCCUUUUGUACUUAAGAGAAUUAGUAUGUAUAAAGUUAAGGAAUAUUCUUUGAUUGAUGUAAAGGUCUAUUAGACCCUAAAAAUCGAAGCGCACAAAAUAUUUAAGAGCUUUGGUGGAGAAAGCUUUUGAGAUAGCAAAAAUACCUCCAAACUUGGGGAAGAAGCUAGAACAAGUGGACGUAAGUCGUUAUCAAACCAUUAUAAAUUAAUUACUAUUUGCAAUCUCUCUUGAUUUCUAACUUCUUUUUAUUUUGUUUCAUUUUCCAUUCAUUUAUUAAUAUUCUAUUUAUUGUUAGUAUAAAUGUAAAAAAUAUUUUAUUUUAUUCUCACCUAAUUCACCCCCUUUGGUGUACUUUUAGGUUGGAUUAGUAAUUUCAAUGAACCCUAAGCCCUACUUAAAAUGUUUGGUUAAAAUUUAAGUACUAUGAUGUAAAGGUUGUUUUCAAUAAAGUUAAAAGUGAAAUGAUUCAUAAAAGAGCUUCUAUUAGAGAUUUUGAAAUUAGCUAUCAUUAUCUUAAGUACUCCCAUUCAAACUUUUCAAUUAUUGUUAGUCAACAUGUGAAUAGCAAUUUUUAGACCUACUUAAUCUCCUUUAAGUCAUGUCCAAAAAAUGGUUGGAGUAUAUUAUAAUAAUCUUACUAUGGAUGUUAUAGUAAUUGAUAUUUAAUCUUUUUUUACAUUAUUUAUCUUUUAUAUAUAUAUAUAUAUAUAUAUAUAUAUAAUUAUUAUAACUAUUGGAAUAAGGAUAAUAAAUAACCAUGAUGGUGAAGCCACUGUAGUUAGCCAUAGGUUGGUAAGUCCUUGUUUUUUCAUCUUCCUAUUACACAAAUUAUGAUUCUUUAGACUUUAUUAAUUAAGAAUUCUUCUUAUUUAGAAUGCAGAUUUUGAGAAAUCCUCAAGCAUAAAAUCUACUUUUUCAUUCUAAUUAGAAAGGCCAACCAUCAAGAUGGUGAGAAAGAUCGUCAUUAUUGAAUCAUUAUAUUUCCUUGUGGGACUUAAUGAAGUAUGCCUGUAACCAUGGUUCAAAGUCGUGGUAUCGGUCACUGACUCGGAGGGUCUUGAGGAGUAUCGGUCUUAGUAUAUCGGCUUGGUAUAGGAUGAUACAUAAAAUAAGCUAAUUAGAAUAUUUUAAAAAUAUAAAAAUAUCAUCUAAAUUAUCAGAAAAAUAUGUAUAAUUAAAUAAGCUAAAAAAUUAAUAAAACAAAAUUGUCUCACAUUUAACAUUAUUUAAAUAGUUAUAAAAACAUCCAUUGAAAGUUAUUUAUGAUAGUGCUAAUAAUAGAAAAUUAUUUUUUUUCAAAUAUAAUAAUAAUUUUACUAAAAGACAUACAAUAUAAUAAUCAAUUCCAUGUUGAAUAAAAAGGGGACUCGAAAUCAUCAUCAUUAGUCCUAUGACAAGUAUACAAAUCGGGACGGUAAUUCCCAUAGUGAGGAUAUAGUUGAAAAAAUUGUUCAAAACUUGAAUAUGUUGUUUGAGAUGAUUGGCUUGAUGAUCCAUAAUCAGGAAAAUAUGGCUUUGGAGGCUAUUCGGGCUCAACACCAUAUUGAUAGCAUCUAAAACCUCGAUAGGAAAUGUUGUUGCUACUAGAAGAUUGAUCAUAUCCGUAGGAAUCACUAGCUCGUGUUCCAGUAUUUGAAUAUCCCUCUAGAUGCAUCCUUGGAAGUUGAUCAAAAUCAUUUCUGCUAAAAGUACUAGAAGAGCUAUCAUAGUCUCUAAACUUGUGAUAUGAUCUAUCAUCUACUCCAUUGAAAUAUGACAUUGAUUUUAUACCCAAAAUCUACAAGUGCUCAUCAAUACGGUGAUAAUCGGAUCUAUGAUAAUCAUGCCCACUGGAAUAGUCAUCACCAUUGGGAAAUGGAGUUAAUCUUUCCAAAUGAUUUCAUUGUUCCCAUAUGCAUGAUCUGUAUCUUGUGUAGCAUAGUAAUUUUCAUCUCCUUGUGCCCAUGACAUGUCAGGAUCUGCUUGACUAACAUAAUCACCACCAACACCACCACCACCUCCAGUACUCUUACCAGUGCCACCACCUCCUCCACUACCCCCACUAGUGCCACACCCCACCUACUACUCCCAUUGUCACCAUCAUCACUACUGGAACUUGAAGAAGCUAUUUUAAGAGCCUUACCUUUAUGCUGAGAAUCAAUAUCUUUUUCUUGUGUAGCAUUACUUGUACGCCUACUAACUCCAAGACUUGUGGUACCAUCAUAUUCAUGAGUUGUUUCUCUACCUUCUUCAUUAGGAGGAAUACCUUCAUCCAACCAAUCCAAAUUAUCAUAUGAUAAAAUAGGUUUCUCUCCUUCUCGUAUCCACUCAUCUAAUAUAUCAUCAUCAUUAAAGAUAUGAUUUAGAUUAAUGGAUUGUAUAAAUCUUCAUUGUUUUGCUCUUGCAACAAUUUCUUAACCCAAAACCGCAUAUUGUAGUACACAUAAACUAACUUAUGCAACUUUUUCAUUGUCAAACGGUUGCGUAGCUUUGUAUGAAUUAAUGACCAUGUGCUUCAAUUUCUUUUACAACCUGAUAAAGAACAAGUUUGGCUUAAAUUUUAACAACAAUAUUAAUUUUUUAUAGAUGUGGACCUUCGUUGCCAUAGUUGUUCCACCAUUUUGUUAUUAUAAAGAAAAUGCGUAUUUAUUAAUUACCAUGAUAUAUUUAACAAAAAAUGAUGAUAAUUUCUUAUUUGAAUAGAAAUAAAUGUAUUGAGUACCUAGAAGAGAUUGAUUUAUUGCUUUCUUUGUAAGUGCACUUCCAAAUUCUCAUUGGCCUUCAACAAAUAAUUUCACCUACAUCAUUAACAUUUUCUUUUUUUCUUUUUUCUUUUGUUUUUUUUUUUUGUUAAUGCACAUUACAUAUACAAAAUGUAUUAUAUAAAGUGCACAAAUUAUUAUUUUAUCUCGUUAAUAGUUUUUGUUUGUCUAUCCAAAUUUGGCUCUAAUUUCUUAAUAACCUCCUUUAAUCUAAUUUAAUUUUUGGAUGAUUGGAGAAAUGCUUCGAAUAUUGAAACAUUGGAUUUAAAAAAUAUGUUGCCAUAAGUUAAAUAAUGAUCAGUUUAUAAUAAUUUGUACUUGAAAAAAAUAAUAAAAAUAUAUAUAACAUGAAUAAGUAUUCAUAAAUUCAAACUUUACUUAUCAUAGAAACUUUAACAAUUAAAUAAAAUUUAUAAACUCAUUAAGAUAAUAUAAGUAAAAAAGUUUGAAUUCUUUCUCCUCUUUUUAUAAUUUUUAUAUUUGAACAAAAUAAUAUAUAAUUUAAUUAAAAAUAAUAAAUAAAUAAAAUGCACAUUCAGGUUUAGUAGGUUGCCCACACCUUCAACUCAUGUCCCUCAUUUUUUCAUAUUGAUAUCUUUUUAACUUAAGUUUGAUCCUAACCUAUUAACAUCUUCCCCACACCAAAUCAAACAUCAAGCUGGACAAGUCUGCAACCGUAGACUUAAGUCUUAUUUUAAUUUUUUUUUUUCUUUUCUUUUCUUCUCUUUCAAUUUUCUAAAUACGUUAAUGAAUUUAAUAUUAAAUAGCUUAUAUUUCAAUUAGUCAAUUAAGAAUCAAAGGUGAUAAAAUACAUAUGGCUAUGAUAUAAAAGUGAAAUUUGGCGAGACUUAAAAUCCAUUUUAUAGUGAUUCUAAUAAGUGUUUUUGUUAGAAUUUUAUCUAUACUAACCUAAGGUAAUCACCCUAGGGGUGGGGGAGUGGAAUAGGGUGAAGACCUCGUUUCAAAAAUUUAAACUAUAUGAUGAAAUAAAUAUAAUGAAAAAAUAAUUGCAUAUAAAAUAAAGGGAGUAGUGAAGAAAGAAUGCAAAAACAAAAUUUUUAUAGUGAUUCACCUUGCCUACAUUCAUCCUCCAACUUCAAUCCUAAGCUUGAAAUUCCACUAUACCAAGGCUUUCAACACAAGCUUUUAAGUUUUACAAUUGGAUUCAACAACUCCAAUGGGUACUACAAAAUUCCUUAAAAGAUGCUUCACUCUUGAACUCCCUAAGUGAUACCCACAUUUGGCAAAUAGUAAAUGAUACCUUACACUUAGAUUUAUUCCUCAAGUGAUACCUCACAUGUGAACUCACCUCUCAAAAGUUACAAGAAAGAUAUAGAAUUAAACUCACCAAAUCAUAGUACAAGUUUAAGCUCAAAUGGAUAUAAAAUAAACUAGGCCUGAGGUGCAUUAAAUGGAUAUACAAGUUUUGAAUCAAAGUGCCCUAGAAAAACACUCUCCUAAAGCUCAAAUAUAUUAAUUUUAUAAAGAUUUUGGAAUGUUAGUCUUAUAAAAUAAUGAAGUUUGGAUUUUUAUUUUUAAUAGAGUUUGAAAGCUCAAAUUAGUCAUUAGGCACAGUUUGGGGUCAUCUAAUCAAGUACCUAUUUGACCAAUUCAUUACUUGUUAGCAUUUAAUGCUCUGGCAAGUGACUGUUGGGGUUCAAGGCUUCGACUAGGCCUUGAUUGGUCCUCGACCACUUGAGUCUUAACCUUAAUCGAUUGAAUACAUGCUAUUAGAAGAUAAAGUGUGCAAGUGUACCUCGAUUGGUUGAGCCAACUGGCUCAAUUGGUCCCCUCUGUCUCAACCAAUUGCAUUGUAAAGUACAUAAAAGACCCUAAUUUAAGGCUUGGAACUUUUGAUAAUUUGUAUUCAACUUCUUAAAACCUUUUAAAGUUAGUUUAGAAACAUUUGACAUAAGGUUUUAAUUGAAAACAUGAAAAUCAUCCAAAUAUAAAAAUUUUUAAAGCAAGUCAACAUUGAGAUUAUUUUAGGUGCAUAAAUAAAAAUAGAAUGCAUGAUCAUGAUGCACGAAUAACCUUACAAAGAGAUCCUAAGAAAGGUCUUGAAAGAUCUUCUCUUUGAAUCAUUUUCUUCUUCUUGAUUUCUUUUACCUUAAUUUAUCUUGUGAUUGUCACUUUGAAAAUCAUCUUGUCUAAACACAUGUAAGAUAAAACACUAGUUCUAAACCUUAUUUUGUUAUCUCAAAACCAAAAUUAACCAAACUUUGGCUUAACAAUCCCCCUUUUUUAUAAUAACAAAAUCAAAUAUGCUAAAAUAUUCUCCUCAAUAUAUGCUUUUUGAUUUUUAGAAAAUAUUUAAGUUUAAAAACUUUAAGAACUAUACUAGGAAUGCUCAAAAAUAAUAUUACUAAAUAUAAAUAGUUUAAAGAGCAAUUAGAAUAUAACAGAAUAUAUACAUUAAACAUGAUGCAUACAAAUAUUACAAAUAUAGUACAUAACAUUAAUAUUUAGAUUACUAAAACAAAUCUGUCUUUUUAGUACAAUACCAACCUAAUACUUCUCCCUCUUUUUGUUAUCAACAAAAAAUUUCAAUUGAGUAUAGGGAGGAAAUAAGCAUAGUGAUACCAAUUAUUACAAAAAUAAAUAAUAAGCAUAACAUUAUUUGAUGAAGAUAUGUAAGAUGAAAUCAUUUUUCUAUGUAAGAAAUUUUCAUUAGAAUAAAUUUGAUGUCUGCUUCACAAUAAAAUUAAAAAAUAAAUACAUAAAACAGUGACCAAUCUCCACUCUUGAUCUUGUAACGCAUUGAAAUCUCUAAUUUUAUGUGUUACUUCACGAAAAAUGGUCUACUUUUACAUAGUGAACUAAUUGUCAACUAUUUUUUAAUGGAAAAGUUUUGCAUCAAUUUGAGAUGUUUUAGGCGAUAAUGAAGUCAUUUUCCAACGUAAUAAUAUUUUGGUUAUCUUUUGCUCCUUGAAUUACAAAUGAAAGAAAAAAAAUGUUAAAAAAGGGAUUUUCUUCCAUAGAAAAUAUUAAAAUGAAUUACAAGUUUGUAUAUUUUUAAAUUAUUUAAUUUUUAUAAAAUAAAAGAAAAUAAAUUAAAUGAGUUUAAAGAAAAUAAUUUAUUGACUUUAAGUGUAUUUUUUUUAUGUUAAUUUCUUUAUUUUUCUCUCUUACUUUAUUUUUUCUCGCACUUUUUUUUUUCAAUUUUUUAGGAAUAAAACAUAACCUUUGGUCGUGAGAGGAUCCAGAUGAUAUAUACUAAAAAAAAAAUGGGUCAAUCACAAUGUAAUAUAUAAUUUGAUUUCAUUCCUUUAAAUUUAAACAAAUCUCAUCCUCAUAUUUUAAUAUUUUUUUUUAUCUUAGUUCUAUUAUUUACACUUUAUUUAUUUAUUUAUUUUUAUAUUAGUCUUAUUAUCUAUACUUCAUUCAACAAUGAAGAUUUUAUCAUAUAUUUUCAAGGAUCAAGAUUAUAAAUUCCGUAUAUAUUGUAUCAACAACUUAACACUUUCCUAAUACAUAUCAUAUUGAUUCAAUGUAAACACAACAGAAUCAAAUCACCGACUUUCUGACUACAUUUUAGUUUGAAACACCCAAGGAAAAAUCCCAUUGUGUUUGUGUGCCACUUUGCAGUCCACUACGUGAAUAAUCUAGAGGCCGAUAACAUGGAAAGUUGUAGGUGGCAAGCAUAGAGCACUUAUUCAUCAUGAACAUUACAAGUAGGGAUCGAAAACGAAGACGUCUUUAAGCCUUGGCCACUAGUUUUGAACAACAUAGUGACCAUUAAUGUAGCAAGUGGAUGGUUAUUGUUGAAAUAUUCACUGUUAUCUCUUGAAGGAUACAUUCCACGCGUUUACACUAUGACUGCAUUCCCACCUCCAUCUUUGACUUUUCAAUCACAAAAUGUGUGUUUCAUGUUUUUGCUUGGAGUAUGAUAUGACUGGUUUUUGGUAGAGUUGCGUGUAGCUUCUUCCUGAUAUUUCGGUGGGUUGGGACAAAUAUUUUUAAUAUUCAGAUUAAAUUUGGGUUUAAUUUUCUUAAUCUCAACUUAGAAUUAAACUCAAACCAAGGUUCUAACAAUUCUAGUAUAAUCUAAAUCUAAUUUAAUAUUUUUAUAAUAUUUAUUAUCCUAUAUAAUAAUAUAUAUUUUUAUUUUUUUAGAAUAAUAUACAAAUUUAUUUUUACUUUUUUUUAUUAUUAUCUUGAAAGUUUAUCUUAUUUAUAUAUUAAAUUUGUUAUAAAUAUGUGGAAAAAAAAAAGUUUUUUAAAAACCACCAUGGAUAGAUUUUGAAUCAUGCAACUUAAUCAAUCCGAGCAACCUAGAUUUAACUUGAUCAACCUAAAUUUAGAAAAAUAAGUUGUGUUGCGACUAGAUUGAGUACGUUAAGUUGAGGUCGAGUUAGGUUAAACUUGGAUUAAUUGUUUCUUAAUUCAAAUUAGGUUCAAAUUAGUCAUCAACCCGACCAACCCACCUUAUUGUAAUACUAAUGUUUUGUUUCAGAAUUUAUUAUGAGUUAGAAAUUUUUGUCAACUAAUUUUUAACACUCAUGUAACUAUUUUUAAGAACAAUUUUAAAAAACAAUUUUUAAGAACAGUUUUUGAAAACUAUUUUAUAAUAUUUUGUAGAAUAAAAGUUUGCUUGAAAGUCUAAAAUAUUUUUAACUUAUUUUUAAUAUUUUUAAAUAUGUUUUAAAAUUAAUUUUUUUUAUUUACUAUUUUAUUUGGAAUCAUUAGAUUUGGUUGUAUAAUUACUUUUUAAGAACAAAAAAUAGAAAAAUAAUUAUCUAAUUGUCAAACUUGUUUUUCUAUUUUUUUCUUAGAAACAAAAAUUAAUUCCAAAAAACAGUUUUCAAACAAACCAUGGGAGAUAUAUAAUGGAUAAAACAUCCUUGUUGGAAAACAAUUUGAUUUAUAAUAUUUCCUUGAUUUGCUUUAGCUCCAAACUAUGGACUUGUUUCACGCUAUUCAUUUACCAAACCCAAUGUUCACUCCUAAAAUUUCACACCUACCACACAACGGCUUCUUCUCAAUCAUCAUUUAUUCAAUGCCAAGGAAAAAUGUGGGCUUAUCAUGGCCAACCUUGGGCCCAACUCGAUCUCCACCCAAGCAUGAUUUGGAAAGGAUAUCGUCAGUUCCUCUCCUGCACUCGAAGGUUGGAGCCGUGUUAAUUUUAUGGGUUGGCCUGGCCUGGCCCGAUAUAUAUAAUUAGUGGGCCCAUAUUUGGGCCCACUAUUAGCUGAAAUACUUAGGAAGUGCCAGCCCAGAUGCAAGUCUGGGCUCAACGGACCAUUGGGCCACUCGUCAUAAGACCGCCAAUUAAUACCUCGCCCCUUUGAUUUCCUUCCUAUUUUCAACUCUUAAGAUGGGUUUAAUCAUGAAAACACAUGAGGCAAAAAAUAGAAAAGAGUGAUAUUUAAUAAUACAAAGAUAAUUAUAAGCGGUGAUUGAUAAAACUUAAUACUUAUUAUUUAAUUAUUUAAAUUAAUAUUAAGUUAAAUUAUACUUAAGUUAUUGACUUAAAACUUAUUUUAAAUCAUUAAAUUAAUAUAUUUAUUCUUAUAAAUUAUAACUAUAAUAAAGAAUGUCGAGUAAUAGUAGAAGUCAUGGAAAAACAAAAAAAAUCAUAAAGAUAAUUAGGACAAAUGAAAAUAAAAAAAUAAAAUAAAGAUACGAACUUAAAAAUAAUUUAAUUAUUUUUAUUUAUUACUUAAAGUUAUUUUUUAUUUUAAAUUAUACAAUUUUAUCAAAUAUGUUUAAUUUACUUAAUGACUUAAAUUAAGUUAUUUAAUCAUUUUAAGUUAUUAAGUUGGUUUACACUCGUUCAAUUAGGAACUUAAAAAUUAUUAUAAAUAUCAAAAAAAAAAAAUUCAAACAGUAAAUUGAUAUCCUUAUUAAUAUAAAAUUUAAAGAAUAAAAUGAAAUGAAAAAUAAACUAAAAUAUCAUAAAAUAUAGAAAUUAAUAAAUCAUAGGGAGUGUAGGUAAGUUGAACCAAAAUUAUAGUCAACUUUAGUCCUUUUCAUGCAUAUUUUUCGCUUGGUCACGAUUGAUUCUUGGACUUUGCUUAUUGUAGUGGGCCUACAUCUGGGCCCAUUUACUGGCUGAAAAACUUAAGACGUUCCCACCAUAUACUGGGCUGGGCCCCAGAAAUCCACUGGAUACAUCUGACUCCUUCCAUUUUCUUGUGGUUUUGUUCCCCCUUUCGACUUUUAUUUUUGGUCUACCAGUUGAAUUUUUCCUUAAUAUACAAGAAAAGAAAUAUACCGGAAAGUACUAAAAAAAGCAAAAAUAUGAAGAAAAGUGACUUUCUCAUAUUUGGUUUUAUUAUAAAAAAAUAUGAAAAAAAACACAAAUAUAAUUAAAAUUAUUAAAAUUUCUAUAUAUUUUAAAUUUAUUUAAUAUUUAAAUAAAAGAGUUAAAUAAAUGAAAAAAAAUUGAUAUGGUACAUCAAAAUAAUUUAUUAAUUUUAAAUCUAUUUUUUUAUUUUUCUUAAUAUUUUUUUUCUUCUAACUUUUCUCUUUAUUUUAUUUUCAUUACAUUUUCUUUCAAACUUUUUUGGGAUCAAAUAUAGCCUAAAAUUUAAAGAAAUAUAAAAGAAAAUUUUGGAUUAAAACUUCCCUUUUCAAUUUUAUUUUUUAUUUUUGUCUUUUCUUUUGUUUUUUUCGUUUAUUUGACUUUUUAAAAUAUUUUUCUUAAGAAAUUCUGAGAUUAAACUAAAAAGAAAAAAGAAAAAAAGUGAGAGAAAAAAAAUUACAUCAAUAACUUUUUUUUCUGUUUUUCUUUAAAUUUUAUUCACCCUUUACAAGAAAAAUAAAGAAAAAAACAAUUUUAAAACAUUUAGAUGUCUUAGAGUUCCCUUUUCCCUUGAUUGGAUUCAAAAGGUAAGAGGAGAAAAUAAUAAAAUAGUAGAAAAUUCAAAUUCUACUAUUUAUUUUUAUAAAAGAAUAAUUUUAUACUCUUUUCAAAUUGUUUUCUCUUUAUUUAUAAGAGAGGGAAAAAAACACGAAUAAAAUUGAAAAAAAAAAUGAGAUAAAAACUUUGCUCACCUCAUCAAUUUUAUUUUAUUUUUAAUUUUAUUGACCUUUUAUAAGAUUUUAGCUAAAUUUAACGUGUCUUAUGUCACCCAUACAUCCACGUUCAAUCAUUCUUAGCCAUAUUUUCUUUGACUAAAAUAUCACAAAGGGAGAGCAGGUAACCUAAACCCUUAAGUGUGUAGUCAACUUAGUUUUAGUCCUUUUCAUGCAUACUUUUUAUUUGAUCAUGGAUGGAUGAUUUGUUGGACUUUUUUGGUUCUCUCUUCCCUAUCAAUGUUAUCCCAAUAUUUUGUCCUCAAUGGAAAACAUGAACCUUGAAUAUAUACACACCAUGCAUGUGCACUUCUAAUCUUCUCCACAGAAUUAAGGUCAUGCAUGACGCAAGAGAGUUAGGCAGAUAUUUAGGGAAUUAAUUUGGGAAAACAAAUAAAAAUUUAAUUUAAUUUAAAGUUUCUUGGCAUUUUAAAUAGGUAAAAAGCAAAUCAAUUAUAAACAUCUAAAAAAAAAAAAAAUUAUAACCUAACCCACUAAGAUAAUGCCACUAACUAAUGGAAAAAGUGUUUUUUCAUAUACUUAUAUGCUAAAAAAACCAUAAAAUAGGAAUCCAAAUUUAAAAAAUAUAAAUUUCAAGCAACUAUUUAAAAAUAAUUAACAUUACAUGCAUUUUUUGAUCAAAAGUAUUACCUUAGACCAAUCAGAUACCAUCUUUUAAUGGUAUAUGUGCUACCUUUGAUCAUUUUAGAUAUACGUUUGAUGAGUAAGACUAUAAAAUUUGAAUUAUUUUUAGAUGAUUCCUAUUUUAUAGUUAAUUUUUAUAUAAUUGCAGGAAAACUCACUUUUUUUAAAGAUUAAAAAUUAUUUGUUUACCUCUAUCUUAAAUCUUAAAACAACUUACCUUAAAUCCUAAGUUAAAAAGCACACAAUCCCGAUCUUUAGAAAAUUUAACCCAUAUAACAACUCCAUGCAUCAUUUUUUAACAUUUUUUUUUCUUGAGCUUAGUGAUAAUGCACAAAUAUGAAGAGAAAAAUAUGAGUUAAAUUUUAGCUUAAAACCUAAUGAAUGGAAUUAAACUUAUGCUAACUCGGACGGACUUAAAUCAAUAAUAAAUAAGUUUUAAUUUAAUUAAUAUGGACCAAAUCCAACCCAACAUGGAGCCCUCCAUCGCUUCAGUCAAAAUGCUGUUAUUAUCAACUUACAUGGCAUGUCUAAAGUGCCAACCCUUUUAAAUAACAAGAAGGAAAAGAGAAAAAACUUGGAAAAGUGAGGGAAAGCCUUGAAAAUAGUAAAAAUAUAAAGGAAUGCAUGUGGAAGAAAUUAUGAUGUGUUUUUCGUACCCACGUUUGAAAAAAUUAAAAGAAAAGAAAAAACUAAAUCUAAGUUUUUGUUUAGAUAUAUUUUUCACUUUUUUAAAAAUUAGAAAAUUUUAUAUAAAAACGGCACAUCUGGUGUAAAAGUAUAUAUUAACCUUAUACUUGUAAGAUUUAUUUUCAAAAACUUUAAAAUUUAAGAGUUUGUUUGAUUAUGUCUUUUUAAACUUAUUUUUGAAUUUUUUUUUUUAGUGUUUUACUUAAAAACAAUUUUUAAAAAUAAAUUUCAAAAAAUAUGGUUAAACAGGUCCAUGUUUGCCUUUUUCUUUUAAAAAUUAAUAAAAAUAAUUCAUACUUAUUCUCUCAAAAUUGUUAUCUAUUUGACUUUGUUUUUAAAAAUUAUUUUCAAGAAAUAAUGGUCAAAUAAUUUUAGAAAAUUUUAAAAAUAGUUUCUAUUUUUAAAAAUAAAAAAUUAUUUUUAAAUUACAUGACCUAACAGACUUUAAGAUGCUAAAAUUUUUUUGAAAUAGUUUUUAAAAUUAGUAAUAAAAAAAUGCUCAAGAAUUUUUAUAUCUUACAUAAAAAUUACUAUUAUUUUUUAUUUUAAAGAUAGAAGAUUGAAAGUAUCAAAAUAGAUAUUAGAUUGGUAAAAUCCAAAUUUAACACAUGUGACUAAAAAUAACUAAAAUAUUAUACUUUUAAUCAUCCAAACGUUAUAUUUUUAUCACUGGGGUAAAUUUUAGGGAUAGAAGUACCAUCUUUCACGAUUCUAGAUAUAUAUGUACUAUCUUAAAGAUACAAUGCAUUUGAAUUAUCUUUAGUGGGUUUUAUUUUCUUCUCCUCUUUAUUAUAAGCAUGUGCCUGAAAACACGGGGUGUGAAGGGCUGUCGGGCUUUGACCAGGCCAAAGUCUGUGGUUAGAUGGUGGAGGGAGGGGUUGGAGAUGGAGAACAUGGGGGCUGCGUGGAAAAAUUAGCAAGAAGAAAAAGCUAGAAGUAGAGAGAAAUGAGUGUGGACACUUGAGCCUUGGCCCUUUACUAUUCAAUCAUGGAUUAUUCCCUUCUGCUGGCUGGUUCACAUUUGAAGUCUUGAAGUUUGAAGUUAUAAGGUUAUAAGACUCGGAAGAAUCUAACCUUCUUUUCCAGAAUAAAACUAAAAAUAAAAAUAAUCAUAUUUAGUUGUUCCAAGAAUCUGACUUUCCUACUCAAAAGCCUUUGUCGAUGGUGCCCAAGGUCAUUGCUCUCUCUCUCUCUCUCUCUCUCUUCCCGUUGUUCCAAGAAUCUGACUUUCCUACUUAAAAGCGUUUGUCGACGGUGCCCAAGUCAAGGUCCAUCUCUCUCGUUUUAAGAAACAUGUUUGAUCUCUCUCUCUAUUUUUUAUUUUAACAAUUAAUACUUUUUCUCUCCUUAAUUUUUUCAAUAAAAAAGAAAUUAAAUUAAAAAUCAAAAUAAGGAAUUCUAAUCAAAUGAUUACAAAACUAUUGAAAAUAAAAUGGAAAUGAAACCAAUUAAUUCAUUUAGGUCAAAUUUGCUAUGUGGGAAUGGAGAUCUCAUUCCCAUUCUCAUCCCUUUCCGUGUUUCAAUAACUAAGCAAAGAUGAGAAUGAAAUUAAAAAUAAUUUUAAAGAAAAUUAAAUUUCACUUGGAAUUUCAAUUUAUCCUUUAGUAAGAAGUAUUUUAAUUCCUUAAUGCAAUUUAUUUUUAAACACACUUUUCAAAAAUGGUUUUAUAAUUAUAAUUAAAUUAAAAAAAUACUUUUUAAUAAAAUAUUAAUAUUAAUAUUAUAAUAAAAUCAUAAUCUAUAUUUUUUUAAAUAUUAUAAAAAUAUAGAUAUUAAUAUCUUAUUAAAGAAUAAUUGAUUUAUUUUAUUAAAAAUAAAUAAUAAUAAUAUAAGAUUAAUAAUUGCUAAUACUAUUUAAAUGAAUUUAUAAACAAAUAAAGUUUAAUUUUUUUAAAGGUAUAAAUGAGCCAAAAUUUUUAUUACAUGCAUAUCUUUAGUAUUGAACUAAAGACAUGACAUUCUAAUUUUUAUUUAAUCUUUGAAAAUUUUUAUAUAAUCUAUAAUUAAUUAAUUAGUUUUUAAAUUUCAAAUUUAUUCUUCGAAAUUAAAAGAUUUAUUAAAAAAUUUUAAACAUUAAUUAUAUCUAUUAAUUUUUAUAGUUAUUAUAAAUAUAUAUUGAGUUUCAAAUUAUUUUUAAAAAUUGUUUCUCUUAAACAAUAAUCAAUAAUGAUAUAAAAUUUUAAUAUAAAUAUGUUUUUAAAUUACACACCAAAAUAAUUUUUAUUUUGAAAACUAUGCAUAGGAGGUUUUUUUUUUUAUAAUGAAAAUAAUUAUUUUAAUAUUAAAAUAAAAAUAAAUAAUCAUUUCAACUUUAUAUUCUUAAAUACAUCCUAAAGCAUGAAUUGAAAUCACCAAAUUCAUUCAUAUUUAAGGUAGAAUGAGAAUGAAAUAAUCAAAAUAUUCAUGCUAAUUCCUCGUUUCCACAUAUCCAACAUACUCUUAAAGUACUUAUCGAAAGGAAAUAUUUCAUUAUAACAAGUUUAUAUAAAAUAUUUUGAUAUUUAUCAUUGCAAAAAAUAAAAUUUAUCUAUUAAAUAUUUUUUUUUGUUUUAUAAUGUUAUUUGAUUAAAUAAAUUUUGGAUUAAAAAAUAAACUUUUAUUUAUUUAUUUAAGAUAAGUUUUAUUUUUAUUGUUAAAUGAUAGAGCAUAGAAAUAAACUUAUUUCUUGAAUUUAUUAUAAUUUUUGGAUAAAAAUAUAUUCCUAUUUAUAAAAUUGACAUUUAAUUAAUCUAUUCUCUCUACCUUAAAAAAUUUAUUAUUUAUAUUAUUUAAUUAUUUUUUAUUCUACAAACUUGUUUGAAUAUGGGAAGGAUCAAUUUCAUUUCAUAAUACCCAUCUUAUCAUUUUCUCUCUCUUUCUACCAAACCUAAUUUUAAUUUCUUUUUCUCUUAAUUUAAUUUUUAUUCUAUAAAAGUGUUUGGAUAAUGGAAGAAUCAAUUUCAUUUCAUAAUAACCCUCUUAGCAUUUUCUCUCUCCUUUCUCUCUUUAACCAAACCUAUUAUUUUUUUCUUUCUUCUUUUCUUCCACUUUCCCACGAUCUAACAAUAAUUUUCCCUUUUUUUUAUUAAAUAAUAAUUCAAGAUUUGAAAAUACAAUGAUUUUGCCACUAUAUUAAAUAAAAUAAUGUAAAACUUGAUGCGAGCAUCUAUCAUUUCAUUUUUUCUCUUCACAAUCAAAUAGAAAAUUUACCAUUAUUACAAUCUACACAAGACGUGACUUAAAAAUUUUGACAAUGCUCUCUUCUUUGUCCCUUGUUUCCACAUCCAUAAAAAAAUGAUGAAAAGAAAAAAAAAUCAUUUCUAUCAAACAAAAAGUAUUCGUUGUCAUCAAAUAAAAAUAAUAUAACACAUAAAAAAUAAAUAAAAAUUAGAAUUUUAUUUGGAAUUUCCAUUUUGUUGCAUAACUAAUCAUGUGCUUUUCUAAUUCCUGCUUUAAGUGAGGAAUAAUGAUGACUAAAAUGUUUGACAAAAUGAAAAUUAAGGAGUUGGUGUAGACUUGCGAUUUUCAUGUGGGUUCUUAUUCGACAAGACUCGUUUUCUUAGUGUAAAUUUGAUUUUUUAUAGAAUUGGAGUCACUACUUAUUUUUAUUUAUUUUUUAAAAAGAAAUAAAAUAAUAAAUAAAAUUCUAAACAAUUGACUCCUUAUUUUUGGAAAAAUGCGUCUUUGAAAACCCGAGUCUAAGUUUGGAGAUUGAGUUACUUGUUGGAAAUGUAUCAUAAAGGUCCUUUUAAACCCUAAAAGCAAGUCUCUACUAACUAGGUUGAGGAAAGUAUAGUAAUUAAUCGAUAAAUCAUGGAUAUCAAAGGAAACAAAGAUGAUUACAUCUAAAACCAAACAACAUGCUAUUUAUAUUCAAACAAUCAUACCAAAGUAAUCAAUCAUGCAAGAAGAAUAUAAGCAUACUCGAGCCGCAUCGCAAAGCACUUUCAUAGAAAUAUUAAAAGUUAGUUUGACAAAAACAGUAUACAACAUGUAUUGCAUCUCAAUCAGGGAAUAAAACAAUGAAUCAAGGCAAAUAAGGAAAUAUCAAACAUGAAGAUGUUCACAUACAAAGUAAGCAUAUUCACAUAGUUAAGAGAUAAGAAGGUGAUGAACGUACUUAGUAUACACAACUUACAAUGCACUUAUACAUAGCUAGACGAGUUAGCAUACAAUCAAUAAUGAUAAGUGGAAAAAUAACAUGGUCAAAAACUCUAAAUGUUACAUGAUAUAUAUAUAUACAACUUAAAUAAAAUGUCACGAAACCUAAGUUAAUGUCAACCAUCAUAUAGCACAUGUAAACAAACUUAUUGUUAAAGUUAAACUAUGUACAAGAGAGCUAAAAUACCAAAAUGAGUGUCAAAAUCAAAGUAAGCACAAGGGAUAGAACGGUUACAAUCACUUGAAAAAUCCUAAACAAAUAUCUAGAAACAUUAUUUCAACAUGAAAAAAAAAUCAUACAACAUCCCCAUUAUAUUUACAUUACAAAACACAAGUCAAAGCCAAGCCAAGAUAUGUCCAACAACACUAGAUUAAAUAACAAAAUAAGCAUUAUACAAGAACUUUAGCAUGCGGUCAAAAUAGGAAGGUUCACAAAACAAAUCCUAAAAAAAAUCUAAAAUGUGAAUUUAAUUACAAAAAAAUUUCAAGAAGCAUAUCUUACAUGUCUAGUUUAUCAUCCAAAUGGCCACAAAUGUUAUUGAAGUUCUAAUUAAUCACCAUUUAUAAAAAAAAUCUUUCAAAUGGUCCAAGAUAGAAUUGAAUUCAAUGGCAUGCAUAGACCGGAUUUUUUCACCAACUUAGAUGUAUGAUAAAAUCAUUCAAAAAAUCACAUAACAUAUUCAUAAAAACUAUUUUAUAAAAAUAAAUAAAUAAAUAAUAUCAAAGCAAGAAAGCAUACAAUCACUUUUAAAAGCAAUAAAACCACUCCUCUAUUCAAAGUUAGGGCAAUGUAGUGGGUAAACAAUUCAAAAUUAUCUUUCCUAAUUAAAAAAAAUAUUUUUAAAUAUUUUAUGUAUCUAAAAUAAUCUUGAAAAAGUCUAGAAUCCAAGAAAAACAUCAAAAUUAUUUUUCUUAAAAAAUUCCGAGAUUAAACUAAAAAGAAAAAAGAAAAAAAGUGAGAGAAAAAAAAAUUAUAUCAAUAACUUUUUUUUUCUGUUUUUCUUUAAAUUUUAUUCACCCUUUACAAGACAAAUAAAGAGAAAAGCAAUUUUAAAACAUUUAGAUGUCUUAGAGUUCCCCUUUCCCUUGAUUUGAUUCAAAAGGUAGGAGGAGAAAAUAAUAAAAUAGUAGAAAAUUCAAAUUCUACUAUUUAUUUUUAUAAAAGAAUAAUUUUAUACUCAUUUCAAUUUGUUUUCUCUCUAUUUAUAAGAGAGAAAAAAAACACGAAUAAAAUUGAAAAAAAGAUGAGAUAAAAACUUUGCUCACCUCAUCAAUUUUAUUUUAUUUUUUAAAUUUUAUUGACCUUUUAUAAGAUUUUAGCUAAAUUUACUUAUCUAUCAUUGGUUUAUAAUUUUAUCAAACGUGUCUUAUGUCACCCUUACAUCCACGUUCAAUCAUUCUUAGCCAUGUUUUCUUUGACUAAAAUAUCACAAAGGGAGAGCAGGUAACCUAAACCCUUAAGUGUAGUCAACUUAGUUUUAGUCCUUUUCGUGCAUACUUUUUAUUUGAUCAUGGAUGGAUGAUUUGUUGGACUUUUUUGGUUCUCUCUUCCCUAUCAAUGUUAUCCCAAUAUUUUGUCCUCAAUGGAAAACAUGAACCUUGAAUAUAUACACACCAUGCAUGUGCACUUCUAAUCUUCUCCACAGAAUUAAGGUCAUGCAUGACGCAAGAAAUUUAAGCAGAUAUUUAGGGAAUUAAUUUGGGAAAACAAAUAAAUAUUUAAUUUAAUUUAAGGUUUAUUGACAUUUUAAAUAGGUAAAAACCAAAUCAAUUAUAAACAUUUAAAAAUAAAAAUAAAAAUUCUAACCUAACCCACUAAGAUAAUACCACUAACUAAUGGGAAAAGUGUGGUUUUACAUACUCGUAUGCUAAAAAACCACAAAAUAAGAAUCCAAAUUUAUAAAAUAUAAAUUUCAAACAACUAUUUAAAAAUAAUUAACAUUACAUGCAUUUUUUGAUAAAAAAAUAUUACCUUAGAUUAUUCAGAUGCUAUCUUUUAAUGAUAUAGGUACUACAUUUUGAUAGACAAACAGCCAUGUCUGUAGCCGAUUCUUCUCCUCUCUAACAGAUGUUGUUAUGAUGAGUCUUCUCUAACAGAUGUUGUUAUGAUUAGUUAGAAAGUGGUUAGAUUAGUUAGAUGCUGUAAUAUCUAUCUAUAUAUAUAUAUAUAGCUAUUGAUCUACUGUAUAAUCAGUGUGGUGAAUAGAAUAAAUUCCUUAUUCUUGCUAAAUCCGUGCUUGAGCACUUUCACAUUUAAUCAUUUUAGGUAUCACGUUUGAUCAGUAAGACCAUAAAAUUUGAAUUAUUUUUUGAAUAUUCAUAUUUUAUAAUUAAUUUUUAUAUGAGUGCAUGAAAACUCACUUUUUUAAAAAAUUUAAAAUUAUUUGUUUUACCUCUAUCUUAAAUCUUAAAACAACUUACCUUAAAUCUUAAGUUAAAAAGCAAACAAUCCCAAUCUUCAUAAUAGUUAACCCAUAUAACAACUCCAUGCAUAAUUUUUUAACAUUUUUUUUUCUUGAGCUUAGUGAUAAUGCACAAAUAUGAAGAGAAAAAUAUAUGAGUUAAAUUUUAGCUUCAAACCUAAUGAAUGGAAUUAAACUUAUGCUAACUCGGACGGAUUUAAACUAAUAAUAAAUAAGUUUUAUUUUUUUUAUUAUUUUUUUCUGGCCACCCUGAGAAGGAGUCGUUCUUGGGUAGCCAAAGAGGACGGAAGGUGAAGGAAUACGAUUGAUGGGUGAUUUGUUUUUGGGUGGCCAUAGCAGUUGAUGGGUGAGCUGUUUUUUUUUUUUUUUUUUUAGCGGCCAGAUGGGAAGGAAGGACAAUGGGAGUAGAGGCGUUUUGGGGAGGAGAUAUUUUUUCUGGGCUAGUUACAGAGCAGCUGCGAGAGUAAGAGAGUUUUUUGGGGGUUAUAGGGAAGAGAGUGUGUUUGUGGCUGGUUACAGAGGAGCAUGUUCGACAACUUGAGGAAAAUGAGAGAACCUUUACAGAAGCAAAACGAAGAAGAGUUAUUUCAGGUAUGAUUGGCGUAUGUUUCGGGUUAUUUUCUGCUUUCAUGCUUUUGUUUCUAUCUUUUUUACUGGUCUUUGGAUGUUGUAGGUUGUUUGUUGUUUGUUGUGGACAUUAAAGGGCCACAGGGUUGUCUUACUGAAUCUGAUAGUAUAUAUAUAUCGGUGUUUUUUUAUUUCUCUGGUAAGUAUCUGAUGUUUUGGCCCAUCACUGAAUUUGAUCCUCAAAGAUCGUGUUCUUACUCCUUUUUUUAUUACACCCAUAUUUUGCCCACUGAUCUUCAUGAAAUGGAGUUGGAUUUAACAGUGUUAUCUUCUAUUGUACUUGCCAUGUUUUUCUUCACUUUCACCUCUCUCUCUCUUCGUUGUUUUCUCUUCCAUGAAUUUCCUCUUCUACUCACUCUCUCUCAUAUAUUCUUUUCUCUCUAUCGUCUCAUUCUCUUUUAAUUCUUAGAGUCUCUUCUUAUAUUUUUUUGGAUUAUUAUGAGAAAACUAGAGGCAAAGUUUUCAAGCAUGGCGUCAACGUUUCUUGGUAACUGAUUUUUUUUCUCAUUUUUUAUAACUUUUUUUUUUUGGUCUUUUUGUUGGUGGGUUCUGAACAAAGGUGUUGUCUUGCCUUAUUUAUGAUGUGCUCUUCACAAUGCCUGUUUGAUUGAAGUCGGGUGCACAUGGGUUUGCUUUUUAUGCUAUUUUUUGUGGCUUUAUUUUGCUAUUUUUUAUACCUAUUUAUUGCUUUGUUGUUGAGAAACGAGAAUGCAUUUGAGGCGGUGUUUGGAUGAGAAAUAUAUUUCUAGUUUUUGUGUUUUAUCAGGGUAAAAAAAAAAAAAAAAUUGUUCUUUAUUUUGUCCUGUAUGUGUGUUGUGUUGUGUUGCUUUCAGUUUGGGUUGUUUACUUUUGGGUUUUGUUUUGUUCUCUUCUUUUAUUGUGUUAAUAUGUUGUUAGGUUCUUCAGCAAAUCUAUUAAUAAACCUUAUAUUUUUUUGGGGAACAUUGGCAUCUUUUGUUGCCCUUAAGACUAGUGAACAACUAAUUAGUAGUGAGAUUUUCUGGUCAUGUCUUUACCUUAUGUUAAUUAGGUUAUUGUAGGGGUUCAUUUUGUAGGAUUUGGGAAUGACUUAUCUUGUUUUAUUAUGUUAACUAGUUUCAAAAUCAACUAUGAAAUUGAAUUGUGUGCAUGCGUUACAGAAGUCAUUGUGGGAUGGACCAUUUUUGUAAUGAACAGAGUGCAAUAUAGAUGUAAUCACAUCUUCAGUCUUCUCUUAAUCAUGGGCUAAAUUCUUAAAAAUUUUUGGUGGUGCACUGUGGUAGCUACAAGACAGUGGCAAUGAUGGUGGCCUUAAGGUGAAUUUUUUUUUUUGCCCCACGUCAAAGUUUGAUUUCCAUAAAUUUUUUUUAAAUGAUUCUUAAAAUCCCGGUUUCUUGAAUAAUCUCAUUUCUAUUCCAAUUUUCAAAUUUGAUUCCUAAAAAUACCAUUUUUUAAAAUAAUUUUCCAAAUCUUUAAUUUUCAAAAUUUAAUUUUCGAAACUUUUAUUUUCAAAUGAUUGUUAAAAAUUCUAUUCUCAAAUAAUUUUUCAAAAUUCUGAUUCUCAAAUUUAAUUUUUAAAUAAUUCUUCAAAAUUCUGAUUUCCAAAUUUAAUUUCCAAUUUCCAAAAUUUCAAUUUUCACGUUUAUUUAUUUAAUCAUUAUUAUUAUUUUUAUUAUUAUUUUAUUUAUUUAUUUAUUUAUUUUUAAAAUUUUCAUCUUUAAAUAAUUCUUCAAAAUUCCGAUUCAUAAAUUUUAUUUUCAAUUUCAAAAAUUCCAAUUUUCACCUUUAUUUAUUUAAUCAUUAUUAUUUUCAUUAUUAUUAUUAUUUUAUUUAUUCAUUCAUCUAUUUAUUUUUAAAAUUCCAUCUUUAAAUAAUUCUUCAAAAUUCCAAUUUCCAAAUUUAAUUUUCAACUUCCAAAAUUCCAUUUUUCACAUUUAUUUAUUUAAUCAUUAUUAUUUUCGUUAUUAUUAUUGUUUUAUUUAUUUAUUUAUUUUUAAAAUUCCAUCUUUAAAUAAUUCUUCAAAAUUCCGAUUUCCAAAUUUAAUUCUCAAAUUCGAAUUUUCCAAUUUCUGAACUUAAUUUUCAAUUUCCAAAAUUCCAAUUUUCACAUUUAUUUAUUUAUUAUUAUUGUUGUUGUUAUUGUUGUUGUCAUUAUCAUUUUAUUUUUUAUUUUUUUAAAAAAAAUUUCAUCUUCAAAUAAUUUCCAAGAUUCCAAUUUUCGUAAUUUAAUUUUCAUUAUUCUAAUUCUCAAAUAAUUUUCAAAAUCCUAAUUUCUUUCAAAUUUAAUAUCCAGAAUUCCAAUUCUUAAAUUUAAUUUUCAAAACUCCAAUUUUCAAAUAAUUUGCUAAUUUCUUUCAAAUUUAAUUUCCAAAGUUCCAAUUCCUUAAUUUAAUUUUCAAAACUCUAAUUCUCAAAUAAUUUUAAAAAUUCCAAUUUCUUUCAGAUUUAAUUUCCAAAAUUCCAAUUCUUAAAUUUAAUUUCCAAGACUCCAAUUUUCAAAUAAUUCUCAAGACUUCAAUUUUCAAAAAUCCAAUUUUCUUUCGAACAAUUUUAAUUUCAUUCUGGUUUUCAAAUAAUCUUAUAUUUUUCUUGAUUUUACAUAAACAAGAAUGAAUUUUUCAUAAUUUCGAAAUAAUGAAAUUUUUGAGACCAAUUCAUGCAAGAUAAAUUGGACUUUGGUAGGGGCCCUACAUAUGAGUUUUCUCUUCUGACUGUUGACUGUUAUACUUAAUGAAUGUUGUUUGAUCUUAGUCUUACUCUUUGAUAUGCAUGUGAUGAUUUUAUACUUGAGCUAACCCUGUUUCCAUGAUAGCGCACUAUUGCUUGCUGCCAAGGUACGCUCCCACUCCCACUUUGCUUACUCUUGCGCGUGAUUCGUUUUAUUAUUUGAUCAUUUCAUUGGUAUCCAUUGAUUUCCUUAUCAAUUGCCACACUUAUUUCACCUUAUUAGUAGAGACCCAUUUUUUAAAGGCUUAGAGGGGUGCUACGGUCUUUAUCGUACCUUCUCAAUAAGUAACUUGAUCCUCGAACCCCUGUUUGGUUUUUCAUAGACUUGAUUUUUCAAAUAAGGAGUCACACUUAGGGUUUUUCUUUCUUAUUUUGUUUUCCCUUUAAAAAUAAAACAAAAAUAAGUGGCGACUCCAAGUUUUUUCUAAAAGUCACAUUUUCAUCAAAUAAAUUAAAAAACGAGUUUCGCCAUUGAGUGGGAAUGCAUUGAGCAAAAUGUGAGGUCCACAAAAUGGCAACUCCAUUGGGGAUGUUUAGAGGGUCAAACUUGAACUCGGGUUGAGGGGAAUGUGGCAUUUGAUUGGUCGAUCAAUGGAUACCCCUCUAUAUGUGUCUUGGUAUGAUUGGUUGGUGAUUACACAUUGAGAGCUUUGAUAUGUUUAUCUGUGAUACAUGUUUAGCUGUUAUGUUCAUUUGUGAUAUUGACAUGUUGACUACAUCGAUUGAUUCACUUGCUUGCUUUAGCAUAGUGACUCUUCUUGUUGUAUGAUUAUCUUACUUUCCUUGACAUGUAUAUUCUUAUUUUUGUAUAUUACUUUUCANNNNNNNNNNNNNNNNNNNNNNNNNNNNNNNNNNNNNNNNNNNNNNNNNNNNNNNNNNNNNNNNNNNNNNNNNNNNNNNNNNNNNNNNNNNNNNNNNNNNUGACAUGUAUAUUCUUAUUUUUGUAUAUUACUUUCAUACUAGUGUGAUUGAUUCUCUUUAUUGUAUAUUAUUUUGUUUAUCUCAACAUAUUGUUUAUUCUUGCUAUAUACCUAUCUUGCUUAUCAUAUUCUUGCCUAGCUUGUGUGUAGACAUGAGUGAUAUAUCUGUACUUUGCUUGAUUGUAUGUUGCAUGACUGCCCCCCUCUGUGUGAUUGCAUGUCGCUUGUUCGUGUGGGCCGCACAUCUAUCCCCUUACCUCCAACCCUCUGGUUUCGAUCAUUUUCUUCAUUUUGGUUCUCACUGUUUCAAGUGUGAGGCUUUGUGUGUGCUUGUUUCUCUGAUUGAGCAAGAGGUUAAGAGUAGGGUUUAGCGACGGGCUAUAUUGAUGUUUGAGAGCAUUCUGAAGGAGACCGAACAUCGACACUUUUUCAGAUGCACCCACACCGCUCACUAUGCACUCUAGUUGACCAUUGAGUGUUGAGAGUUUUGAGAGAUUUCACCAUAGGAAACCCCCUGGGAUGUUGAGGUAGUGCAUGUGUGGAGGUGAUGACCACCUUGCAUGAAAAUGCUUUGUUUCUUCGAAAGCGUGCAGAGGGUUGCGUACCGUCAAAGGGUAUGAUUGCUUCUGCUAGGGAUCCUUUAAAGUCCACCCCUCUUCUUUUUAGAUUCACCUUGACCUUGUAGGUUAAGACUUAGAUAUUUCAAUCAAGAUUUUCUUUCCUAACACGUGGGUGCAUUUGCAAGCCUUCAGAGCCAGUUCAGUAGUGAUAGGUUUAGUUACCUUCGUAGUAGUCUCUUAUAUAUCUGCUCAGGAUUGGAUAUCAGUUUGAUUACUUCUGGGUUAUCUUUCGACUUAUUUGAUAGACAUUCAUUGUGGAGUUUCCCUUACCCCGUAUCUUAUCUAGUAUUUCCUCUAUUGUAGGAGUAUUAAUACGUUCAGUUUAGGUUCGGCUUCUUGGAUCAGAGUUAGGGGUAGAUUGAUCAAAGUAUCAGACCAAUCAGACCAGAGAUUAGAUCAGAGAGAUAUGGACUCAAAGAUAGUUACCAUUGACCAAUUUAUUACACCAAUGGCUUCGAUUCAGGAGGCUAUAGCUAACAUUGGUCAGAGAAUAGAUGGGUAACAGGCCCAACAGGUCCCGCCUUAGGAUGGCGCCUAGUAUGACCCUAUAGUGCCACCACCCCCUCCACCCAGUCAGUCAGCACCACAAGUUAUACAUUUCACUCUGCAUAGUAAGACCGAGGUUGCCCCGCCUCCUGUCACCAUGCCUACGCCGACCUCAGAGGACCCACAUGCUCGCAUGGAUAGGCUUGAGCAGAGGUUGAUGCAAUUGAGGACUUCAAACAGAGCUGUUACUUGGGAGGAUUUUGAUGGAGCACCAGUGGCCAGUUUAUCGGCCAAGUUUAGGAUGCCCGAGAUUGAGAGAUACAUGGGCAUUGGCUGUCCUUGCAUCCAUUUGAGGCUUUAUAAUACAAUCAUGAAGGCCCAUGGACUGGAUGAGGCCCAAAUGAUUAUGUUUUUCCCUAUGUCCUUGAGUAGUGCGGCACAAUAAUGGUUUGCUUCAUUGGAUGUAUCACGCUGUCGGACUUGGGAUGAUUUGACCUAGGAGUUUUUUAGACAGUUCACAUUUAAUACUAUGAUUGACAUCUCGAGGAGAAAGUUAGAGGCAUUAAGAUAGAGGCCAGAGGAGUCGGUCACCUCUUUUAUCUCCCACUAGAGAGAGAAGAUUUCUCAAGUUAUUGAUAGACCAUCUGAGAGGGAUCAGAUCAACAUGAUUAUGAGGAGCUUGUAGCCUCGAUUUGCCCUGCACUUGAUGGGAUUUCCUUAUACGGAUUUUGGAUCUUUGGUACAAGCCUUGUAUGGUAUAGAAGAGGGCAUAGCUAGAUGAUUAUGGUCUAAGUGUUUUCCUUCUAAUUCGAAGGGGAAGAGCCCUUAGGAGGACAGAGACCAAGAGAUGUGGGUGCUAUUAGUUUGGUAGGUUUGAGACCUCUUAGACACUAUCAGACAGUUGGGUAGACUUUUGGACUCUACUACCCACCAUUGCCUCGCAUGCAGUAUAGGCCACGGGCACCUCAUCGGUCAUAUGAUUAGGCCGACACGCUUCCUGCAUUAGCACUGCCUUACCAAGCUGCACAGAGCAUAGAGAGGCCUCCUGUUUCAUAUUCUGCCAUAGGGCAGCCAUGUUAUGCAUCACAGUUUGUCGUGAGACCUACAACAUCCUAUCCUAAACCUAGAGUUCAAUAGACCUCUACUCUUUUUGCUUUUAAGACCUAAAGACAGUUUUCAUAGUUGGGUAUGCCGUUGAGCCAGGCUCUUCGGAAACUCAUAGAGGCCGAAUUAUUGACGACUCUCACUCCCAGACCAUUGCCUUAGCUUGUCCUACCUCAAUUCAAGAUGGAUCUGCACUAUGCAUAUCAUUAGGGAUAAGGACACGAGACUAACCAUUGUACUGCUCUGAGACAUGCUAUCCAGGAUUUGAUUAAUCAGGGUGUGGUUCACUUGGGUCAGCUGAGUGUAACCCCACAAAACCAUUACUAGCUCACACUACACACGCGGUUCUCCCUCCAGCCAAUGGCAUACGCUCCAUUGACUUCGCUGAGCUUGACGAUCACAUCCACAUGCUAAGUUAGGAUGAGUUAGAGCCAAAGCCCAUAGUAUCAGACGAGAUUUUUGAGAUAGGCAGAGUGACUUUGGGCCCUCAGAUGUCCACACCUUUCAGACUAGUCUCCGAGGUGGCAUCGGUACAGACGACCACUGUCGAGCCAUUAACUUUCCCACAUUACAGUGUUCAAACGACAUUCGUCUUGAUUCCGGAUGUUGACGAGGUUCAGACUCCAUAUGUUGACAAUUUUCACACUUCAAAUGUAUAGUAUGUUAUCCGCGGCGUUAGGGUGGUACGACAGCAACCCUCCGUAGCCUCUAGACCCUUGGAGGGGAUGUCCUCCCAUGAGGAGGUCAGAAGAGAGAAUGAUGAGAUUAUGAGGAAAUUAUAGAGCACCCAAGCUCGUAUUUCUAUUUCGAGCUUGAUGGCAUCUUCUAGCACUCACAAAGACACAUUGAUUCGACCCUUGAGCCAGAUCAGAGUCGAGACUACCACCACCCCAGAGGGUUUGAUUCAUAUGGUGAUAGUUGGCAUAGCCACUUGCAUAGUAUUCUCUGAUGAUGACUUGCCACCCGAUGGUUUGGACCAUACACGUCCACUAUAUAUCUUAGUCGAUUGUUCAGGCCGUCGAGUCCCAUUUGUCCUUUUGGACAAUGGCUCGGCCUUGAACGUCUGCCCUCUAGCUACUACCAUUGCCCUUGGCUAUGCGCCCUCUGACUUUGGUCCCUCCACUUAGAAAGUCCAAGCCUAUGAUAGCACUAGGAUGGAGAUUAUGGGCACCUUGGAGAUUGAGUUGUUGAUAGGUCCGACCAUUUUUCCCAUAUUGUUCUAGGCUUUGAGGAUUCCUACAUCCUUUAACCUGCUUUUGGGUCAACCUUGGAUUCACGGAGUUGGGGCUAUUCAUUUUUCCUUUCAUCAGAAGGUAAAGUUCAUUCAUGAUGGGUAGGUCAUCACAGUGCAGUCUAUGGGAGAUAUGUUUAUUUUUUCUGAGCCAGUACUUCAGAUUAGUCAUAGUGAUGACUACCUAUUUCUGACUAGAUUCACAUUCAAUGAGGUGUAGACCCUAGAAAUGGAGGAAUUUUGCCGAGACUUCGUGGCUAUGUUGUUCGACCAGCAUGACAACAUAGUAGUACUCGACAUGAUGAGAAGCAUGUCUUAUUUACCUGGCAUGGGAUUGGGGUGAUGUCAGCACGGGCCCAACGAGUUCAUGGCUAUCCUAGAUCAUGAUGUACCAUUGGGACUCGGGUUCAUCCCUACCGAGGUCGACUAUCGAUAUAUGGCGCGAUUGCGCAAGGAGAGAGUAAGGGCUCGAUUGACUCAUACACCGUUUGAUUAUCCUAUUCGCCCAUACACCAUGAGCUUGACGGACUAUUUUGUGAGGGCGUUAGAGCUACAUACGCAUAUGGGUGGGAUCAUUGGGGGAUUCAACACUACUUAGGAGGUCGAGCUUUAGCGCCUAAGUUUUGUUUCUGCAUUGAUCGUCCCAUUAUCUCUAAGUCGUAUGAGACUUAUGAUGCUCUAUUUCCUAGAUGAGGUCGAUGAGCAUGGGACAUUUACUGAGAUCGGAGACAUAGUAGAUGGAGCUAUUCCACAUGGCGAGUACAUUGAUGAGAUGUUGUCUAUGAGUAUAAGCCAGGUUGAUGGGGUAGUUCGGCCCAAGCUUGCUUCGCUAUUCGAUCUCUUUGGGGUUUCCACAAUCGAGAUUGUUGAGGAGAUCUAGACUGCUCCUACUCUAGAGUUUUCAAAUGAUGUUAUAGUUGUUGAUGUUUUGUUUGAGGGCCCUGUUGGCCCAGUUGAGAGAGCGUCUAACUUUGUGGGCCCACCUCUUUCAUUUGAUGUUUUAUCGAGAUUUGUCUCUCGUUCUGACGAUGUUCAUGACUCCUCAUUUAUGGAUUUGAGCAUUUUUUAGUAUCUGCCUGUCUCUUAUGAUAUCACUUUAUCUGCACCAUCUUCACCCACAUCAUAGAUAUUUGAUAUAGAUGAUGAGACUGUACCGCAUGAUUUAGAUGAAUAAUCUUCUUUUGUUUCUGAUUUGAGUCCUGGUGAUCAGAGAGUCUCACCUGCCACAACAGACGCUGAGAUUGUUGAUUUUGGUACAACAGACCAGCAGACUAGCCGAGGGAGUUGAGGAUUGGAUUGGAUUUGUCUAUAGAUGAGCGGGAUGGCCUCGCCCAGUUGCUCAUAUCAUAUUUGGAUGUUUUUGCAUGGUCUUAUGAGGACAUGUCAGGCCUUGAUCCAUCCAUAGUCCAGCAUCGUUUACCACUUCUGCCUCAUGUCAGACCAGUUAAGCAGAAGUUGAGGCGAUUGCACCCUCGUUGGAGUUUACAGGUGAAUGAGGAGAUUCAGAAGCAGCUUAGUGUGGGAUGUUUAUCAGUGGUCGAGUAUCCCGAGUGGCUGGCCAACGUUGUCCCUGUUCCCAAGAAAGACGACAAAGUGAGAGUCUAUGUUGAUUUUCGAGAUCUCAACAAGGCCAGUCCUAAGGAUGAUUUUCCUCUCCCACACAUCGACAUGUUAGUUGAUAGUACGACAGGUCAUUCGAUGUUGUCCUUUAUGGACAAAUUUUUUGGGUACAAUCAGAUUCCAAUGGCUCUAGAGGACAUGGAGAAGACAUCUUUCAUUACCGAGUGGGCUACUUACUACUACAGAGUGAUGUUGUUUGGUUUGAAGAAUGUAAGAUCUACUUAUCAGAGAGCAGCGACUACUCUAUUCCAUGACAUGAUGCAUCAUGAUGUCGAGGUUUAUGUAGACGAAAUGAUAGUGAAAUCUCGAGAUAGAGUAGAUCACCUAGUAGCCUUGGAGAGAUUCUUUGAGAGGAUCAGGCAGUUCAUAUUGAGACUGAAUCCCAAGAAGUGCACUUUUGGAGUGAUUUCUGGGAAACUUCUAGGAUACAUGGUAGGUGAGAGAGGUAUAAAGGCAGAUCCAGAUAAGAUCAUAGUCAUCCUUGACAUGCCUGCGUCGAUGACCGAGAGAGAGAUCAGAGGCUUCUUGGGUAGACUUCAGUACAUUAUUAGAUUCAUUGCCAUAUUGAUAGACAUCUAUGAGCCUAUUUUUCGACUUUUGAGGAAGAGUCAACCUACCGUUUGGGAUGAUAAGUGUCAGCACGCAUUUGAGAGGAUCAAAGAGUACUUAUUGUCGCCUCCAGUCUUGUUGCCUCCUACACCAGGUUGUCCUUUACUCUUAUACCUAUCAGUUUCAGGCGUAGCUUUGGGUUGCAUGUUGGCUCAACUCAAUGAUUCAGACAAUGAGCAAGCCAUUUAUUAUUUGAGUAAAAGGAUGCUAGAUUAUGAGAUAUAAUAUUUCAUGAUUGAGCGCUACUAUUUGGCAUUGGUUUGGGCUACUCGAAAACUGAGACAUUACAUGACCGAGUAUUCAAUGCACUUGAUAUCCCGUCUUGAUCCUCUGAGAUAAUUGUUUGACAGACCUGCUUUGGUUGGACCGCUCAUAAGAUGGUUGGUACUUCUGACUGAGUUUGAUAUUCAUUAUGUCACUCAAAAGUCUAUCAGAGGGAGCAUUGUUGUAGAUCAAUUAGCCUUAUUACCGGUUUCUGAUGGUAGAGCUAUUGAUGAUGAUUUCCCAAAUGAGGAUGUUGUUGUUGUGACUAGUCUGUCGGGUUAGCGCAUGUAUUUUGAUGGUGCGGCCAACCAUUCUGGAUAUGGGAUAGGUGUCUUGUUGAUAUCCCCUCAUGGUGACCACAUUCCUAGAUCUGUUCGUUUGGCAUUCUUGGAUCGACAUCUUGCCACGAACAAUAUUGUUGAGUAUGAGGCUUGCAUCUUAGGAUUAGUGAUUACUACUCAAAAAGUGUUAUUUCAUAGCUUGUAAUUAACUCUUUUAAACACUUGUGAGUAGUAGUUAUCACCUUUUAACUCAAUUAACAUAUUAAGGACCCUUGCAAUCAAUUCUAAUCAAAUUGUGUUAAGUUUUGGUGUUUUGAUAGCUUUUUGAUCACCAAAGCAAUCCGAGAUUGAGGAGAGUUCUUUGGAAUCCAUGGCAAAGAUGUCCGGAUGCCCAGAGUUCUUUGGAAUCCAUGGCAAAGAUGUCCGAACAGGGCGUCCAGACACACCAUCGGAGGGCGGUGGAAUGACGUAGCAAGGCUUGCUCACUUUAGUCAAUGAUCCAGACAACAUAUCCGGAUAGGAUAUGCUAUCGUCUGGGGUGUGAUGUUCACAAGUGUCGUAUGCUUCUCCCUGAGGGAGUCCGGAUAGAGAAGCGCGCCACGUGUCCUCUUGGGGAAUCCGGAUGGAGUUGCUCCGGAUAGCGACGCGCGGCAUAGCUCAUUCCACCAGGGAAAGAAUUCUAUUCGGCCGACCUUCCAUCUUCUCCAUAUAUCUCACAGCCGGAUGAGAGAAAAGGACGUUUCAACUUCCCCGGUCAAACAUGUCCGGAUCCUCUGAUCGGAUAUUUCACAUCCGGAUAUCUCACAACCAGAUGGGAGAGAAGGACAUUUCAACUUCCCCGGUCAGACAUAUCCGGAUCCUCUGAGAGCGCUUACCCGAAGAGUUUUUCUCUCAUUAUACAGUGACGCGAUGUUCUCCUGAAGCUUCCUGAUAUUUCCGACCGACUUUUUGAGAUAUUUUGCUUUAGAUAUUUGAUGUCUAAAUCCCUAAACUCUCCUUGUAACCCACCUAUCAUAGGAUUCCUUAGUCUUUAAGUAAGAACAAAAGGGGUGAAUAACCUCUUAUAUAUAGUUGAAAUUUUCUUUACAAUCAUAUAGGUCUCGAGAGCUUGUUCUUGGAGACAACCUUUUGUAUAAGUAAGAAAUAUAGCUACAGAGCACUUGCUCUGUUUUUCAUAUAUAUUUUUGUUUUUCUCGUUAUUUUCUAGCCAAUCAAACUCUGAGGAUUUUUCCUCAGAUGAUGAGAGGCUAAGCUCUUCGUCUCUUGGAGUGAAGAAAGCCGGGUAAGUUUCCUCAUGCAUAAAUUGGAAGUUUUGUUGUUUUAAUUUUUAAUGAAGAGAAGGUGUGACCCGUUAAUGGUUUUUAUCUUUUUAGUUAACUUAAAACACCUUUAAUUCACCUGGACCAACACUUGAUAAGGCAAGUGAUUUCCAUUCAUUGAGAUGCACUUGUUUAUCUCUUGCGAGUCUUUGGGAGGUGGUUUAGAAGUAGGAUUUUCUAGAAUAGCCAACACUUGGUAAGCUUUUGGACUCCAAGGAGACAUCCAUUAGUUUACCUCUUGCGAGCUUUUGACGGGUAAUCUAAGGUUAAAGAUCAUCUUGAAUAGCAAGUGCUAGGUGAGAGGUAUGAGUCAUUGCAAGAUGCAUCAGUGAGAGGGAUUUAGUGUUUGAACCCAUUAAUGGGAAGCAUCUGUACCACACCGGUUAGAGAAUUAACUAUAUGUUAAUUCUCUAAUACGAGGAAAAGAAACAAGUGACCGAAACUCCCUUUUUGUAUGAGGAACCUGAACCUAGUGAUCCAAACUCCAAGAAACACUUUUCUUUGUAAUUAAAAUCAGUUACUAUUUUUGGUUAGUUUAAAACCAAACCUUUUUCGUUCAAACACCUUUAUAUUUUCUUUUAAAGCUAACCUUGAAAUGAAAAGGCACCAAGUCAACUUUGCAUUAAUAUCAAUUAUGAAGUGAAAACCCAUCUCAGUGAACGACCCUAGAGCCAUUAUGCUAUGCUAGCUAAGGUUAUCCUAGUACAUGGUGUAAUAGGUUAUAAAUUUUGUUGAUUACUCCCUGAGAACUACAAUCCAGGGACACCAGUUGGACACGUAUCAAAUGGCACCACUGUCAGGGACCAUUGAGAGCACAUGAAUCAGUUGAGACACCAAUUGGGAACGAAUCAAUUAGAGAUAGCUCUUGAGCUCGGGAUUAGAUAGAUGGAGGUAUUUGGUGACUCUAAUCUAGUAUUGAGACAGAUCCAAGGUGAGUAAAAGACUAGAGAUGUGAAGUUUAGGCCUUACCAUGCAUACUUAGAGCUACUGGUUAGGAGAUUUGAUGAUUUGAGAUACACACAUUUGCCUAGAGCGUAGAACCAGUUGGUUGAUGCCUUAGCUACUCUAGUUUCCAUGAUUGAUAUUUCUAUUGAUAUCGUUGUUCGUCCUUUACUGAUUGAGUCGAGAUCAGUUCCUGCCUAUUGUUGUUUGAUUGAUGAGGCAGAGUUGGAUGAUGGUUUGCCUUGGUACCAUGACAUAUACCAGUUUCUGAGACUUGGUGCACAUCCUGAGGCCGCUACGACCAAGGAUAAGAGGGCAUUGAGACAGUUAACAACCUGUUUAUGAUUUGUGGCGAGACUUUAUACAGACGAUCAGAAGAUGGGAUGUUACUAUUGUGCCUAGACCGCGCCUCUGCUGAUCGAGAUGAGAUAAGUUCAUACGAGAGUCUGUGGACCACACAUGUAAGGACAUAUGUUGGCCCGUAAGAUCAUGAGAACUGGCUAUUUAUGGUUGACAAUGGAGACAGACUGUUGCUAGUUUGUUCAGAGAUGUCCAGAGUGCCAGAUUCACGAGGACCUCAUUCAUGUGCCUCCUUUAGAGUUACAUGCACUGACUUCGCCAUGACCAUUUUCAGUAUGGGGCAUAGACAUUAUUGGGAAUAUUUCGCCGAAGUCUUUCAAUGGUCAUGAGUUCAUCUUGGUUGUCAUUGAUUACUUCACCAAGUGGGUGGAGGCUGCUUCGUAUGUGAGAUUGACAUCAUCUGGGGUCACUAGUUUCAUCAGAUCACACAUUAUCUAUCACUAUGGAGUCUCUCAUGAGUUGAUUUCGGAUAGAGGAGUACAUUUCAGAGCAGAUGUUGACACUUUGUUAGAGAGAUACGGUAUUCAGCAUCAUUGAUCAUCUGCGUAUAGGCCGCAAACUAACGGAGCGGUAAAGGGUGCGAAUAAGAAUAUUAAGAGGAUCUUGCGAAGGAUGGUUGAGACUUCUCGGAAUUGGUCAGAGAAACUCCUUUUCGCAUUGUGGGCUUAUUAGACUUGUUUUGGCACCUCUACAUGAGCCACACCCUACUCCUUGUUGUACGGUGUGCUACCAGUUGAGAUUGAGAUAGGUCAUUGAGAGUAGCAUUGGAACAGCAUAUUCUAGAGGCAGAUUGGGCUCAGGCUCGAUUAGACCAGCUCAAUCUCCUAGAUGAGAGAAGAUUGAGGGCAGCAGACCAUGUUCAUGCCUAUUAGAGGAAGAUGGUCUGUGCUUUUAAGAAGCGGGUCAAGCCUAGGCCGCUAUAGAGUGGUGACUUGGUUUUGAAGGUCAUCAGGGGAUUGAUCAGAGAUCCUAGAGGGAAGUUCAAACCCAAUUGGAGCGGACCUUACUUCAUUAGGGAGUUGACCCCCAGACCGCUGCAUGGUUGAUGGAUCUAGAUGAAAAUCGAUUCUCGGAGCCGUCCAACGUGGAUCAGCUAAAGAGGUACUACGUUUGAGACCAUGGUCGUAGGAUGGGUGGCCAUCUUCGGUUAGCCAUAUACCAUUUCACUCUUUUGAUAUAUAGACCGUUGCUAGCCCAUUGAGCCUCGCGUGUGCAUUAUAGCAUUUCUUUCUUAUCGCCUUGCUCAUAUUUUUGCAUUGGGAUGGGGGCCCUUUAGUGUAUGCAUGCAUUGUUUGGGAGUUUCAUGAGUUUUGGACCUACACGUGCAUCUUUCUCUCAUUAUUUUUCCUACCAUCAGUAUACUACAUUCCAUCGUAUCUCAUUGGUUGUAUUCUUCAUAUCUUUUUUUUUUAUUCUAUCUAAUGCUCGUUUUGAUUCAUAUUCUCUCCACCCUAAGUGGUGAUCCUCCUCAGUUCAUUACAUGGAGGAUAGUCACAUCAUUUCCACUAUUUAUCCCACGGACACUGGUUUAGAGAUUCUUAGUUUGAGAAGGUCAUCUUGUCAGAUAGAGUUUUUGUUACCUUAGCACUUGAGAGCGUGUCUAUCCAUUAUUGAUAUCAUCUUUGGGGCUUAUUUUGUUCAUGUUCAGGGUGUGUGCAUUUGUAUAUAUGUAAAAAAAAAUGAAAAAGAAAAGAAAAAUAAACACAUAUGUGUAUGUGCAUAGUAUUCUCCAUCAUUGAGCGUGUAUAUUGAUAUUUGAGGGUCAUUUUAUCGGGUAUGUUUGUUGAUAGGAGUUCGUGUGUGAGCUUUCUAAGACCCUCCAUUUUUUUUGUAUUCACUUUGUCGUGUAUUUUGAGAGUGAGAUGAGUGACCUUCUCUUAGGAGCUCUGGGUCAUUGUCCCUUCCAUUAUUACAUUCAUUGUUGAUGUGACUUCACUUCAUGUUGAAUUUGAGUGGAUCUUCACUCCUCUUUAUGUGCUUCGCUUCACCAUCAUCCUCAUUUUGCUUUUGAUUCAUCAUCCUCAUCUCACCCUUUGUCAUUUUCUUACAGCGACCCUUUUCCAAGUUUGACGCUUUCUUUGCAUCAUCAUUACACACCUUAUUAUCAAUGUUAUUUUCUUCACUACCUCAUUGUUGUUACCAUAUUCAUAUUGGGCAUCGUUAGGUCCAUGGCUCAUGAUUUUCUAUACAUGUUACAUUUCAUACAUGAGGGCAUGAGUUUUGAUCAUUGGGUAUUUGAGCCUAGUUUCCCUUCAUUUCUGUUACCCUAUCACCCUAGCCUACAUUACGUCAUGUGUCUUAAGAUCACCUUAAGGCCAUGAGAUCAGAUGUCGUCUUCGACAGCCCCUACUUGGACAGAUAUUUGAGAUUUGGUUGAUAUUUAGAUAUCAUCAUGCUUCUUCUUCUGGGAGACGCCUCUUUGAAGUUUGGACCUGAUUCAGUUGUGCACAUGGAUGAUCGGGAUUACACAUUUGAUGAUAAAUGAUUUAAGGUCAUCUGAUUUUUCGAUCUACCAUACAUCUAUGCCAUACUAGGGCAUAUUUUCCUUUUCGGUCGAGAUUUGUAGAUCUUCAUGGAGUCACAUGAUACUCACCACUCACGGGAUGCAUGACGAGUUGAUAGUAUAUUGUUAUCUUAUCAUGAUCUCUCAGUGGAGUCUCUCUUGGGCCAUUUAGUCAGGCUCACACUUUUCGGCAUUUAGAUAUCAUCAUGCUUCUUCUUCCAGGAGACAUCUCCUUAAUGUUUAGGUUCGAUUCAGUUGUGGAUUUAGGUGAUAGAGGUGACACAUUUGAUGAUAGAUGAUUUGAUGUUGUCCGAUUUUCGGCUUAUUCCACAUUUGAUUCCAUACUGGGGCAUAUUUCCCUUUCGGUUGAGAUUUACAGAUCUACAUGGAGUCGCAUGAUUGUCCCCACCUAUGAGAUACACACUGAGAUGAUGACCUGCUUGCUAUCUUUUCAUGAUCUCCCAGGGGAGCCUUUCUUAAGCCAUUCAGUCAAACCCACACCUUUUGGCAUUUGGAUGUCAUCAUGUUUCUCUUUCUAGGAGACACUUAUUUGAUUUGUUGAUCCAAUUCCGUUGUGGACAUGGAUGGCUAGGAUUACACAUUUGGUGAUGGAUGAUUUGGUGCCAUCUGGUUUUCUAACCUACCACACAUUUGAUGCCAUACUAGAGCCUAUUUCCGUUUUGGUUGAGAUUUGUAGGUCACCAUUGAUUUGCAUGAUCAUCCUCAUUUAUGAGAUACACAAUGAGCUGAUGAUUUGCUUUCAUUUUGUCCUGGUUCUCUAGAAGAGCCUUUCUUGAGUCAUUCAGUCGAGCUCGUACUUUCUAAUAUUGUCGUGAUUCUUGGAUGGAGUUACCUCAGAUGCAUAGCCUCCCAUAUUAUCAUUUAAGUGGAGUACAUGUCAGAUCUCUUAUACAUCCCUUGGAGCUAUUGUUGAGUCAUCAGGGCAGACGGGAUGCCUAGUUACUAUACUGGGGCAUAUUUCCCUCUUUUAGUUGUGGAGAUGAUUGGUUUCGCACAGAUCUGUUAUUGUCUUCAUUACUCUGCCGAUGGAUGUUUAUUUGCAUUACUACGUCACUGUUUCAGUGAUUUUCGCCAAGAUGAGCCCCCAGGAGAGCACGAUUUCUAGGUUUUGAUUGCCCCACCAUCCAUGACUCUUCAGUAGAUUGUUGUGUUGAGGUCGCGACAGUUACCCGGGAAGACUUUCUCUUAAGACUCCCCAUUGGAUCAUUCAUCUGAUAUGACGACGGAUUCCUCUAGUAGAGUAUUUUGAGUUGAAGACGUUCGACCUAUUCUGGCACUUUGUCAAGUUUGUGAUUCAGUCAGAUGGAUUGUGAAGCCAUAUUUAUAGUCAAUUUGACCGUUCCGACUCGUCAGCGAAUCAUCUUUUGAGGCUCAUGGAGUCUCUUUCAAACCCUUCCUGUGGAUUGAGAAUUGUAGCAACAUGCUACACUAGGGCAUAUCUCUCCCUCAUUAUCUCCUUGCAUUUUCAGCUUGACAUUCAGAGCCAUCAUGUCUAUUUUCCGUUUGACAUUCAGAGUCACAUUUUCAUUUUGGAGUUCAGAGCCGCAUUCUCAGUUUCAGCAUUUGGAUCUGUCAUUUGUCUUUAGUUCGACAUUUAGAGCCAUCAUGUCUCUUUUCUGUUUAACAUUUAGAGUCGCAUUGUCAUUUUAGUGUUCAGAGCCGCAUUCUCAGUUUCAACGUUCAGACUUGUCAUUUGUCCUUAGUUCGACAUUCAGAGCCAUCAUGUCUCUUUUCCGUUUGACGUUUAGAGUCACAUUUUCAUUUUGGCAUUUAGAGUUGCAUUCUCAGUUUUAGCAUUUGGAUCCGUCGUUAUGUCUUCAGUUCGACAUUCAGAGCCACCAUCCUAUCACGAUUGGGCGUUCAGAACCAUUAUCUCUUCAGUUUGGCAUUCGAAGCCACCAUCCUAUCACGAUCGAGCAUUCAUUGUCAUCUUUUUUGCGUUUAGAGCUACGUUCCUAGCGUUCAAAGCUGUCAGUUCAAUUUGGGUAUUCAAAGCUUCGUCUUUAGUAUUCAAUGUUAUCAGUUUUUUUUUUAGUUCGGCGUUCAAAGCCAUGUCUUCAGUUCGAUAUUUAGAGUCAUCAUGUCGUUCUUCAGUUAAGCAUUCGGAUCCACCAUAUCUCUUUCAAUUCGGCGUUUAGAGUCACAUUUUCAUUUUGGCAUUCAGAGUCAUUGUUUGUUUCAGUUUGACAUUUAGAGUCGUGUUUUUAGUUUGACAUUCGGAGAUGUCAUCCUUUCCAAUUGUGGCGUUCAAAGUCGCAUCUCCAGCUUGGCGUUCAGAGACUUCACCUCUCCACAAUUUGGCAUUUAGAGCCCGUUGUUUGCAAUCAGGCGUUCAGAGCCAUCAUCUUUCCACAGUUUGGCAUUUAGAGCCCGUUGUUUGUAGUCAGGCGUUUAGAGCCAUCGUUCACAAUUUGGCGUUCAGAGUUGUCAUUCACAGUUUGGCAUUUAGAGUCGUCAUCAUCUCUCCACAGUUAGGCGUUCAGAGCCAUCGUUCACAUUCACGCAUUCAAAGCUAUCGUCCACAGUCAGGCGUUCAGAUCCAUUGUUCACAUUCAAGCGUUCAGAGCCAUCGUUUACAUUUAGGCGUUCAGAGCCAUCAUUCACAUUCAGGAAUUCAUAAUCGUCAUCAUCGUUCACAUUCAAGCGUUCAGAGCCAUCAUCUCUCCACAGUCAAGAGUCCAGAGCCAUCAUUCAUAUCAAGAGUUCAAAGCCAUCGUUCACAUUCAAGUGUUCAAAGUUGUCAUCUCUCCAAAAUUAGGCGUCUAGAGCCAUCGUUCACAUUCAGGAGUUCAGAGCCAUCAUUCACAUUCAGGUGUUUAGAUCCAUCAUCUCUCCACAGUCAGGUGUUCAGAGUCAUCGUUCACAUUCAGGCGUUCAGAGCCAUCGUUCACAUUCAAGCGUUUAGAGCCACCAUCUUUCUACAGUUUGACGUUUAGAGCCUUCAUUUUCUUGAGUUUGGCAUUCAAAGCCAUCAUUCCUUCUCAGUUUGGGCAUUUAGAGCCAUCAUAUCUUCUCAGUUUGGGCAUUCAGAGCCACAAUUUCUUUUUAGUUUGGCGUUUAGAGCCACCAUUCCUUCUUAGUUAUGGCAUUCAGAGCCGUCAUAUUUUCUCAGUUAUGACAUUUGGAGUUGUCUUGCUCAGUUUGACAUUUAAAGAUGUCUGUUCUCAGUUAUGGCGUUCAAAGCCACCAUUCUUAUUAUAGUUCGGCGUUCAGAGCUACUAUCUCUUCUCAGUUAUGACGCUUAGAGUCUUAGUUUGACAUUCAGAUAUGUCAGUUCUCAAUUGUGGUAUUCAAAGCCUUCACUUUCCUCAGUUUAGCGUUCAGAGCCGCAUCUCCAGCUUGGCAUUCAGAGUCACUAUUCCUUCACAGUUUGACGUUUAAAGCCAUAUCUUCUUAGUUUGGCCUUCAAAGCCAUGUUUCUAGUUUGGCAUUCAGAGCUACUAUCUCUUUUUCAGUUUUGACAGUCAGAGCCACCAUCUUGUCUUCAGUUUAGAGUUCAAAGCCACCAUUCUCAUUACAAUUCGGCGUUCAAAGCCACCAUCUCUUCUCAGUUACGACGUUCAGAGUCACCCUUCACAGUUUGGAUUUCAGAGCCACUAUCUCUUUUCAAUUUUGGCCUUCAGAGCCACUAUUUCUUUUUAGUUUUGAUAUUUGAAGUCACUAUCAGUUCUCAGUUUGGGCAUUCGGAACCACUAUCUCUUUUCAAUUUGACGUUCAAAGUCGUUGUGCAUACUCAUUCAGGCAUUUUUGAGUCACUGUCUUUCCUCUUUUUUGACGUUCAGAGUCAUUUUUCCUCAGCCUUAUCAUUCAGAGUCAUAGCUCAUGGCAUUCAAUUUCAUUGGCAUUGCACAUCUUACCUUCACGAUUUUGCAUUCGUCCUCGUUUUCCUCACCUCGUUACCUUGUGCUUAUCGCUUGUUCAUCAUGCUCUCCUAGACUUUCCCUUCCCUUGCACAUGACAUAGUCCAUUGAGUUCACAACACAUAUUUCGGUCAUGUUAUUGGGCGCCCUACACUUAGUGUUCUCAUGUAGUUCACAUAGGGCAAUCCCCUUCAUACUCAUUCUUAUGCUCCAAGGUGGUUUGACCGUUACUCAUCUUUGACAUUGAUCUUUGAGUCACUUUUGGAGACAUCUUAGAGAGAGUUUGGGUCAUUGGUGUAGCUUUAGAGGCACCUUGAGAGAUGUUUUUCUCUUAAGAUUAGAGCCCUUUUGUUUGGUUUGAGCGAGUUUGUGUUCUACUGGUAUACUUUUGGGGGUCUUUCUUUGUUCUUAGGUAGAGUUCACUUCAUUUCACUCACUUUUCACACUUUCUUUUACUCUAGUGUUCAUAUUCCUUGUACUCGUGAACUCUACCGAAGAAGGGCAUAUUUGUAUACCCCCUCAGAUAGUAUUUUAUUUUAUUUAUUAUUAUUAUUUUUCUGGCCACCUUAAGAAAGAGUCAUUCUUGGGUAGCCAAAAAUGACGGAAGGUGAAAGAAUACGACUGAUGGGUGAGGUUUUUUUUUUUUUUUUGGCGGCCAAAUGAGACGAAAGGACAAUAGGAUUAGAGACGUUUUGGGGAGGAGAUAUUUUUUCUGGGCUGGUUAUAAAGUAGCUAGGAGAGUAAGAGAGCUUUUUGGGGGUUACAGGGAAGAGAGUCUGUUUGUGGCUGGUUAUAGAGGAGCGUGUUUGGCAACUUGAGGAAAAAGAGAAAACCUUUACAGAAGCAAAACGGAGAGGAGUUAUUUCAGGUAUGAUUGACAUAUGUUUCGGGUUCUUUUUUGCUUUCAUGCUUUUGUUUCUAUCUUUUCUACUAGUCUUUGGAUGUUGUAGGUUGUUUGUUGUUUGCUAUGGACAUUAAACAUGGUUGUCUUCCUCAGUAUGAUAUUAUAUAUAUAUGUUCUGUUUCGCUUCCAUUUUCGAUGUUUCUUUAUUUCUCUAGUAAGUAUCUGAUGUUUUGGCUCAUCAUUGAAUUUGAUUCUCAAAUAUCGUGUUCUUACUCAUUUUUAUUACACCCAUAUUUGGCCCACUAAUCUUCAUGAAAUGGAGCUGGAUUUAAUAGUGUUAUCUUCUCUUGUAUCUAUCAUAUUUUUCUUCACUUUCAUCUCUCUCUCUCUUUUCUCUGUUUUUUCUUCCAUGAAUUUCCUCUUCUCCUCACUCUCUCUCAUCAAUUAUUUCAUUUCUAUCGUCUUAUUCUCUUCUAAUUCUUAGAGUCUCCUCUUAUAUUUUUGGGAUUAUUAUGAGAAAACUGGAGGCAAAGUUUUUAGGCAUGGUGUCAACAUUUCCCAGUAACUGAUUUUUUUUCUCAUUUUUUAAAACUUUUUUUUUUCGGUCUUUUUGUUGGUGGGUUCUGAACAAAGGUGUUGUCUUGCCUUGUUUAUGAUGUGCUCUUCACAAUGCCUGUUUGAUUGAAGUCGGGUGCACGUGGGUUUGAUUUUUGUGUUAUUUUACUAUUUUCUAGACCUAUUUAUUGUUUUGUUGUUGAGAAACUAGAAUGUAUGUGGGGGCAGUGUUUGUAUGAGAAAUAUAUUUCUGGUUUUUGUGUUUUAUCAGGGUAAAAAAAACAGUUCUUUAUUUUGUCCUGUAUGUGUGUUGUGUUGUAUUGUUUUCAGUUUGAGUUGUUUACUUCUAGGUUUUGUUUUGUUCUCUUUUUUUAUUGUGUUAAUAUGUUGCUGGGUUUUUCAGCAAAUCUAUUAAUAAACCUUAUAUUUUUAUGGGGAACAUUGGCAUCUUUUGUUGCCCUUAAGACUAGUAAACAACUAAUUAGUAGUGAGAUUUUCUGGUCAUGUCUCUACCUUAUGUUAAUUAGGUUAUUUUAGGGGUUCAUUUUGUAGGAUUUAGGAAUGACUUAUCUUGUUUUAAUAUGUUAACUAGUUUCAAAAUCAACUAUGAAAUUGAAUUGCGUGCAUGCAUUACAGAAGUCAUUGUGGGAUGGACCAUUUCUGUAAUGAACAAAGUGCAAUAUAGAUGUAAUCACAUCUUCAGUCUUCUCUUAAUCAUGGGUUAAAUUCUUAAAAAAAUUUGGUGGUGCACUGGUGGUAGCUGCAAGACAAUGGCAAUGAUUGUGGCCUGAAGGUGAAUUUUUUUUUUCUUUUUUCUCACAUCAAAGUUUGAUUUCUGUAAAUUCUUUUUAAAUGAUUCUUAAAAUCCCGGUGUCUUGAAUAAUCUCAUUUCUAUUCCAAAUUUCAAAUUUGAUUCCUAAAAAUACCAUUUUUUUUAAAUAAUUUUCCAGAUCUUUAAUUUUCAAAAAUUUAAUUUAUGAAACUUCUAUUUUCAAAUGAUUGCUAAAAAAUUUAUUUUCAAAUAAUUUUUCGAAAUUCCGAUUCUCAAAUUUAAUUUUUAAAACUUUGAUUUUUAAAUAAUUCUUCAAAAUUCUGAUUUUCAAAUUUAAUUUCUAAUUUUCACGUUUAUUUAUUUAAUCAUUAUUAUUUUUUUUAUUAUUAUUAUUUUAUUUUUAAAAUAAUAUAACAUAUAAAAAAUAAAUAAAAAAUUAGAAUUUUAUUUGGAAUUUCCAUUUUGUUGCAUAAUUGAUCAUGUGCUUUUCUAAUUCCUGCUUUAAGUGAGGAAUAAUGAUGACUAAAAUGUUUGACAAAAUGAAAAUUAAGGAGUUGGUGUAGACUUGCAUUUUUCAUGUGGGUUCUUAUUCAACCAGACUCGUUUUCUUAGUGAAAUUUUGAUUUUUUUUAAAAAAAUUGGAGUUGCCACUUAUUUUUAUUUAUUCUUAAAAAAGAAAAUAAAAUAAGAAAUAAAAUUCUAAACAAUUGAUUCCUUAUUUUUGGAAAAAUGCGCCUUUGAAAACCCGAACCUAAGUUUGGAAAUUGAGUUACUUGUUGGAAAGGUAUCAUAAAGGUAACACCCUUUUAAACCCUAAAAGCAAGUCUCUACUAACUAAGUUGAGGAAAGCAUAGUAAUUAAUCGAUAAAUCAUGGAUAUCAAAGGAAACAAAGAUGAUUAGAUCUAAAACCAAACAACAUGCUAUUUAUAUUCAAACAGUCAUACCAAAGUAAUCAAUCAUGCAAGAAGGAUAUAAGCAUACUCGAGCCGCAUUGCAAAGCACUUUCAUAGAAAUAUUAAAAGUUAGUUUGACAAAAACAGUAUACAACAUGUAUUGCAUCUCAAUCAGGGAAUCAAACAAUGAAUCAGGGCAAAUAAGGCAAUAUCAAACAUGAAGAUGUUCACAUACAAAGUAAGCAUAUUCACAUGGUUAAGAGAUAAGAAGGUGAGGAAUGUACUUAGAUAGCAUACACAACUUACAAUGCACUUAUACAUAACUAGAUGAGUUAGUAUACAAGCAAUAAUGAUCAAUGGAAAAAUAACAUGGCCAAAAACUCUAAAUGUUACAUGAUAUAUAUACAACUUAAAUAAAAUGUUAAGAAACCUAAAUUAAUGUCAACCAUCAUAUAGCACAUGUAAACAAACUUAUUGUUAAAGUUAAACUAUGUACAAGAGAGCUAAAAUACCAAAAUGAGUGUCUAAAUCAAAGUAAGCGCAAGGGGUAGAACGGUUACAAUCACUUAAAAAAUUCUAAACAAAUAUCUAGAAACAUUAUCUCAACAUGAAAAAAAAAUCAUGCAACAUCCCCCUUAUAUUUACAUUACAAAAUACAAGUCAAAGCCAAGCCAAGAUAUGUCAAACAACACCGGAUGAAAUAAAAAAAUAAGCAUUAUACAUGAACUUUAACAUGCAGUCAAAAUAGGAAGGUUCAAAAAACAAAUCCUAAAAAAAAAAAAUCUAAAAUAUGAAUUUAAUUACAAAAAAAUUUUAGGAAGCAUAUCCUACAUGUCUAGUUUAGCAUCCAAAUGGCCAAAAAUGUUAUUGAAGUUCGAAUUAAUCACAAUUUAUAAAUAUCUUUCAAAUGGUCCAAGAUAGGAUUGAAUUCAAUGGUAUGCAUAGACCGAAUUUUUUCGCCAACUUAGAAGUAUGAUAAAAUCAUUCAAAAAAUCACAUAACAUGUUCAUAAAAACAAUUUUAUACAAAAAUAAAUAAUAAUAUCAAAGCAAGAAAGCGUACAAAUCACUUUUAAAAACAAUCAAACCACUUUUCUAUUCAAAGUUAGGGCAAUGUAGUGGGUAAAAAAUUCAAAAUUAUUUCUCCUAAUUAAAAAAAUGUUUUUUAAUAUUUUAUGUACCUAAAAUAAACUUCAAAAAGUAUAGAAUCCAAGAAAAAUAUCAAAAUAAAUUUACAAAAUUAUCUAAUAAUUUUAAAAAAUAAAAAUAUUUCAAGUGUCCAGAAUUAGGUGAAAACUAAAGUUACAAAAAAUUGAUUCAUAAAUCCCUUUUGAAAAUUGCUUUUUGACUCAAACAAGUUUCUAAAAUCAACUUUAAGAAGCCUACAACAUCAUUCAACCACAGAAAAAUUUUUAGGAGUAUUCCAAUUUAGCCAAAUCAAAUCGUUUUAGAGACACAGUAAAUGAACAAGUUAGGUGCUAGAAGUUUUGAAAAAUGAUUUUAUGUAAGGGUUUUACCAAAUCCCCAUUUAAUGUACACAAAUUUAGCAUAUGCAUUGUCAACCCUGAAUGAGUACUAGUAAACUUAUCAAAGCCAAGAAUUAUCUCAUUCCUUUGGGACCAUAAGUUUGAAUUCAUGUUCCACUCAAAAACAGGAUUUUAUUGAAAACCAAGACAAUGCAAACUAAAUGAAAAUUGGUUACAUAUCUUUACAAAAAUAGAUUUUGACCCUACGGAUUUUAAGUGAAUUUUUUAAAUGAAUUUUAAUAAAGAUCUUUUGAAAAAGGCUUUUCAUUUUAAAAGAGAAAAGAAAAUUUAGAAUUUACAAAUAAUUAAACACAAGGAAUAUAUCUUUGACAUACAACCACGAUUGUCCUUCAAAAAUAAAAUAAAAUAAAUUCAACCCUUCCAUUUAGAUUUACAUGGCCAACUUUCCAUUGAAAAAUUAAUAAAAUAAAAUAAACCAAAACUUUAUUUACAUGCAUACCAUUAAAAUUUUGAUAUUGAAACAUUUAAAAAAAAUUGACUUACCAAAAUUUUAUUUAUGUACACAGUAUUAAAAAAAUAACAUUGAAACAUUUUGAAAGAUUUUAAAUUAUCAAAGUUUUAUUUAUGUGCAUGGUAUUGAAAAAUUACAUUGAGAAAUUUUAAAAGAUUUUAACUUACCAAAGUUCUAUUUAUGUGCAUGACAUUAAAAAAUUUAUAUUGCAACAUUAAAAAAAAAAAUACUAGAAUUUUAUUUACAUACAUGACAUUAAACAUUUUAUAUUGCAACAUUAAAAAAAAAAAACUUACCAAUAUUCUAUUUAUGUACAUGACAUUAAAAAAAAUUAUAUUCAAACACUUCAAAAAAAUCAACUUAUCAAACAAAUUUAUUUAUGUACAUACCACUAAAAAUUUUAUAUUGAAAUAUUUAAAAAAAAUCAACUUACUGAAAUUCUAUUUACGUACAGGUCAUUAAAAUUUUCACAUUGCAACAUUUUUUUUUUUUUGAAAUACUACUAAAACAAAGUGUACCAAAUAAUGAAAGUUGACUAUAGAUCCUUCAUUUUCUCCCUGCAUUCUCCUUCACUUCUCAUUGCCCUAUAGCAACCCCAUGAUGGUCCAUUGUCACUUGUUUGGUAUUAUUUUUGAGCCACCUUUGGAGAUUCUUUAUUGAGGGAUUCUUAUGGAUCCCAUUUGUGACCUUAGUUGCAUCUUAUUUUAGUACACUUAACUGAAUUUCUAAGUUUAGUUUACUUAAAUGCAUUUCUUAGGUUUAAGUUACUUAGGUGCACCUUAGGUUCAACUCACUUAGCAAUACUUUAGCUUAUUCCAACUCACUUAGUUGCACUUUAAUUUAAUCCACUUAAUUUAGUUUACUUAGUUGCGUUUUAGGGUUUUUUUUUUUUUUCUUUUCUGGUUCACUUUAGUUUAGGUGCACUUUAUUUUAGUUAAUUUGGAUGCAUAUUCAUUUCACUUUGAUUUUGGUAAGUUAAUUUUUUUAAAAUGUUUUAAUAUAAAAAUUUUAGUGGUACGUAUGUAAAUAAAUUUUUGGUAAGUUUAUUUUUUUUUUAGUGUUUUAAUAUAAAAUUUUUAAUGGUAUGUACAUGAAUAGAAUUUUAGUAAGUAUUUUAAAAAUAUUUCAAUAUAAAACUUUUUAAUGUCAUGUACAUAAAUAAAGUUUUGAUAAGUUAAUUUUUUUAAAGUGUUUUAAUAUAAAAAAAUUAGUGGUAUGUACAUAAGUAAAUUUUUGGUAAGUUAAUUUUUUUUAAGUGUUUUAAUAUAAAAUUUUUAAUGGUACGUACGUGAAUAGAAUUUUGGUAAGUAUUUUUUUUAAAUGUUUUAAUAUAAAAUAUUUUAAUGUUAUGUGCGACCAAAAAGACUAAAUCGGUCAACUGGUUAAUUGAUCGGUUAAGCCGGUUGGUCAGUCUCUUUAACCGAUUCACCUAUUUUGGCUUGAAAGCCUAUCUUUUUUUAUUUAUUUCAUUUCUAACACUUAGGCAUGGUCUUCAAAUAUAUUAGUGUGUCAAUUUUAGAAAAGUUUACCUAAGGUUCAUAUAAGAUUCAAGGGGAGAUUUUUAUAUCCUGUGAUGGGAGUUAGGGAAAGAUUCUUGUAUCCUGCUAAUGUUUUUUUAGGGAUGUUGAUAUGGAUAAUAAAUGAUUUGUGGAUACUUGAUUUUUAAGUAUUUGACAUUUUGUUAACAUGUGGAUAUUUCUUGAUUGGAAUGUUAGAUAUUUUGCUAUUGAAUUGUAAUUCUUUGUCUUUUUUCUUGGAUAGAAAGAGGGAAAUUGUGGCCCUUAGUCUCCUUUUGGGACAAAAAGAGGGAGAUAUACAUGCUGAUUUUAGACAUUGGACAUUAGAUGUUUUUGUUGAUCAUUGUCAUUUUGUAUACAUGUUGAUGAUUAUUUUGGAUAUUAGAUAUUUUGAGAUACAUGUUGAUAUGUGAUCUUGUCUAUUUUGAAUUUGGAUAUACGUUGAACUUUUUGGAUAUACUACUUGUUGAUAUUAUGUAUAUUCAAUUUCUUCAUACAUGUGCUACUAAUUGUUUUUCUUGAGGUUUAUUUGCAUGAUUUGUAAUACCUAGGUUGUGAGUUUGAUUGGGUAAGUGAGUGGCCUUGUAUGAGUGGGUGGGGCUUAGUUGUACUCAUUUGUGUUGUAAAGGGUUUUGUCCUAGAAUUACCAAAGAGGGAGAUUAUGCGUGUUUAGCUAGGUUGACAAUUCCGAUAAAAAUUCCUAAGUGUCUCCUAACUCAAUUUUUCCAAUCCUUCUUUGGACUACUUGCCCAAUGAAAAUCAAGUUGUUGAAUUUGUCAAGAGACUAUGGUAUGUAGUUGAGGUUGGAGUUGGAUGGAAUUGAAUCAACCAUAUUAUUUAAAUGUUAUUUUACUUAAAAUAUUUUUUAAGGAGUUAGGAAGGUUUAGGAAACAAUUUUUUUUUUUUUUUACCAAGUGUUCAAAAUGCCUUGUUUCAGGAUCGAUCCAGCUUUAGGUCGGAUUGAUCCAACUUACACUUUUUUUUAUGAAAUCUUAUCCUUUGGAUCAAAGGCUUCUUUCAUUUAAAAACCCAAAACUUGUUUCCUGUGCUGGAGGUAGAGAGAGACACAACCAUCCCCUUUGUUUCUCUUCUCAUUUCAUAUUUUGGGGUGUUCGGUUGUAAAAAAAAAUCCAACUUUCAUAUUGUUUUCCAAACUAUUUUUAAUGGAUUUUCUUGAGAAAAUGAUGGGUUGAUUUUUCAUUCAUUCAUUUAUUAAUUUCUAGUCUAUUUGGGUUUGGGUAAAAACUCAUUUUAUCCUUGUGUGGAUUCAAGAAGAGGUCGAGGUCAAGAUUGAUGUGGACUCCAAGUGUGCUCCGAAAGAAGAAGGUGAGAAGUUGAAAGUUAAAGGUACUAGUCAAGUGGUCCAAGAAGGAUUGGUAGGCUUGAACUAGGUAAAACCUUAUAUUCAAAUUUUGUUCUUCAUAGCAGACGUUUUCGAUCAGUUGUAGGCCGAUGGUUUUUUAUCAUUUUGGAGGUUUUCCACGUUAAAAUUUGGUGUCAUUGUCUCUUUCUCUCAUUCCACCCUUUGAUUUAUUUUUAGUUUUUUAUAUCAUUGGUUACUUGGGCAUAUAUGUUGAAUGAAAGAAAAAUAAGUUGAAAUAGGUGUGAUUAUCCAUUGGAUAUCUUGAAUAAUUUUUCUGUUCAUUUUGGUUAAUGAUAUCUUGUAGUAAUUGGCAAUGAGUUAAGGAGAGAAUUGUUCUUAUGAAUUAAUUUUAGUGAGUGUUGAAGUAUUUUCAUAUGAAUUGAAUUUAUAAAUUGUUGGGAGAGUGUUGUUACUUUCAUACUUGCUUGUGAUUUUUAUGCUUUGUUGAAGAGUUGUUGGAAGAGAAAUUUAUAGACAUUGAGAAAUUCUAAGGUUAGGUAAUUUUUGUUGGAAGAUUUUUUAAAAUUGUUCAACAACACCUAUUCACCCCUCCUCUAGGUAUAAUCCAUUAUUGAGAUUCACCUUUCAAAACUAUUUCUCUUUAUCCAAAUUUGGAGGCCUCUCUUUAUACCAUGCUCCCUCUUCAAUUUCUAAAACAGUUUCUUGUUCCUAGUUCCCUAAUUAUACUAUGACUAUGCCUAAAAACUAAAACUUUAAUUUUUCUAAAACUAAUUUAAUUCAUUAUCUUGCACAAAUCUAUUGUUUUAUCAAGGAAGUCUAGAAAUUAAAUUUCUACAUACUAUCAAUUCAAAAAAUAUCCAAUAGCAUGUUUGAAUCUUUUGUUAGCAUAUCUACAAAAAAAAAAUUCAUAAGCAAAAUCAGAUUUUCAUGAAAAAUGAAAAAAAAAAAAAAGAAACAUAGCAUAUCAUUUUCAUCUACUUUAAACGAUUUAUAUGUGAAUCAAACUUAAAAUACAAUAUUUUUCUUCAUUUUCUUGGCUACCAAAUAGUCUCAGAAGUAAGAAAAAUGGUUUUAAAAUAUAUAUAUAUAAAAAAUUCAUACUACAAAAACCUAAUUUCUAACAACAUUUUCCCAAAGAAAAUGUGAAAAUGAAGAAGAAAAAUAUAUAAAAUGAGAUUAUUUGCCUCUAAUGUCUCCUCUAAGUAGAUAUGAAAACCUCUACUCCUUGAUGUUUGAAUCCAACAUCUACAUCAUUUUCUCUUAAUAAAUUUUCAAGGAAGCAAAAUAAGAACAAGAAGAAACCUCUAAGGAAAAAAUGAAGAGAAAUAGUUUUUUUUUAGAUUUUUCUCCUUUUAUAUUUUCUUUACAAAUUUGAGUUGACCUAACUAUCCUUAUCUACAUUAGGAAGUGACCAAACUACCCUUGAUUGCCACAAAAAUUUAAGGCAUACCCCCCUUGUCUUAUAGUGCUUAUGUUUUUAUGUGUGACAUUUGACAACCCUUAAUUGUGACAUGUGGUGCUUUUAGUACAUUUAAUUAUUUUACUAAAAUUUUAUUUUCUCUAAUUUUAAGAUGCAAACAUAUGGAAAAAUGAACAUUUUAUUUCAUUUGAACUUGAAAGGCCAAGGUCUUCAACCUUCUUACACUUAGCUUACUAGGUUCUAAUGAACCUUCACAAUCUCUUCAAGUAUCCAACCAACUUGAAGUCUUUUCCCUUACAAUGAGUAGAUGAGGAAUGAAUUUAAUAUUUCUAAUCCUAGAAUAAAUUUAGCUUAAAAUACAAGAGAAAGCUAUGAUGAUUUUGAGAUGCACUAAAGAAUUUUCAAGUGUGAAAUUAAUGUACUUGAAAAAAGAGCUUUGAAUAUGAGAAAAUAAAGGUUUUUCAAUUGAAUGUUAUUAUUAUCAUCUCUAUAAAUGUUGUAAAGCUCUUCAAUUUAUAGAAAAUUAGUUCUAGAACCCAAAAAGUUACAUGACACCCUCGAUCAAUCGAAUACCAGUUCAAUUGGUUAACUAGUCAUUGGGCAUUAAGCACUCUACAACUAACCGUUGAGAUUUCUAAGCUCAACCAAUGGUGCAAUCAAACCUCGACCAUUCCUUGACUAGUUGAAGCAAAGCCUUAAUCGACUACACACCAGCUAUUAAAAGAGAAGAAUGAAACAUGGAACCAUGCCUUUGACUAGUCGAGUCUAAUAGGUUGAGUCGGUUCCCCAACUAAUUCAAUGAGUUUUAGCCUCCCUCAACUGGUUGCACUUAAAAGUUCCUAUAAAGACCCAAUUUGAAGUUUGAAACUUCCAACAAUUUGUGUAACCCUUCUUAAAACUUUUUUAAGUUAGUUUAAAAAGAAUUUGACUCAAGGUUUUGCAUUAAAACAAAUAUUCAUCCAAUUUUAUAAUAAAUACAUUGUUUUUAAGCUUAAGUGAGAAUGAAAACUAGCUUUUAAGUGCAUGAGAAAAGUUUUAAACCUAACUAUACUAAUAAAUAGCAUUUUAAAAUUUUUUCCUAAAACACUUUGAGUCUUAAAAAAAAAUUCCAAGUCUUUGUUACAAUGAAUUUCUUCCAUAGUUCUUUAAAGUUUCUUUAUAUUUUCUCAUUUAAACCUAAAAACUUCACUUCAUUUAAAUCUUAACAUUAUUUUAUAAUCAUUAAAACCUUAUUAAGAAAAUAUAUAUAAACUUCUAUAUAUAAAAAUAUAACAUUUUGUCUCAAUUUUUUAAAUAAAUUUUAAAAUCAUUAUUUUUUUCAAUGUAAGCUGUUAAGAAUUUCAGGAAUCUUAUAUAUAUAUAUAUAUAUUAUUUUUUAAUUUUAAGAAUAAGUCCAAGUGGGGCUAAGAUCUAAGACAAAAGUAUAUGGCAAAAGUGACAAAAACGAUUAAUACUCUGGUACAUCCCUUUUGUAGCCAUUAUUUUAUAACAGAAAAACAAUUUGCUUCUCGUGCAAAUCCUUUGACAUCUUCUACUACCUCCAUAAAAAUAAAUAAAUAAAAAUAAAAUUAGGUGAAGCUGAUUGACUUUUAUUGCUUUGACAUCGUAAUAUCAUCCUUUCCAUUGACUAAAAUAAUAAUUGAGCUUAAAGCAAUUGUUCACCAUAUGUGACAUCCCAUUUCCUUGUUCCCAAGAGAUGAUACAAUAUGGGAAAGAAUUAAUACCUACCCACCGUUUCUAACCUUUGAUUUUUUUUUCUUUAUUUUUCCAUAAAUCUAUAUAUGGGUAAUGAACUAUAGUAUUAUUUCUCUAGUCAAAUUAAGCAUGCAUACUGAGAGUCUGAGACUGAGGCUGGAUUAUAUCUCUAUUUGAGAGGUGGGAUGCUUUGCUCAUUCCUGAAAAAAUUAGUAGGAUCCACUGCAGUCUUCACCUUCACCAAUCUAUCAAAAUUGUUCAUGAAGUACUUGGCACCGUAAACUUUGCCUUCAUCGUAGGACCAGGUCUUAGUGACCCCAAUGUCAACGUCUCUGUAAUUGAGAAAUGAACCUCUUGGGGACUUGGAGACGAAUGGGGUCAUGUAACUGUAGAGCCUUNNNNNNNNNNNNNNNNNNNNNNNNNNNNNNNNNNNNNNNNNNNNNNNNNNNNNNNNNNNNNNNNNNNNNNNNNNNNNNNNNNNNNNNNNNNNNNNNNNNNNNNNNNNNNNNNNNNNNNNNNNNNNNNNNNNNNNNNNNNNNNNNNNNNNNNNNNNNNNNNNNNNNNNNNNNNNNNNNNNNNNNNNNNNNNNNNNNNNNNNNNNNNNNNNNNNNNNNNNNNNNNNNNNNNNNNNNNNNNNNNNNNNNNNNNNNNNNNNNNNNNNNNNNNNNNNNNNNNNNNNNNNNNNNNNNNNNNNNNNNNNNNNNNNNNNNNNNNNNNNNNNNNNNNNNNNNNNNNNNNNNNNNNNNNNNNNNNNNNNNNNNNNNNNNNNNNNNNNNNNNNNNNNNNNNNNNNNNNNNNNNNNNNNNNNNNNNNNNNNNNNNNNNNNNNNNNNNNNNNNNNNNNNNNNNNNNNNNNNNNNNNNNNNNNNNNNNNNNNNNNNNNNNNNNNNNNNNNNNNNNNNNNNNNNNNNNNNNNNNNNNNNNNNNNNNNNNNNNNNNNNNNNNNNNNNNNNNNNNNNNNNNNNNNNNNNNNNNNNNNNNNNNNNNNNNNNNNNNNNNNNNNNNNNNNNNNNNNNNNNNNNNNNNNNNNNNNNNNNNNNNNNNNNNNNNNNNNNNNNNNNNNNNNNNNNNNNNNNNNNNNNNNNNNNNNNNNNNNNNNNNNNNNNNNNNNNNNNNNNNNNNNNNNNNNNNNNNNNNNNNNNNNNNNNNNNNNNNNNNNNNNNNNNNNNNNNNNNNNNNNNNNNNNNNNNNNNNNNNNNNNNNNNNNNNNNNNNNNNNNNNNNNNNNNNNNNNNNNNNNNNNNNNNNNNNNNNNNNNNNNNNNNNNNNNNNNNNNNNNNNNNNNNNNNNNNNNNNNNNNNNNNNNNNNNNNNNNNNNNNNNNNNNNNNNNNNNNNNNNNNNNNNNNNNNNNNNNNNNNNNNNNNNNNNNNNNNNNNNNNNNNNNNNNNNNNNNNNNNNNNNNNNNNNNNNNNNNNNNNNNNNNNNNNNNNNNNNNNNNNNNNNNNNNNNNNNNNNNNNNNNNNNNNNNNNNNNNNNNNNNNNNNNNNNNNNNNNNNNNNNNNNNNNNNNNNNNNNNNNNNNNNNNNNNNNNNNNNNNNNNNNNNNNNNNNNNNNNNNNNNNNNNNNNNNNNNNNNNNNNNNNNNNNNNNNNNNNNNNNNNNNNNNNNNNNNNNNNNNNNNNNNNNNNNNNNNNNNNNNNNNNNNNNNNNNNNNNNNNNNNNNNNNNNNNNNNNNNNNNNNNNNNNNNNNNNNNNNNNNNNNNNNNNNNNNNNNNNNNNNNNNNNNNNNNNNNNNNNNNNNNNNNNNNNNNNNNNNNNNNNNNNNNNNNNNNNNNNNNNNNNNNNNNNNNNNNNNNNNNNNNNNNNNNNNNNNNNNNNNNNNNNNNNNNNNNNNNNNNNNNNNNNNNNNNNNNNNNNNNNNNNNNNNNNNNNNNNNNNNNNNNNNNNNNNNNNNNNNNNNNNNNNNNNNNNNNNNNNNNNNNNNNNNNNNNNNNNNNNNNNNNNNNNNNNNNNNNNNNNNNNNNNNNNNNNNNNNNNNNNNNNNNNNNNNNNNNNNNNNNNNNNNNNNNNNNNNNNNNNNNNNNNNNNNNNNNNNNNNNNNNNNNNNNNNNNNNNNNNNNNNNNNNNNNNNNNNNNNNNNNNNNNNNNNNNNNNNNNNNNNNNNNNNNNNNNNNNNNNNNNNNNNNNNNNNNNNNNNNNNNNNNNNNNNNNNNNNNNNNNNNNNNNNNNNNNNNNNNNNNNNNNNNNNNNNNNNNNNNNNNNNNNNNNNNNNNNNNNNNNNNNNNNNNNNNNNNNNNNNNNNNNNNNNNNNNNNNNNNNNNNNNNNNNNNNNNNNNNNNNNNNNNNNNNNNNNNNNNNNNNNNNNNNNNNNNNNNNNNNNNNNNNNNNNNNNNNNNNNNNNNNNNNNNNNNNNNNNNNNNNNNNNNNNNNNNNNNNNNNNNNNNNNNNNNNNNNNNNNNNNNNNNNNNNNNNNNNNNNNNNNNNNNNNNNNNNNNNNNNNNNNNNNNNNNNNNNNNNNNNNNNNNNNNNNNNNNNNNNNNNNNNNNNNNNNNNNNNNNNNNNNNNNNNNNNNNNNNNNNNNNNNNNNNNNNNNNNNNNNNNNNNNNNNNNNNNNNNNNNNNNNNNNNNNNNNNNNNNNNNNNNNNNNNNNNNNNNNNNNNNNNNNNNNNNNNNNNNNNNNNNNNNNNNNNNNNNNNNNNNNNNNNNNNNNNNNNNNNNNNNNNNNNNNNNNNNNNNNNNNNNNNNNNNNNNNNNNNNNNNNNNNNNNNNNNNNNNNNNNNNNNNNNNNNNNNNNNNNNNNNNNNNNNNNNNNNNNNNNNNNNNNNNNNNNNNNNNNNNNNNNNNNNNNNNNNNNNNNNNNNNNNNNNNNNNNNNNNNNNNNNNNNNNNNNNNNNNNNNNNNNNNNNNNNNNNNNNNNNNNNNNNNNNNNNNNNNNNNNNNNNNNNNNNNNNNNNNNNNNNNNNNNNNNNNNNNNNNNNNNNNNNNNNNNNNNNNNNNNNNNNNNNNNNNNNNNNNNNNNNNNNNNNNNNNNNNNNNNNNNNNNNNNNNNNNNNNNNNNNNNNNNNNNNNNNNNNNNNNNNNNNNNNNNNNNNNNNNNNNNNNNNNNNNNNNNNNNNNNNNNNNNNNNNNNNNNNNNNNNNNNNNNNNNNNNNNNNNNNNNNNNNNNNNNNNNNNNNNNNNNNNNNNNNNNNNNNNNNNNNNNNNNNNNNNNNNNNNNNNNNNNNNNNNNNNNNNNNNNNNNNNNNNNNNNNNNNNNNNNNNNNNNNNNNNNNNNNNNNNNNNNNNNNNNNNNNNNNNNNNNNNNNNNNNNNNNNNNNNNNNNNNNNNNNNNNNNNNNNNNNNNNNNNNNNNNNNNNNNNNNNNNNNNNNNNNNNUGACUUUUCAUUUUGUGUUUACAUGAAAAUAAAAAAUAAAAAAUAAAAACAAUAUGUUUUUAAAUGAUUUUAUAAAAGAUACCAUAUUCAUAUUUCUUUAAAUAGUCACAUAAUAUUUCAAAAUAUUUUCUAGAAAAGGUUACCUUUGGAUUUCUAACUUAAAAAAUCUGAGCAUUUGUUUACAUACAUUUUUUAUUUUUUAUUUUUUAAGAAAGAAAAUAUUUAUAUAAAAUACAAUAAUUCUUUUAUAUUUACAUUGAAAAAGUAAUUAUUUUUAAAAGUCGAUCACAUAAUUGCAGUAGUAAAGACUUUUUACUAUCUCAAAUUUUAAAAUUUUUUAAAGUAAUGUUUAAGAAUAUAAAUUAAGUUUAUAUUUUUUUAAUAAAAAAAAAUUUUUUUAUAUGAAAAAAUUAUUUUUUAAAAUAAAAAAAGCAUAAAUAAUCACCUUAUAUAUAUAUAUUAGAUCAUUUUUUUAUAACAUAACAAACUACUAAAAAUACCAUAAAAAUGUUCAAUCCAAAUAAUAAUUUUAAAAAAAAAAGAGCUAUUAAGAAAAAUGCAACUAGAAAAAAAAAACCUUUAUUAGAAUCAUUCCUAAACUUGUCCUUAAAUAUUUUGUUUUUCAAGUUGACAUUUAUUUUUAAAUAUUUUGUCAAACUACAAAGUGUAAAAAUUUUGACUUUUAUACAAGAUUUAAAUAAUAAAUGACACUUUCACAAUAUUUAAAGUUUUAAAAAAUGUACACCUAUUCAUACUUCAAUUUAAAUUAUCAUACAUUGAAAUUUUAAUGGGAUAGAAAGUGACUUUUAUUUAAAUAAAAUACAUAAUUAUGUUAACGUAUAUUACAAAUUAAUUGGUGAUAUGAAGAAAGAAUAAUUGACAGUAAUUUUAAAAAAUAUUUUUAAUUCUGUUAACACUUAAAAAAAUAAAAAUAAAAAUUUAAAUGUUAAAAAAAUUAAAAAUAUUUCUUAAAAUCAUCUUUAAAUAUAAUCUAAAUUCCCAUGUAAUCUAAAUUUGGGGAUUUAGUAUGUUACAAAUGUCAUCAUAUCAAAUAAAGUAAUAAUUUAUUUGAUAAACUCUCUUUUGAAUACAACUGAAUUGAAUACUUUAUAAUAUUUUAAAAAGCAAAAUCAUAUAAGAUGUUUUCUACAUUUAAAAAUGGUAUUUCUCUACAAGUCUUAUGUAAUAUGUAGCGUUAAUUUUAUUGAGAUCCCUUGAGAUUUAGUGUAAAUCCAUUAAGCUACCACAAGUUUCAAAUUUCACCGGUUAGCACCCAUAUAAAAAUAUUUUAUAUAUAUUUUUUAUUUUUUUUAAAAGAAUAAAAUUUAGUUUUUAGAGAAUUAUUAAAAAUUCUUAUUUAAAAAAUUUAAUAAUUCUAACCUAACUCACUAAGAUAAUACCACUAACUCAUGGGAAAAGUGUGUUUUCAUAUACUCGUAUACUAAAAAAACCACAAAAUAGAAAUCUAAAUUUAUAAAAUAUAAAUUUCAAACAACUAUUUAAAAAUAAUUAACAUUACAUGCAUUUUUUUAUCAAAAGUAUUACCUUAGACUAUUCAGAUACCAUUUUUUUAAUGAUAUGGGUACUACUUUUGAUCAUUUUAGGUACUACGUUUGAUCAUUAAAAACAUAAAAUUUGAAUUAUUUUUAGAUGAUUCCUAUUUUAUAAUUAAUUUUUAUAUGAGUAAAUGGAAACUCACUUUUUAAAAAAAUUUAAAAUUAUUUGUUUUACCUCUAUUUUAAAUCUUAAAACAACUUACCUUAAAUCUUAAGUUAAAAAGCAAAUAAUCCCGAUCUUCAGAAUAGUUAACCCAUAUAACAACUCCAUGCAUAAUUUUUUAAUAAUUUUUUUUUCUUGAGCUUAGUGAUAAUGCACAAAUAUGAAGAGAAAAAUAUAUGAGUUAAAUUUUAGCUUAAAACCUAAUGAAUGGAAUUAAACUUAUGCUAACUCGGACGGAUUUAAAUUAAUAAUAAAUAAGUUUUAAUUUAAUUAAUAUGGACCAAAUCCAACCCAACGUGGAGCCCUCCAUCGCUUCGGUCAAAAUGCUGUUAUUAUCAACUUACAUGGCGUGUCUAAAGUGCCAACCCUUUUAAAUAACAAGAAGGAAAAGAGAAAAAACUUGGAAAAGUGAGGGAAAGCCUUGAAAAUAGUAAAAAUAUAAAUGAAUGCAUGUGGGAGGAAUUAUGAUGUGUUUUUCGUACCCACGUUUGAAAAAAUUAAAAGAAAAAAAAAACCAAAUCUAAGUUUUUGUUUAGAUAUAUUUUCCACUUUUUUUAAAAUUAGAAAAUUUUAUAUAAAAAUAGUACGUCUGAUGUAAAAGUAUAUAUUAACUUGAAUUUAUUUCAAAAACUUUGAUUAUGUCUUUUUAAACUUAUUUUUGAAAAUCGUUUCUUAGUAAUUUACUUAAAAAUAAAUUUUAGAAAAUAUGAUUAAAUAUGUCUAUGUUUUUCUUUUUCUUUUAAAAAUUAAUGAAAAUAACUCUUACUUAUUCUCUCAAAAUUAUUAUCCAUUUGACUUUGUUUUUAAAAAUUAUUUCCAAAAUUUAAUGGCUAAAUAAUUUUAGAAAAUUUUAAAAACAAUUUCUAUUUUUUAAAAUAAAAUAAAAAUUUAAAUCACAAACCAAACAGACUUUAAAAUACUAAAAUUUUUUGAAAUAGUUUUUAAAAUUAGUAAUAAAAAAGUGUUCAAAAGUUUUAAUAUUUUACAUAAAAAAAUUACUAUUAUUUUUUAUUUUAAAGAUAGAAGAUUCGAAAAGUAUCCAAAUAAAUAUUAGAUUGGUAAAAUUCAAAUUUAACACAUGUGACUAAAAAUAAUUAAAAUAUUAUACUUUUAAUCAUCCAAAUGUUAUUUUUUAUCAGUGGGGUAAAUUUUAGGGAUAGAAGUAUCAUCUUUCACGAUUCUAGAUAUAUAUGAACUAUCUUAAAGAUACAAUGCAUUUGAAUUAUCUUCGGUGGGUUUUAUUUUCUUCUCCUCUUUAUUAUAAGCAUGUGUAUGAAAACACGGGGUGUCAAGGGCUGUCGGGCUUUGACCAGGCCAAAGUCUGCGGUUAGAUGGUGGAGGGAGGGGUUGGAGAUGGAGAACAUGGGGGGCUGCGUGGAAAAUUAGCUAGAAGAAAAAGCUAAAAGUAGAGAGAAAUGAGUGUGGACACUUGAGCCUUGGCCCUUUACUAUUCAAUCAUGGAUUAUUCCCUUCUGCUGGCUGGUUCACAUUUGAAGUCUUGAAGUUUGAAGUUUUAAGGUUAGAAGACUCGGAAGAAUCUAACCUUCUUUUCCAGAAUAAAACUAAAAAUAAAAAUAAUCAUAUUUAGUUGUUCCAAGAAUCUGACUUUCCUACUCAAAAGCCUUUGUCGAUGGUGCCCAAGUCAAGGUCAUUGCUGUCUCUCUCUCUUCGUUGUUCCAAGAAUCUGACUUUCCUACUCAAAAGCCUUUGUAUUGUUCUGUCUCUCUCUCACACAUAUACAUGGUUUAGACACUUGUUUUAAGAAACAUGUUUGAUCUCUCUCUCUCUCUAUAUAUAUUUUUUAUUUUAACAAUUAAUACUUUUUUUUCUCCUUAAUUUUUUCAAACAAAAAGGGAAUAGAAUAGAAAAGAAAUUAAAUUAAAGUCAUUAUAUAUAUAUAUAUAUAUUAAGUUUCAAAUUAGUUUUGAAAAUUGUUUCUCUAGAACAAUAAUCAAUAAUGGUAUAAAUUUUUGAAACAAAUAUAUUUUUAAAUUAAUACCAAAAUAAUUUUUAUUUUGAACACUGUGCAUAGGAGGUUUUUAAAAAUAAAAAUAAAAAUAAUUAUUUUAAGAUUAAAAUAAAAACAAAUAAUUAUUUCAACCUUAUUCUAAAUACAUCCAAAGGCAUGAUUUGAAAUCACCAAAUCCAUUCCUAUUCAAGGUGGAAUGGGAAUGAAAACAAAAUAUCUAUUAUGAAUCAUUAUUUUCAUAUAUCAAACACACUUUUAAAGUAAUUACUGAAAGAAAAUAUUUCAUUAUAACAAGUUUAUAUAAAAUAUUUUGAUAUUUAUCAUUUCAAAAAAUAAAAUUCAUCUCAUAAAGAUAUUGUUUUUUUUUUUUGUUUUAUAAUGUUAUUUGAUUAAAUAAAUUUUGGAUUAAAAAAUAAACUUUUAUUUAUUUAUUAAGAUAACUUUUAUUUCUAUUGUUAAAAUGAUAGAGCAUAGAAAUACAAUUAUUUCUUGAAUUUAUUAUAAUUUUUGGAUAAAAAUAUAUUCCUAUUUAUAAAAUUGACAUUUAAUUAAUCUAUUCUCUCUAUCUUGAAAAAUUUAUUAUUUAUAUUAUUUAAUUAUUUUUUGUUCUACAAACUUGUUUGAAUAUGGGAAGGAUCAAUUUCAUUUCAUAACACCCAUCUUAUCAUUUUCUCUCUCUUUUUACCAAACCUAAUUUUAAUUUCUUUUUCUCUUUUUUAUCUUAAUUUAAUUUUUAUUCUAUAAAAGUGUUUGGAUAAUGGGAAGAAUCAAUUUCAUUUCAUAAUAACCCUCUUAGCAUUUUCUCUCUCCUUUCUCUUUUUAACCAAACCUAAUAUUUUUUUCUUUCUCCUUUUCUUCCACUUUCCCAUGAUCUAACAAUAAUUUUCCCCUUUUUAUUAAAUAAUAAUUCAAGAUUUGAAAAUACAAUGAUUUUGCCAUUAUAUUAAAUAAAAUAAUGCAAAACUUGAUGUGGGCAUCUAUCAUUUCUUUUCUUUUUUUUCUUCCUUCACAAUCAAAUAGAAAAUUUACCAUUAUUACAACUACACAAGACGUGACUUAAAAAAUUUGACAAUGCUCUCUUCUUUGUCCCUUGUUUCCUCAUCCAUAAACAAACAAAAAAAAAUGAAUAAAAGAAAAAUGAAAAGAAAAAAAAACGCAUUUCUAUCAAACAAAAAAUAUUAAUUGUCAUCAAUAAAAAUAAUCUAACAUAUAAAAAAUAAAUAAAUAUUAGAAUUUUAUUUGGAAUUUCCAUUUUGUUGCAUAACUUAUCAUGUGUUUCUCUAAUUCCUACUUUAAGAGAGGAGUAAUGAUGACUAAAAUGUUUGACAAAAUGAAAAUUAAGGAGAUGGUGUAGACUUGCAUUUUUCAUGUGGGUUCUUAUUCGACAAAACUCAUUUUUUUUAGUGAAAAUUUGAUUUUAUUUUUUUUAUAAAAUUGGAGUCGCCACUUAUUUUUAUUUAUUUUAAAAAAAAUAAGAAAUAAAAUUCUAAACAAUUGACUCUUUAUUUUUGGAAAAAUGCGUUUUUGAAAACCCGAGCCUAAGUUUGGAGAUUGAGUUACUUGUUAGAAAUGUAUCAUAAAGGUAAUACCCUUUUAAACCCUAAAAGCAAGUCUCUACUAACUAGGUUGAGGAAAACAUAGUAAUUAACCGAUAAAUCAUGGAUAUCAAAGGAAACAAAGAUGAUUAGAUCUAAAAUCAAACAACAUGCUAUUCAUAUUCAAACAAUCCUACCAAAGUGUUAGCCCAAGGGUUCUCCUAAUCGGGUUUUGAUGAUAACAAACUAUGAUUAAGUGACUAAUUGUUUUAAAUGGUAAAUAAUCUCAAGUAUAAAUUCAGAAUUCAUCAAAUGACCAAAUGGAUACAAGAUCAAGACUUUGGGAAGACUUUUGAUCAUAGGAAAUGAAUGUAAGAUGAAUGCAUGGGUGCACUUAGGAUUUUCAUACCAUUUCAUGCAACUUAAAAAACUCAGUUUAUCCUUUAAAAUUUUGAUUUCAUUAAAACCCGAGUUUUAUCAAAUGUACCUUAGGCAAAACGUUUUAAAAUUGGCAUAUUAUUUCACCUAAAGACCUUGUCUAAGUGUUAGAAAAUAAAGGAAUUGAAAAAGAUAGGUUUUCGAGGCCAAAAGGCUGAACCGAUCGAGGCUCUGGCCAAUCGACUCAAGCUAACCGGCUCAACCGGUUGGGGAACCGGUCGACCGAUUGCCCUUGUCCGGUCGAGGUUUGGUCGAGGAGUGCCAAAAACACUCUCUUUCAUCCAAUAGCUUCCUCUUCCCGAUUGAGGUUCACCCCUUCCCAAUCGAGGUCCAGUUGAGGCAAUAGUAACCUGCCAAGCAUUAAAUGCUCUAACGACUAGUGAACCAAUCGACCCCUAACUUGACCGAUCGAGGCUCCCUUUUACUGUUUUUGGCUCCCGAGCUUAGAAACCUAUAAAUUGAGAGCUCCACUUCAUUUAUGAAUAAGAUAACACUUGCAAUCAAUUUUCUACCUACCUGUUCUUGACCAAAAAGCUCUCAUUUCUUUCUUAGUGCAUUAAAUCAUCACUUGCAUAUCCUUUAGUGCACUCUUGUGUGUCAUCCUAGCUUUGUCUUGUAUUUGAGUUAUCCUUAAGCUAGGUUGAGGGACUUAUUCUUAUAGAAACUGAGUCUUAAAGCCUUCAAGAGGUUUGAAUCUUGAAAAGAUUGUGUAAGAGCUCAUUGGAGUCGGAAUCCAAGUGUAAGAAGAUUGGAAGCUUGGUUGAAGCUUCAAGUUAGUGGAACCCUCACUCGGUUAGGAGAUUAAGGAGAGUGGACGUAGGUAAGGAAGUGUUGAACCACUAUAAAACCCGAGUUUGAAUUUUCUAACUUUAUCUCUUUAUUUUUGUUUAUAUUGUGUUUGAACUUGUUGUGUUUGAAAAGAUUUUUAAAAACCCAAUUUACCCCCCCCCCCCCCCACCCUCCCCCUCUUUUGGGUGUUUUUUCUUAAUUAAGUAUAACAUUUAUUUUCUCAAUUGGUAUCAAAGCUAGACCUCUUGUUUGAGACCUAAUAGUCUAAGAGGAAAUGGUUAUUUCAUCAAGCUCAUCUCACACUGAAAUUUUUGCAAAACAUAGAGCUCCAUUUUUUAUGGGAACCAACUAUCCCUAUUGGAAAACUAAAACAACUUGGUUUUUAAAAUUAACAUAUUUAGACGUAUGGGAUGUCAUUGAAGAUGGCCCAACUUUUCCUACUAAACUAGUUGAUGGAGUCUUGGUUCCAAAACCCAAGCAAGAAUGGAAUGAGCUUGAUAGAAGAAAUUUUCAAUUAAAUGCUAAGGUUGUUUUUACUUUGCAAUGUGUUAUGGAUAGAAAUGAAUAUAAUAGAAUAUGUCAAUGCAAAUCAGCUAAAGAAAUUUGGAGAUUACUUGAGAUAACUCAUGAAGGAACAAAUCAAGUGAAAGAGUCAAAAAUUAAUUUACUUGUUCAUAACUAUGAAUUGUUUUCAAUGAAAGAAAAUGAGACUAUUGUUGAGAUGAUUACUAGGUUCACCGACAUUAUCAAUGGUCUUGAAGCUUUGGGAAAAACCUACAAGGAAUCCAAGAAGGUGAUAAAGAUAUUGAGGUCUCUCCCAUCAAAGUGGCAUACCAAGGUCACCGCAAUUCAAGAAGCAAAAGACUUGACUAAGCUACCUAUGGAAGAGCUCAUAGGGUCAUUGAUGACAUAUGAGAUUAACUUGGAAAAGAAGCUAUAAGAGGGUGAAGACAAAAGGAAGAAGAACAUAGCUCUCAAAGCUACAACCAAGGAAGAAGAAGAUGUUGAAGAAGAAAAACCAAGUGAGAAAGAUGACGAUUUAGCCCUCAUCACAAGAAAGCUUAACAAAUACAUGAGGAGUGAAAGGUUUAGAGGAAGAAAAUUCACCUCUAGAAGAGACCUUUCUAAAAAGGAAUCCUCAUCUCAUGGUGACAAGAAAAAAUGGGAAGAGAAAAGAGAUUUGGUGUGUUUCAAAUGCAAAAAACUAGGACACAUCAAAUAUGAUCGUCCUCUCUACAAAAGUGAAGCCAAGAGAAGAAUUCAAAAGGCAAUGAUGGCCACUUGAAGUGAAAGUGAAGAAUCCUCCGAAGAAGAAAAGGAGAAAGAAGUGGAAAACAUGUGCUUCAUGACAAUAGAUGAUCUUGAUGAGGUAAACUCUAACUUAGUGAUGAAGAUAUGCAUGAUGUUUUUGAAGAAUUAUAUGAGGAUUUUGAAAAGCUUAGUUUGAAAAAUAAUUCUCUUAAAAAGAAAAUUCAAGAACUUGAAAAAGAACUUGAAAAAGAACUUGAAGAAGUGAAAAAAAAAUUUUCAAUUGUUGAAAUAUCUAAAACUCAUCUUGAAAAAGAAAAUGAGAUUUUGAGAAGUGAAAAUGAGAUUUUGAAAAAGAAAAAUGAAUGGUUGACCUCCUCUCUUUCAAUUUUCUCGUGGACAAAAAUCUUUUGAAAUGAUCUUAGCUAGCCAAAAAUGUGUUUUUGACAAACAAAGCUUAGGAUUCAAAUCAUCAAAGAAUCAAAAGUAUUUUAAAAACUAUUUUGUAAAAGAAACCUAAAGUGCAAGCUCUUCUACUACUUGCAACUUUUGUGGAAGAGGAGGGCACAUUAGUAGCACAUGUCUCUUAAGAAAUGGAUCUCAAAAGAAUUCAAAUGCUAAGGUUAAAAAGGUUUGGAUUGAGAAAUCCAAGGUCACUAACCCUCAAGGACCCAAAAAGAUAUGGGUACCUAAAUCAACUUGAAUUUUAUUUUGUAGGGUUCAAAGAAGGAUAAGUGGUUCUUGGAUAGUAGAUAUUCAAGACACAUGACCGGGGAUGAAUCCAAGUUUGUUUUCCUUACAAAGAGAAAGGGAGGAUACGUUACCUUUGGAGGCAAUGCCAAAAGAAGGAUCAUUGGUUAAGGCAACAUUGGUAAUGACACAUCCUCUCUUAUUGAAAGUGUUUUAUUAGUGGAUGGUUUAAAACAUAAUCUUUUAAGCAUUAGUCAACUUUGUGACAAAGGUUUUAAAGUAAUUUUUGAAGCAUCUCAUUGCAUCAUCAAAGAUAUUCAAAAUGAUAAAAUCAUCUUCAUGGGCCAUAGAUGUGAUAAUUUUUAUGCUAUAAAUAUUUCAAAAUAUGAUGGUCAUGAUAGAUGUUUUUCAAGCAUGCAUGAUCAAAGUUGGUUGUGGCAUAGGAGGUUGGGACAUGCUAACAUGGACCUCAUUUCCCAACUCAACAAAGAUGAACUUGUUAGAGGUCUUCCUAAAAUAAAUUUUCAAAAAGAUAAAGUUUGUCAAGCUUGUCAAAUGGGAAAGCAAAUAAAAAAUUCUUUUAAAAACAAAAACUUCAUUUCAAUAACUAGGCCUCUUGAGUUGUUGCAUAUGGAUUUAUUUGGUCCAUCUAGGACACCAAGCCUUGGAGGAAAAUCUUAUGCAUAUGUUAUUGUGGAUGACUUCUCUAGAUACACUUGGGUCUUGUUUUUAAGUCAAAAAAAUGAAGCCUUUUAUGAGUUUUCAAAGUUUUGCAACAAGGUUUAAAAUGAAAAAGGUUUUACAAUUACUUGUAUAAGAAGUGAUCAUGGGAGAGAAUUUGAAAAUAUCGAUUUUGAAUACUAUUGCAAUGAGCAUGGUAUUAACCACAAUUUUUCGGCUCCUAAAACUCCUCAACAAAAUGGGGUAGUUGAGAGGAAAAAUAGAACUCUUCAAGAAAUGGCUAGAACCAUGCUAAAUGAAAACAAUUUACCAAAAUAUUUUUGGGUCGAGACGGUUAACACUUCUUGUUAUGUUUUAAAUAGAAUAUUAUUGAGGCCUAUUCUUAAGAAAACUCCCUAUGAGCUUUGGAAAAACAAGAAACCCAACAUUAGUUAUUUCAAAGUCUUUGGGUGCAAAUGCUUUAUAUUAAACACCAAAGACAAUCUUGGAAAAUUUGAUGCAAAAUCGGAUGUUGGAAUUUUUCUUGGUUGCUCAAUUUCAAGUAAAGCCUUUAGAGUUUUUAACAAAAGAACCAUGGUUGUAUAGGAGUCCAUCCAUGUUAUUUUUUAUGAAUCUAACAAUUCUUUCCAAGAAAGAGAGAGUGUUGAUGAUGAUCUAGGCUUGGAGACCUCCAUGGGAAAAUUACAAAUUGAAGAUAGAAGGCAACAAGAAAAAAUUAGAGAGAAUCCCAAGAAAGAAGAAUCACCAUUGGCACUACCCCCUCCUCAAUAAGUGCAAAGUGAAUCAAGCCAAGACCUUCCUAAAGAUUGGAAGUUUGUCAUCAACCACCCACAAGAUCAAAUCAUAGGUAAUCCAUCUAGUGGGGUAAGAACUAAAUCAUCUCUUAGAAAUAUUUGCAAUAAUCUUGCUUUUAUCUCUCAAAUUAAACCUAAAAAUAUAAAUGAUGCUCUAGUGGAUGAAAAUUGGAUGAUUGCUAAGCAAGAAGAAUUAAAUCAAUUUGAAAGAAGUGAAGUAUGAGAAUUAGUGCCAAGACCUUCAAAUCAAAGUGUUAUUGAAACUAUAUGGGUUUUUAGAAAUAAAAUGGAUGAAAAUGACAUAAUUGUUAGAAAUAAAGCAAGAUUGGUAGCCCAAGGUUUUAAUCAAGAAGAAGGGAUAGAUUAUGAAGAAACCUUUGCUCCCGUAGCUAGAUUGGAAGCCAUUAGGAUGCUACUUGCCUUUGCAUGUUUUAAAGACUUUAUUUUAUAUCAAAUGGAUGUGAAAAGUGCUUUCUUAAAUAGCUUAUAAAUGAAGAAGUAUAUGUUGAACAACCACCCAGUUUUCAAAGUUUUAAUUUUCCUAAUCAUGUUUUUAAACUUAAAAAGGCACUGUAUGGUUUAAAACAAGCACCUAGAGCAUGGUAUGAAAGAUUGAGUAAAUUUCUUUUGAAAAAGGGUUUUAAAAUGGGAAAAAUUGACACAACUCUUUUCAUAAAAACCAAAGAAAAUGACAUGCUCUUAGUGCAAAUAUACGUUGAUGAUAUCAUUUUUGGAGCUACUAAUGUCUCUCUUUGUGAAGAAUUUUCUAAAUGCAUGCAUAGUGAGUUCGAAAUGAGCAUGAUGGGAGAACUUAACUUCUUCCUUAGACUUCAAAUCAAGCAACUAAAGGAAUGAACCUUCAUCAAUCAAGCAAAGUAUAUAAGAGAUCUGAUUCACACCUAAUUGGUGUAUCAGCUGAUUCAUGUCCAGCUGGUGCUCCUUGAUUGAGGGAGUAAUCAACAAAAUUUAUAACCUAUUACACCAUGUACUAGGGUAGCAAAGACAAAGCUACUAUAGCAUAGUGGCUCUAGGAUCGUUCACUGGGAUGGGUUUUCACUUCACAAAUGAUAUUAAUUCAAAGUUGAAUUGGUGUCUUUUCAUUUCAAGGUUAGCUUUAAAAGAAAACAUAAAGAAGUAAAUGUUUUAGAAAGAUUUAAACUAAUCUAAGCUAACAUUAAAGAUUAAAAUGAAAAGGUGUAAAAACAAGUUUCUCAAAGAUAGGAUAGCUAUGCUCUGGCUCUUAUGCAAAUUGAAAAUCUCAGGAUAGGCUCCUCGCGUUGGGGUUGCAAUUAUGGUGAUGCUUGCUUCCCGAACCGGUAUGGAUUUAGCAAAUCAAGUUUUAAUCCUUUAAAAUGGCAAAACAGAUGGUAGUGAAUUUCAUCAAUGGUUAUUCACCUUAGACUUCCUUUGAAUGGCUCAUAAGAGAUAACUAAUGGUCUAAAGCCAAAAGCUUACCAAAUAUUGGCAACUCAAAGUCAUUCCAGGUGAUAAACUCACCUUUCAAUGGUCAUUGAAAUUGGUUCUAACAGAUUAAUGCAAAACUUGGAAUUGAAAACCUCACCUUCCAAUAGCUCGUAGGAGAUAACUAAUGGAUAGAAAUCCAAAAGCUUAUCAAGUAUUGGCCGUUGGAAGUUGUCCAAAGGAAAUAAAAACCAAACUUUGCAUUAAUGAACCAUUAAUGAAAAACAACUACCUUACCUUCCAGGUGCGAGAAUUUUCCAUGGGAUUGCAUCCAAGCCAUCACAUAACAUCCAUACUUUGAGAAACUAAAAGUUUUAGCCAAUCAUCCUCUGAGGAAAAGCCCUUAGAGGCUAUUUGGCUACUAAGAAAAUAGAAAUGGGGAAGAACAGGAGAAGAGAAAAACAGAGCAAGGCUCUGUAUAUUCUAUAUAUUCAUAUAUUUUUACAUCUCCAUCCGUCGUCGUCUUACAAUGGAUGCAAGGGAAUAUAUAUAGAGAAGUUUUUCCAACCUUCCUAGCUAAGAAAUCUUAUGAUUCGUGGAUUACAAGGAGAAUAAUGGAAAUUUAUACAAAAAUAUCUGAAGAAAAAAUCUAAAAGAAUCGGUGCAUAAAUAUCCCAGUUCGCAUGUAGGUUUCGCACGUUGCAUGGUGACUUGCGAAAAUCUCGCAAGUUGAUUUCGCAUGUUGGACUUCACCGCGAAUGCACAGCUGCCAUCCACUUUAAAUUUCGCACGUUGGAGUUCCAAUUUCGCAAGGUGCGAAAUUGUCCCUCGGCUUGAUGCAGUUGUCUUCCGAAGGCCAUAUCUUCCUCAUUUUAGCUCCAAAUCGUACACGGUUUGAAGAGUUGGAUUCUUGACUUCCUGAGCUUUGAAAUGGUAUAUGAAAUGUAGAAAAUGGACUUCGGGAAGUGCUCCAAAAGUGUGAAAGAAGACUGCAGCUGCUGUCCUCUGUUUUCCUCUUCUCCAUUGUUCUUUCCUUGCAUACUUUGAAUGACUUUGGCAAAGGCUAUGGAGCUCCAAAGCUUGGUUCUUCAUGAAUUUGAGCUUCCAAAAGCUUUGCCAUGAACUAUGUACAACUCUCCUUCAUUCUUGGAUUGCUUUGGUGUAGCUAAAAGCUAUCAAAAACACCAAAACUUAACAAAAUUUGAUUAGAAACGAUUGCAAGGGUCCUUAACAUGUCAAUUGAGUUAAAAGGUAAUAACUACUACUCAAGAGUGUUUAAAAGAGUUAAUUACAAGCUACAAAAUAGCACUUUUUGAGUAGUAAUCAAGAUCUUCUCAAAAGGUUCAACAUGGAAGAAGCCAAAACAAUGAAGGCUCCAAUGAGCUCAUCCAUCAAGCUUGACAAGGAUGAGAAAGCUAAGUCCAUCAACUCAACUAUGUAUAGAGGCAUGAUAGGUUCUUUGCUAUAUUUGACCACUAGUAGACACGACAUAAUGUAUAGUGUAUGUUUGUGUGCUAGAUUUCAAUCUUGUCUUAAAGAAUCUCACUUAAGUUUCGUGAAAUGAAUUCUUAGAUAUUUGAAAGGGACAAUGGACAUAGGCCUAUGGUAUCCUAAGGGUGAUAACUUUGAAUUAAUUGAAUUCUCGGAUGUCGAGUUUACCGAUUGUAAAGUUGAAAGGAAAAGCACUAGUGGCACUUGUCAUUUCCUAGGACACUCACUUGUUUCAUGGCAUAGUAAGAAACAAAAUUCGGUAGCCUUGUCAAUGGCGAAAGCCAAAUACAUAGCAGCUGGUUUGUGUUGUACACAAAUCUUUUGGAUGAAAUAAACACUUAGUGAUUUCAAUUUGUUUUUUAAGCAUGUUCCUAUUAAAUGCGAUAACACUAGUGUAAUAAACAUUUCAAAAAAUCCCGUGCAACACUCUAGGACUAAGCAUAUAGAAAUUAGACACCAUUUUCUUAGAGACCAUGCACAAAAGGGUGACAUUACACUUGAAUCUGUAAGCAUAAAAGAUCAAUUUGCCGAUAUUUUUACAAAACCUCUAAGUGAAGAGCAAAUUGUUGAUAUUAGAAGACAACUAGGGGUGAUUUCUUUAUGAUCAAAUGAUUGCUUGAUGAAUUCUUGUUGAAUAUACCUUAUGAUUGCAUGAAUUUCAUAUCAUAUGCAUCAUAUAGAAAUACACUUAGGAAAAAGGUCAAAUUUUGACCAAAAAUCAAAAUUCCUUUGGCAUUGGACAUAAAAAAUUGGGGAUUUCAACUGAAAAUGGCAGGAGGAGGAUCAUGAGACAAGAAAGAUAAAAAAAAAACACCUCCGUCUUCGUUUCAAUUAAAUUCUAAAUGUUCGAGAGUUGGUUGUCAAAGAUGGAGAAGAUCAAUAGCAUACCCUCUAUCACUUCCUUGGUAGUGUUCAAACUCUUCACGAUUUGUUGCGCUGUCGCCGUGGCCCUGUUCUCUCCACCUAAUAGAUGUAACAAGUACACCUAUAUCAGUAUGAGAAGCACUACUGAUCAUAUUUGGGACAUAACUUUUGUGGCCUGAUUCAUCCAAAACUGUAAAUCUGAUUGUUUAUGUUUCAAAAAUAUGCUCUGCCUUUUUCAACUGUUGUCUCGUUACCCUUUUCCUCUUCAUUGGUGUCUAUAAUAUAUGUCGUAUACCAACUUUCUCGACUUUUAUCCUUUGCUUCUUUCUCAUACUUUUGGAUUGUACGAUCAUCCACUAAACCAUUGAGGAACAAUGUCUGACCUCCAGUUGUGGACUAGCCCGCAUCCCAUAUGGCCAAUAAAUACAACAUUCCGAUGCCAUUUCUUACACCCCUCUGCACCUUCAGGACCUUCAAUAUUUACAGGAGCAGAAGUUUCCUUAACUUUCGAUGGCUCCGCAUGUACCGAUUGAGACUCUUUGUGAGCUUCAUUGUUCAAACCCACAUCUAUCCUAUCAUAUUCUUCAAUCUGUUCCAGCUUUACAGCUUCUUCAAUCACAGUAGGCUCAAGAUAUACCGAAAAGACAUGAAGGACAUGCUUCCCAGCACUAGUUAUUCCCUCUUACAAACCAUUGACUCAAUUGCCCUUGGAAUGAGAAUACAACCCUUGCAAUUCCCUACCCCCUCAGAAAACUGAUACGCACCAUGGACGGAGUACCAAGAACAGGGGAAGAUAGCAAAAUAGGGCACAAAAAAAUAGAAACCAAAAUGAACACCAUACGAACCUCAUUUCAUGCAUCAAUCAAUGAGCUUGGAUGAAGGAGUGGGCCAAAACAAAUUUCAAAUAGGUUUUAAAAGAAAAAAAAAAAACAUCAAGACAUGAAUGUCAUUAUCUCAUAUAAAAAUCUCAAAACAGGGUCCAGAAGGCGGGUUAGAAAUCCAACACAAAAUAAGGAUGAGCAAACUCAAAUACCAUAAAAAAGGAAAAUACGUAAGAGUCUCAUAUGCUCACAUUCAGAAGUCAAGAUAGAAUUUCAUAACAGCCAGAAAACACAAUAAAAUGCCAUGAACACAAAAGAAUCCACAGCUUACAGAAACAAUACUUGUGUCACCCUCUUUCAAAACGAUUCCAUAUUGGUUUUCCUCCUCUUUCUGAUCAACCCUCUCUUCCAAUGCUCAGAAUACCCUCCUUGCUCGGUCUGUAACCGCUUCUACCAGAGAAAAUCCCCCUCCAGUUGAUCUUUUCAAGCCUCUCCUCCUAUUUCUCUCCAACAGCCCCCAAAAGAAAAAUCCUCUCACCUCUUUGCUCUGCUAGCUUCUUCUCCAAGUUAUCACCUCUAGCUUACUCCCCAAGCCAACGAAAAUAUAUCCCCGUCACUUCUGUCACCCACCACUUUUUGUUCAGUUGCCCCCCUUCUCAAGUGGUUGCCCCUCCCCCCUUCCCCCCCCCUUUUUUUUUUCUCUUUAGCUGCUCAAGAAUGGCUUAUUCAUCAACAGCUUUCUUUGGUUGCCAGUCUUGUUCCCGCUGCCCCAUGCAACCCAUUCUCGGGUUGAUGAAGAAGCUAGGAAAGAAGAAAAAAAAAAGAAAAUAAUAUAUAAAAAAAAAAAAAACAAAAUACAUGUCUCCCAUCUGAGGGAGGUCUACACAUGCAUAGACCGAAUUUUUUCACCAACUUAGAUGUAUGAUAAAAUCAUUCAAAAAAUCACAUAACAUAUUCAUAAAACCUAUUUUAUAAAAAUAAAUAAAUAAAUAAUAUCAAAGCAAGAAAGUAUACAAAUUACUUUUAAAAACAAUAAAACUACUUUUCUAUUCAAAGUUAGGGCAAUGCAAUGGGUAAACAAUUCAAAUUAUUUCUCCUAAUUAAAAAAAUAUUUUUUUAAUAUUUUAUGUAUCUAAAAUAAAUUUCAAAAAGUCUAGAAUCCAAGAAAAAUAUCAAAAUAAAUUUACAAGUUAUCUAAUAAUUUUAAAAAAUAAAAAAUAUUUCAGGUGUCCAGAAUUAGGUGAAAAAUAAACUUACAAAAAAAUUGAAUCAUAACUCCCGUUUGAAAAUUGUUUUUUGACUCAAAAAAGUUUAUAAAAUCAACUUUAAGAAGCCUACAUCAUUCAACCACAGGAAAAAUUUUAGGAGUAUUCCAAUUUGACCAAAUCAAAUAUCUUCAAAGACACGGUAAACUGAACAAGUUAGGUGCUAGAAGUUUUGAAAAAUGAUUUUAUGUAAGGGUUUCACCAAAUCUCCAUUUAAUGUACACAAAUUUAGCCUAUGAAUUGUCAACCUUGAAUGAGUACUAGUAACCUUAUCAAAGCCAAGAAUUAUCUCAUUCCUUUGGAACCAUAAGCUUGAAUUCAUGUUCCACUCAAAAACAGGAUUUUAUUAAAAACCAAAAGGAUGCAAACUGAAUGAAAAUGGGUUACAUAUCUUUACAAAAAGAGAUUUUGACCCUAAGGAUUCUAAGUGAAUUUUUUUUAAAUGAAUUUUAAUAAAGAUCUUUUGAAAAAGGCUUUUCAUUUUAAAAGAGAAAAGAAAAUUUAGAAUUUGCAAAUAAUUAAACACAAGGAAUAUAUCUCUGACAUACAACCACAAUUGUCCUUCAAAAAUAAAAUAAAAAUAAAAAUAAAUUCAACCCUUCCAUUUAGAUUUACAUGGCCAACUUUCCAUUGAAAAAUUAAAAAAAAAAAAAAAAGAAGAAAAAAAAUCAACCAAAACUCUAUUUACAUGCAUACCAUUACAAAUUUGAUAUUGAAACAUUCAAAAAAAUAGACUUACCAAAAUUUUAUUUAUGUACAUGUGUGGACCCGCAUUUUUCACUUGCGCCCCCACUCGAUCGGCGAGACUCGCUUUUUAUUUGUAAAAAAUUAAUUUUUGGAAAAAAGUUGGAGCCGCCACUUAUUUUAUUUUUAUUUUAAAGGGAAAAUAAAAUAAGAAAGAAAAACCCUAAAUGUGACUCCAUAAUUUUUGGAAAAAACAUGUCUUUGAAAAACCUGAGUUUAAGUCUGGGGAUCAGGUUACCUAUUGGGAAGGUACCUUUAAAAGGUAGCACCCCUCUAAGCCCUCUAAAGGUCUCUGCUGACAAAGUUAAGGGAAGUGUGACAAUUAAUCAGUUAAUUAUAGAUACCUAAAUAGGUUAGGUGAUUUUAAAGAGUGGCAUGCCAAACACAAUCAAAUUACAAUAAAGGAGAGUUAGGGUGCGUACAUGAACCACUCUUCAAGCGCUAUCAUAAAACAUAAAAGUUAGUGUAGAAAUGUAGCACACAACAUUUGUUUUAUUCAAGCAAAUCAGGCAUAUAUCAAGACAUCCAAGAAUCACGUCAAAUAUGGAUAUGGUCAUUAAUGACAUACAAGUCCAUAGAGUUCUAAAAAAUAGAUGAGAAGAGAGCGCACUUGGAUAGCAAGCUAGUACUCCUCUAUGGGAAUCAAGAGCAUCUCAACAAUAAAUACGAAACAAAUUCAUGUAUAUCAUCAAGAAGAAUCAAAAAUCAACAUAUCAAGCAAACAAUAUUGAAGAAGGUAUCAUGAAUGUCGAGCCCCCCACCAAAGCCCUAAUUAAUUUCGCAUGAGUUGAUUCCAUGAAUUCCAUUGUUUGGAAUCAUAAAAUUUAUUCAUGCUUAGAAAAAAUCGAGAAAAUCAGUUGAAAAUCAAAUAAAAUAGUGAAAAUGCGUGCCGGAAGGAAAAUGGCAGCAAAAGGGUGUUGAAAUCUGGAUUUUAUUGCCUAGAGAAGGUCUAAAGAUGAAUUUUUCAAAGUUGAGAAUGUUUAGUUGAACAAUGGUUUUGAAAUUCAAUUUAAAACAGUAAAUUCCCAAUCAAAGAGGCAAGUAAGGGAGAAGAUGCUUGUAGCAAGGUUGCUAUGAUGGAGUGGAGCUUGUGAAUGAGAUUUGAGACUGUCUUGCUGGUGAUUGCAGGUGCUGCUGUUAUUCUCUUUAAAUUCCCCUUUUUUACUCUCUUGCAUGCUUUCAAGUACCUUACAUCACUGCAUUCUCAAGCCUUUUCUGAUUCCUUGAAAUCCCCCUACAUUCAAAUUUACUUCCAAGAGUUUUGGCAUUAAUUCCCCAAUUGGUUUCAGCUUUGGAGGGUGAUCAUAGGUCCUGGUCGAAAAUAAGCGAUUUCAUUUUCCUCAAGCCUUUCUAUACCUUCAUAUUCAUCUGUUGGCAGCCUGACUUCCUCCUCAAGUUUAUGGUGCAGGGAGUUGUCUAAGUCUUUCACGUCAACACAUUGAUCUGCUUGAAGUUGCCCAAUUUCUUUGACAAAACUCCAUUUUCCGUGUCUCAAACUAUGGUUCAGUUUCUUUAUUUCUUCUACCUCAGAACAAAACUUGCAAAUCAGAAUUCUCCAGCUGUAAUUUUGUAUUAGAAUUCUUUAACUUCCUUGCUUUAUUUUUUUUGAGUCGUGUUUGGACAUCAUCACCUGUUUCGAUCUUUGAGGUUCAAUUUCAGAUCUGAGGGUACAACUUUCUGUUCCUACUGCAUUUGAGAGUAUAAAUUUUGCAAGUUCUAGGGAGUCAUCUCAGUUCUGACAAAUUGCAGGUGUUCAUUAUGUGCAAAGGUUUGAAGUUACUGCAGUCCCUCCUACUUCUUGACAAGCUCGACAGUGUUGAAGGGAUCCUUGAGAAUCUGGAACGUAUCUGUGAGUAAUCUUGGAAACAUUUGGGCAAUCUGUAGAUUCUUCACUUGUUCUCAUUGCUAAGUUACCCCAUUCCAUCUGAUACCUGGACCUGCCACCUCUGCUGGUAUGUUCCGUUGAACUAAGCAAGCUUGUUGAUGUGUUCUGUUGAACUGAGUAACAGUAUGUUUACUCUCAAAUUUAAAUCUUUUAACCUGAAUCCAGAAUCAGCAGCGUCAUUAGAGUUACUGGCAGUGGCAAGCCCCGAUUCUUACCCAAUUCUGUCAGCAGUUCCUCAUUUCUUGAGACUUGCAUUUCCUGGGAGAGGGUUAUCUUUUGCGUUCUGGUCAUUCCAUUAACUGCUUGGUGCUGGUAAAGGAUUAGGAAGAGUGGAUACUUGAUUGCAGCUUUGCCGUUUAAAUUCAAGGAACUAAUUGAUUUGCAUUGUGUCCCAACAUCACUACUGCUGGAUUUGACUUGCUUCGACUUACUAUAAGUAGUAAAAUCGUCUUCAAAAUCCACCAACCCAAUGGACUCUGGGAAGGAAGGUUCAGCCUGAUACAUGCUGUUAGCACUGGAAGUUGUCUCGAACAUAGCAAGAUCAAUCAAACUUUUACCUAGUUGAUUGCUUUAGAACUAAUGAUUUAAUGUUCCCACUAGCCAAAGCAUCAUCAUCCUCAUUUCAAUCAUGGCAUCUUCGAGGAGCAAAUCUGUCAUUGGACUUCAUGUCGCACACGUACAAUAGAUGGAAUAAUCGAUGCUUCUCUGAGAACUUCGCAAAAGCAAUGUGUUUUUCAUCAGCGUUCAAAUCAAACAUUGGAAUUUUCUGUAGGUUGGCGGAAUUGUUGGCAAAUUCGGCAUCAUAUAUUGCAGCAAGGCUGAAAUUCUGACUUACACUUCUAAGUGUUCCAGAGAACUUAGUCAAGUCUGCCUCCUAUGUCAUCUCUUGAUAAAUCUGGUUCUCUUCAAAUGCUUCCAAAGGUUGAAAUUAGGGCCCUUCUUCAUCUCAAAGAAACAAACUACAAGACCAACAUGAUCGUCAACGUAUUCAAAUUCUGGACUCUUCAUAAAAUCACUAGCGAAUAUGGUUUUGUCUAAAGGAACCAGACCUUCCAAUCAACUCGGGGAAAUAUCCAUGGUUCUAAGGAUUGGAAUGGAUGCUAACUAUGAUAUUUGAAGCAGAAGACUGAUAGUGUAACUAGGAGUGCAGCCUCAGGUGCUUUCAACUUUCUUCUUAGAAUCAAGUAUGAUGAGUUUAUUGCAUAUAAACCCUCAAGGCGAGCUUUGCCACUUGGAAAUUUAUACUCUGUGCUUCGUUGGCUGGUGUCUUUUGAACUAGAGGUUUAGUAGCAGUAUAGAUAUUGCUGCUCAUUGCCUCACUCUUCCUUUUAACCGGAAGAAGCCCACUUCUAACUGUCUUGGUAUAACCAUUCUGUCAAUGCGUCACCAGGAGCAUCAAGCACUCUGUCAUCCUGAAUACAAUAUGAAAUAUUAAUAGGACCACAAAAAUUACAAAAUUUGGCUAAUGGCAUAAUAGAUGCUGCUGCAUAUCAGCAUUCAAGAUUGCACAUGUGUCCAUAUUCGAUCCAGAUCAUGCUUGCAAUGAAACUGGAGAACAUCUGUCUGCUUGUAUGCUUCAUAGCAUGUAUGCAUCACAGUCCGCAGCACAUUCUGAGAUACCUUACUCCAUGCUAAAGGUGAUGAGCUUGCUUCUGUUAGAAACUCAUCGAUAUUAUCCUCCGCCCUUAAAUUAUUCAACACAAUUUUUCCCGAGCUUUGUAGAAGGCAAAUGGAUUCUGUUUGCGAACUACUCUUUGUUUGGAUAUCACAAUCUUCAUCCAAACCAUUAUGAGAACAUGAUAAAACAUCAUAGUCAAAUUCCGGAUGGUCAUUAUCCAAGAAUAUCAUCUGAAUACCAGAAUCCUCAUCUUCAUUCAUACCAAAAGAAGCUGAAUUGUCACUUCCCUUUUUCUUUCCUAUGAAGAGGAUCACUCAAAGCUAAAUGCUGGAUCAAAGAGGACUAUGAAAUUCGAGAAACAUUUGCUGAAUAGCAUGGGGGCUUUCGUUCAUGGCUCCGAGACGGGUAAAGGCACAUCUCAUUGAACUCUUGGGGGUGUUCGUUUAAAAUUUUAACCAGCAGUUUUGAUGGAAGAAAAUUAUCUGUCGGAACAACCAUAAACUCUCUUUAGAAGAUCUAAUAUUCUCGGGAUCAAUGGAUACCACAAUCUUUGCUUGCACAGUGUUUACAAAAUUGGUAUCGGUAUUCAGGUUGCUCUCAGAGCAUGAUUCAUUCUGGACAGAUGUAACGUUGGAAGAUUGCCUACAAUUCUCCUUUGAUCUUUAUUUGAAACCAGAGAACAGCAAGCUAAGCAAUGGGUUCAACUUGUGGAGAACACCUUGAACUUCUACCAGGAUAAAACUGUUCAGAAGUACCUUCAAGGGCCUUUCUCUUGCAGGAUAGGCCCCAACUGCCCAAAAAAAAGAACCUGAUCCACCAUUAGUCUUCUCAAUCAAAGAACCAGAACUUCCAGAAGAGGCCCCUAUAUUAUCAGCAGAAGCACUAACAAGUGACACCUGCUCUGUUCCUAAUCCACCUGACUUGUACAGGCCUGCUCCCAUUUGUCUUAAAAAGCUCAUUGCCUCAUCUAUAAGUCCAAAUCUACCCAAUAGAUCAACGAUGCAAGUAUAAUGUUCAAUUGUGGGAUCAAAACAACACUGGUAUUUCAUGAAGUCUUACCUUGGUCCACCAUUAAAUUUUUUUAUCGCUUGUCCUCAAAAAAACAUAUGGGGUGAAUUCAUCCAGAAUUGUGCCUUGAACUGAUUUCCCUUUACAACUUUCCUCAUUCUCAAGAGGAGCAAUUGGGGAUAGCAGGUGACAACAAGGCAUUAUCAAAAGUUCCGUCCAUCCAGUCUACAGUGGGAGGCUUCUGGUGGAAGGUCAUGCCGAUAAGCUCCACAGGUUUUGCUUCCAUGUUGACAUCUACAGAUACUGAAAUGUGAGUCCCAAACAAACCAGCACCAUCCCACUAAUCUCUACCACCACAAUUCUUAAAUUGUGAAAGUGUUGCGCCAGUAGCACCAUUCCAACCUUCAAGGUUCUUAGAAGAUAUUUUAGGUAAACACUCAAUGGAGGUCUCGCAGUCACGGCCACUUCUGCAAAUGUGCCCAUCUCAACAUACAAUUUCAUGUCCAAAAGGCAAAUUUGACAAAUUGUUUGAAGCAGAUACUUUAGUUUGCUUCAAUCUCUCAUCAUCAAAAUGUUUAUCACCAGUAUCAAACUUCAAAAAUUCAGUGUUAAAAGGCUGUAGCAAUUCUUUUGUACCAAUAUUCAUUUGAGAGUGACCUGUAAUAGUGAAGCUUCUGGAUCCAGCAAACCUCAGUUAAGAUAUCAACACUGCAUCUUGACAUUCCAAUUUAGACAAUCUAAAGUCUCACAUUCCAAAAAUCUCAAAAAUUAACGCCUGGAAGAAAAAGAAGAAACGAAUACAAGGAAAAAGAAAAGGAACUCCAGAAAACAGAGUAGAGAUGAGAAAAAAGAAAAAAUGCCAAGUCACAUUCCAUUGUUUUGUCAAUGGGCUUAAAAAAACAGGUGGGGAUAUCAAAGAAUAAGAGAACGAUUCUUGGAUAUCAAUAUCAAUGACAAACCCCUUCAUCAGCCAUUAACAAUAGAAAUUAAAAAGACUAAAAAUAGAAGCCAAAACAGAGCAUACUCAUGCUUAAAUAUAUUCAGCAAAAGAAAGAUCAGUCCCAAAUCUCCACAACAAUCAAUAAGAUAACACCGAGACUUGCAGAAUAAUAUUUAGGAUCAUAUAAAGAUGAGAGAAUGCAAAUUUCACAUGACCAUACCUGGAAGAACCAAUCUUUGAGAAGAAUUGCUCGGCUUCAAAUGAGAUGAGGAUGCGUGCUGUCAGUCCUUCUCUCUGUGCUUCUCCUCAAGACAAUCCCGGAAUCCUCCCAAAAGAAUGCUCCUUUCUUCCUUUCCUUUCUCCAAUGCGUGCUGAAAGUUUUCUUCAAAAAAAAUCUCCUUUCCUGCUAUCUUCCAUCUUCUCCCUACCCAAAACUCCAAUACGUGUUGCCCUCUAAAACCUAAAUCCCUCUAAAAAAAAAGGCAAAUUCCUUUUUUUCCCUCUUCUUUUCUCCUUAUCCUUUUUUAAAUCUUCCAAUUCAAAAACAAUCUUCCCAAUUUCAAAUUCCUCUCCAAAACCUUCCAAGGAGAGUCCCACCUUCCUUAAACUCCAAUAGUAAGUUUCCUUGCAAAAACAUGAAAUUUUUGAAGUUAAAUAAUUGAAUGAAUACAUAAGCAAGUAAAUAAAUUAGGAAACGGUAAAAAAUAAAUAAAUAAAUAAACAAAAAUAAAUAAUAAAUAAAUAAAUAAGUUAAGGAAAAUAAUAUAAAGAGGAAGAUAACCAAAAAAAAGUGAAUGAUAAUCAUAAAACUAAAACUAAAAAAUAAAAUAAAAUAAAAUAAAAUAAAAUAAAAUAAAAUAAAAUAAAAUAAAAAUAAACCAAUAAACAAAAGCCGAGCCCAAAAGCCAUGUAACCAUGCAAGUCAUACAAGUCACACUAAAAAUGUCCAAAUGGGCCAAGUGUGCCUCAACGGCUUAUAAUGAGACUAAGUGGGCCUAGGGUGGUGCCUAAUGGGCCAAGUGUAUUUAAAAGUUAUCCUAAAAAAAAAACAAGAAAAGCCUAAGUCUAAGUUAGGGCUGCCAAGGGUCACAAUAAGGGAUCAAAUAAUCCCUCAACCAAAGUCUCCUAGGUGACUCAGAAAAAGGUAAGUGGUAUGAGUAGCCAUGGAGCACCAAGGAACUAUUGUGGAGCAUUGAAAACGAAUUUUAAAAACAUGUGCUAAAGGGACAAAAUUGAAGGUCUACAACAUGGUAUAAAAAAAAAAAAAACAUUGAAACAUUUUGAAAGAUUUUAAAUUAUCAAAGUUUUAUUUAUGUGCAUGGUAUUAAAAAAUUACAUUGAGAAAUUUUAAAAGAUUUUAACUUACCAAAGUUCUAUUUAUGGGCAUGACAUUAAAAAUUUUAUAUUGCAACAUUUAAAAAAAAUGUACUAGAAUUCUUUUUACAUACAUGACAUUAAACAUUUUAUAUUGCAACAUUUAAAAAAAAAAAAAACCCUUACCAAAAUUCUAUUUACGUACAUGACAUUAAAAAAAAUUAUAUUCAAACACUUCAAAAAAAUCAACUUAUCAAACAAAUUUAUUUAUGUACGUACCACUAAAAAAAUUAUAUUGAAAUAUUUAAAAAAAGAUCAACUUACCGAAAUUCUAUUUACGUACAUGUCAUUAAAAUUUUCAUAUUGCAACAUUUUAUUUUUUAUUUUUAAAUACUACUAAAACAAAGUGAACCAAAUAAUGAAAGCUAACUAUAGACCCUUCAUUUUCUCUAGUAGCACAUGCUACUCUAUGCAUUCUCUUUCACUUCUCAUUGCCCUAUAGCCACCCCAUGGUGGUCCAUUGUCACUCGUUUGGUAUUAUUUUUGAGUCACCUUUGGAGAUUCUUUAUUGAGGGAUUUUUAUGGAUCCCAUUUGUGACCUUAGUUGCACCUUAUUUUAGUACACUUAUUUGAAUUUCUAAGUUUAGUUCACCUAAAUGCAUUUCUUAGGUUUAAUUUACUUAGUUGCACCUUAGGUUCAACUCACUUAGCAAUACUUUGGCUUAUUUCAACUCACUUAGUUGCACUUUAAUUUAAAUCCACUUAAUUUAGUUUACUUAGUUGCAUUUUAGGGUUUUUCUUUUCUUUUCUAGUUCACUUUAGUUUAGGCACACUUUAUUUUAGUUAAUUUGGAUACAUAUUCAUUUCACUUUGAUUUUGGUAAGUUAAUUUUUUUUAAAGUGUUUUAAUAUAAAAAUUUUAGUGGUAUGUAUGUAAAUAAAUUUUUGGUAAGUUGAUUUUUUUUUUUUAGUGUUUUAAUAUAAAAUUUUUAGUGGUAUGUACAUGAAUAGAAUUUUAGUAAGUAUUUUUUAAAAUAUUUCAAUAUAAAAUUUUUAAUGUCAUGUACAUAAAUAAAAUUUUGAUAAGUUAAUUGUUUUAAAAUGUUUUAAUAUAAAAAAUUUAGUGGUAUGUACAUAAGUAAAUUUUUCGUAAGUUAAUUUUUUUUAAGUGUUUUAAUAUAAAAAUUUUAAUGGUACGUACGUGAAUAGAAUUUUGGUAAAUAUUUUUUAAAAAUGUUUCAAUAUAAAAUAUUUUAAUGUUAUGUGUGACCAGAAAGACUAAACUGGUCAACUGUCUACUUUAUCGGUUAAGCCGAUUGGUCAGUCUCCUUAACCAAUUCACCUAUUUUGACUCAAAAACCUAUCUUUUUUAUUUCUUUCAUUUCUAACACUUAGGCAUGGUCUUCAAAUAUAUUAGUGUGUCAUUUUUAGAAUAGUUUACCUAAGGUUCGUAUAUAAGAUUCAAGGGGAGAUUUUUAUAUCAUGUGAUGAGAGUUAGGAAAAGAUUCUUGUAUUCUGCUAAUUUUUUUGGGGGAUGUUGAUAUGGAUACUAAAUGAUUUGUGGAUACUUGAUUUUUGAAUAUUUGACUUUUUGUUAACAUGUGGAUAUUUCUUGAUUGGAAUGUUAGAUAUUAUACUAUUGAAUUAUCAUUCUUUGUCUUUUUUUCUUAGCUAGAAAAAGGGAAAUUGUGGCCCUUUGUCUCCUUUUGGAACAAAAAGGGGGAGCUAUACAUGUUGAUUUUAGACAUUGGACAUUGGAUGUUUUUGUUUAUCAAUAUCAUUUUGUAUACAUGUUGAUGAUUAUUUUGGAUAUUGGAUAUUUUGAGAUACAUGUUGAUAUGUGAUCUUGUCUAUUUUGAAUUUGGAUAUACAUUGAACUUUUUGGAUAUACUACUUGUUGAUAUUAUGUAUAUUCAAUUGCUUCAUAUAGGUGCUACUAAUUGUUUUCCUUGAGGUUUAUUUGCAUGAUUUGUAAUACCUAGGUUGUGAUUUUGAGUGGGUAAGUGAGUGGCCUUGUAUGAGUGGGUGGGGCUUACUUGUACUCAUUUAUGUUGUAAAGGGUUUUGUCCCCGACUUACCAAAGAGGAAGAUUAUGAGUGUUUAGCUAGGUUGACAAUUCCGAUAAAAAUUCCUAAGUGUCUCCUAACUUGAUUUUUCCAAUCCUUCUUUGGACUACUUGCCUAAUGAAGAUCAAAUUGUUGAAUUCGUCAAGAGACAAUGGUAUGUAGUUGAGGUUGGAGUUGGAUGGAAUUAAAUCAACCAUAUUAUUUAAAUGUUGUUUUACUUAAAAUAUUUUUUAAGGAGUUAGGAAGGUUUAAGAAGCAUUUUUUUUUUACUAAGUGUUCAAAAUGUCUUAUUUAAGGAUCGAUCCAACUUUAGGUCGAAUCGAUCCAACUUACACUUUUUUUUAUGAAAUCUUAUCCUUUGGAUCAAGGGUUUCUUCCAUUUAAAAAACCAAAACUUGCUUCUUGUGCUAGAGGUAGAGAGAGACACAACAACAACCAUCCCCUUUAGUUCUCUUCUCAUUUCCUAUUUUAGGGUGUUUGGUUGUAAAGAAAAUCCAACUUUCCUAUUGUUUUCCAAACUGUUUUUAAUGGAUUUUCUUGAGAAAAUGAUGGGUUGAUUUUUCAUUCAUUCAUCUCUUAAUUUCUAGUAUAUUUGGGUUUGGGUAAAAACUCAUUUUCUUCUUGUGUGGAUUCAAGAAGAGGCCAAGAUCAAGCUUGAUGUGGACUCCAAGUGUGCUUCGGAAGAAGAAGGUGAGAAGCUAAAAGUGAAAGGUACUAAUCAAGUGGUUCAGGAAGGAUUGGUAGGCUUGAACUAGGUAAAACCUUGUAUUCAACUUUUGUUCUUCAUAGCAAAUGUUUUUGAUAAAUUAUAAGUUGGUGGUUUUUUAUCAUUUUGGAGGUUUUCCACGUUAAAAUUUGGUGUCAUUGUCUCUUUCUCUCAUUCCACCUUUUGAUUUAUUUUUAGUUUUUUAUAUCAUUGGUUACUUAGGCAUCUAUGUUGAAUGAAAGAAAAAUAAGUUGAAAUAGUUGUGAUUAUCCAUUGGAUAUCUUGAAUAUUUUUAUGUUCAUUUUGGUUAAUGAUAUCUUGUAGUAAUUGGUAAUAAGUUAAGGAGAGAAUUGUUCUUAUGAAUUAAUUUUGAGGAGUGUUGGAAGUAUUUUCAUAUGAAUUGCAUUUAUAAAUUGUGGGGAGAGUGUUGUUACUUUCAUACUUGUGAUUUUUAUGCUUUGUUGAAGAGUUGUUGGAAGAGAAGUUUAUAAACAUUAAGAAAUUAUAAGGUUAGGUAAUUUUUGUUGGAAUAUUUUUUUAAAUUAUUCAACAAUACCUAUUCACCCCUCCUCUAGGUGCAAUCCAUUAUUGAGAUUCACCUUUCAAAACUAUAUCUCUUUAUCCAAAUUUGGAGCCUCUCUUUAUACCAUGCUCCCUCUUCCAUUUCUAAAACGGUUUCUUGUUCCUAGUUCCCUAAUUGCACUAUGACUAUGGCACUAAGUCUUCCUAAAAACUAAAACCUUAAUUUUUCUAAAACUAAUUUAAUUCAUUAUCUUGCACAAAUCUAUUGUUUUAUCAAGGAAGUCUAGCAAUAAAGUUUCUACAUACUGUCAAUAGUUCAAAAAAUAUCCAAUGGCAUUUUUGAAUCUUCUGUUAGCAUAUCUACAAAAAAAUUUCAUAAGAAAAAUCAGAUUUUCAUGAAAAAAGAAAAAAAAAAACAUAGGAUAUCAUUUUCAUCUACUUUAAACAAUUUAUAUGUGAAACAAACUUAAAAUGCAAUAUUUUUCUUCACUUUCUUGGCUACCAAAUAGUCUAAGAAGUAAGAAAAAUUGUUUUAAAAAAAAUUCAUACAUACAAAAACCUAAUUUCUAACAACAUUUGCCUAAAGAAAAUAUGAAAAUAAAGAAGAAAAAUAUAUAAAAUGAGAUUAUUUGCCUCUAAUGUCUCAUCUAAGUAGAUAUGAAAAUCUCUACUCCUUGAUGUUUGAAUCCAACAUCUACACCAUUUUCUCUUAAUAAAUUUUUAAGGAAGCAAAAUAAGAAGAAGAAACCUCUAAGGAAAAAAUGAAGAGAAAUGGUUUUUCUUUAGAUUUUUCUCCUUUUAUAUUUUCUUUUCAAAUUUGAGUUGACCUAACUAUCCUUAUCUACAUUAGGAAGUGACCAAACUACCCUUGAUUGCCACAAAAAUUUAAGGCAUACCCCCUUGUCUUGUAGUGCUUAUGUUUUUGUGUGUGACAUUUGACAACCCUUAAUUGUGACAUGUGGUGCUUCUAGUACAUUUAAUUAUUUUACUAAAAUUUUAUUUUCUCUAAUUUUAAGAUACAAACAUAUGGGAAAAUGAACAUUUUAUUUCAUUUGAACUUGGGUUGUUACAAAAGACUUUAAGGCCAAGGUCUUCAACCUUCUUACACUUAGCUUACUAGGUUCUAAUGAACCUUUAUAAUAUCUUCAAGUAUCCAACCAACUUGAAGUCUUUUUCUUUACGAUGAGUAGAUGAGGAAUGAAUUUAAUAAUUUUUAUCCUAGAAUAAAUUUAGCUUAAAGUACAAGAGAAAGAUAGGAUGAUUUUGAGAUGCACUAAAGAAUUUUCAAGUGUGAAAUUAAUGUACUUAAAAAAAGAGCUUUGAAUAUGAGAAAAUAAAGGUGUUUCAAUUGAAUGUUAUUAUUAUCAUCUCUAUAUAUGUUGUAAAGCUCUUCAAUUUAUAGAAAAUUAGCUCUAUAACCCAAAAAGUUACAUAACACCCUCAAUCAAUUGAGUACCAAUUCAAUCGGUUAACUAGUCAUUGGGCAUUAAGCGCUUUACAGGUGACCGUUGGGAUUUCUAAGCUCAACCAAUGGUGCAAUCAAACCUUGACCAUUCCUUGACUAGUUGAAGCAAAGCCUUAACCGACUACACACUUGCUAUUAAAAGAGGGAGAAGGAAACAUGGAACUAUGCCUUUGACUAGUUGAGUCUAAUAGGUUGAGUCGGUUCCCCAACCAAUUCAAUAAGUUUCAGCCUCCCUCAACUAGUUGCACUUAAAAGUUUCUAAAAAGACCCAGUUUGAAACUUCCAACAACUUGUGUAACCCUUCUUAAAACCUUUUUAAGUUAGUUAAAAAAAAAAAAUUGACUCAUGGUUUUGCAUUAAAACAAAUAUUCAUCCAAUUUUAUGAUAAAUACAUUAUUUUUAAGCUUAAGUGAGAAUGAAAACUAGCUUUUAAGUGCAUGAAAAAAGUUUUAAAGCUAACUGUACUAAUAAAUGGCAUUUUAAAAUUUUUCCCAAAACACUUCGAGUCUUAAAAAAAAAAAUUCCAAGUCUUCGUUACUAUGAAUUUCUUCCAUAGUUCUUUAAAGUUUCUUUAUAUUUUCUCAUUUAAACUUAAAAACUUCACUUCGUUUAAAUCUUAACAUUAUUUUAUAACCAUUAAAAGCUUAUUAAGAAAAUAUAUAUAAACUUCUAUAUAUAAAAAUAUAACAUUUUGUCUCUAUUUUUUAAAUAAAUUUUAAAAUCAUUAUUUUUUUCAAUGUAAGCUGUUAAGAAUUUCAGGAAUCUUAUAUAUAUAUAUAUAUAAAUUAUUAUUUUUAAAUUUUAAGAAUAAGUCCAAGUGUUGUACAAUCAAUAGGGCUAAGAUUUAAGACAAAAGUAUAUGGCAAAAGUGACAAAAACGAUUAAUACUCUGGUACAUCCCUUUUGUAGCCAUCCUUUUAUAAAAGAAAAACAAUUUGCUUCUCGUGCAAAUCCUUUGACAUCUUCUACCACCUAUAACUAGUAGGACCAUGAUAUUCCUCCAUAAAAAUAAAAUUAGGUGAAGCUGAUUGACUUUUAUUGCUAAUCAGCCAAUGCUUGAUCGUAAUAUAUCAUCCUUUCCAUUGACUAAAAUAAUAAUUGAGCUUAAAACAAUUGUUCACUAUAUGUCCAUUUCCUUGUUCCCAAGAUAUAAUAGGGGAUGAUACAAUAUGGAAAAGAAUUAACGCCUACCCACCGUUUCUAACCUUUGAUUUUUUUAUUUUUUCUUCCAUAAAUCCAUAAAUCUAUCUAUGGGUAAUGAACUAUAGUAUUAUUUCUCUAGUCAAAUUAAGCAUACUAAGAGUCUGAGACUGAGGCUGGAUUAUAUCUCUAUUUGAGAGGUGGGAUGCUCUGCUCAUUCCUGAAAAAAUUAGUCGGAUCCACUGCAGUCUUCACCUUCACCAAUCUAUCAAAAUUGUUCAUGAAGUACUUGGCACCGUAAACUUUGCCUUCAUCGUAGGACCAGGUCUUAGUGACCCCAAUGUCAACGUCUCUGUAAUUGAGAAAUGAACCUCUUGGGGACUUGGAGACGAAUGGGGUCAUGUAACUGUAGAGCCUUCUUAUCUGGGUCAUGUACUCUUUGUCUGCUUCUUCACCUUCUUCGCUCCAGUUCACUGAGUACUGGAUCUUGUAUAUGUUCCCAGCUCUGUGGGGGAAGGCCGUUUCUGAGCUGGGAAUUUCGCUCAUUCGCCCUCCAUAUGGGUUGAACACCAGCCCUGUUUUGCCUAUCUCAAUCAUCUUCUUCCACAUCCAUUCCAGUCCAUCCUUCGAGAUUGGUGUCUGCACAUAAUCCGACUUCCUCUUCAAGAAGUUCACUGAAUCCGAAGUCCUGUUCAGCAGAGCAUCAGGCGAUGUUCCAUUAUCGAAAUUAGCCCAGUACAGAACUGACUCAAUCCAGCUCAUUUCCAUGCAGUCCUCUUUCUUCAGCCCCAGUGCAGGAAAAUCCUUGUCCAUGACAGACAAGAGCCGAGCAGCGUCCCCGAGAAACAGCGAAACAAACGAUGCUCUGAUAGUUCUGUUCUUGUUCACGGUCACGGGUUGCAGGAGAACCCUGAUGAACAGAUCAUUGUCGAUCUUAUCGGCAACGAGUUGCCAUUUGUACACAAGGUCGGUGGCAUUUUGGUCCAAAGUCCUCUGUACCCUGAAAACUGUGACAGUCUCGGGGACAGCAACGAGCUUGAUUUUGUAUGCAAGUAUGACCCCAAAGCUGGAUCCACCACCUCCUCUAAUGGCCCAGAAGAGGUCCUCUCCCAUGGCCUUCCUAUCCAGAAUUCUGCCAUUCACAUCCACAAUUUUUGCGUCCACAAGCUGAUCAAUGGACAGUCCAUAUUUUCGCAACAUAGUGCCAUACCCUCCCCCACUUAUGUGGCCUCCAGCACCCACAGUUUGGCCAACCCCAGCUGGAAAUCCAUGUAGUUUGCUCUUCUCCCAAAUUCUAUAAUAAAGCUCUCCAAGAGUGGCACCUGCCUGCACCCAAGCAGUCUCAUCGCCUAUGUUAACGUCGAUGGCCCGGAGAUUGAACAAGUCGAGGAUGAAAAAGGGGAUAUCCGAGAUAUACGAAAGCCCAUCAUAGUCGUGGCCGCCGCUGCGGAUUUUCAUCUCCAUGCCGACGUUUUUGGAGCAAAGAAUGGCAGCCUGGACAUGGGAUUCAACCAAGGGGGUCACAAUGAUGAGGGGUUUGGGCGUGGAAGAUGUGUUGAACCUUCGGUUUCUGAUAUAAGAUUGAAGGACUGUUGUGUAGGAAGAAUUGGACUGAUUAUAAACUAUUGAUGAAGCCGGUGGAGAUGGAUCUGAAUGGCUGGCUAGGCACUGAAUAAAGGUGUCAUAGACUGAAUCUGAGGCUUCGCAUGAUGACGACGAUGAAGAGAAAAACAGAAAACCAAGGAGGAACACAAGCCCAAAAACAGAGGCAGAGCUUGCUGUCCUCAUAUUUGUCGCUUUUUUGUUGUAGGAUUCAAUAGGCAGAGGUGCUGGGGACCCUUUUAUAAAGACCAAGUGGGCUUUCCUUCUGGCCCCAUGCAUUAAAUUUAGGAAAAAGUAAAAGCAAACCGCCUUGGAAAAUUCUUACAGAGAAGAAAAAAAAUAUGGAAACCUGUGAUAAUAAUAGUAAUAAGCUUUACUUUUCUGUAUCAUACUUUUAUAAAGUUUAGGAGCUGAAUAACAGUAGUUGAACCCUAUUAAUAUGCAUCGUAUUCAGAAAGAAGGAUCUGACCGAUGGGGAUUAAUUUCAAUGGUCACACUAUCAUGCCUUGAUUUUGUUAUGAUGGAGUUGUUACUAGUCUACGUAAAAGGAAAUUAUAGUUGCUAUUUUGUUAUUUUCUUAAAUUCAAAUUUUGAAACUCACUUUCUGUUUGGAUUCUUAGAAAAUCCCUUUUUUUUAAUGGUAUGAAUAUUGUGUUGACCAACUCCGCGUGGUACUAUCGAUGGCGCGAGAUUAGCCAUCGGUGCUAAGCUUCUAGGCGGCCGCGGUAGGCCGGCUUAACUUUUCAUUUUGUUUUACAUGAAAAAAAAAACAAUAUGUUUUUAGAUGAUUUUAUAAAAGAUACCAUAUUCAUAUUUCUUUAAAUAGUCACAUAAUAUUUCAAAAUAUUUUCUAGAAAAGGUUACCUUGGCUUUCUAACUUCAAAAAUCUGAGCAUUUGUUUACAUACAUUUUUUAUUUUUUAUUUUUUAAGAAAGAAAAUAAUAUAAUUUUUAUAUAAAAUACAAUAAUUAUUUUUAAAAGUCAGUUACUAUCUCAAAUUUUAAAUUUUUUUAAAGCAAUGUGUAAGAAUAUAAAAUUAAUUUAUAUUUUUUAAUAAAAAUUUCUGCUUUUUAUAUGAAAUUUUUUUAAACUAUUAAAAAUACCAUAAAAAUGUUCUAUCCAAAUAAUAAUUAAAAAAAAGAGUUAUUAAGAAAAAUGCAACUAGAAAAAAUAAUACCUUUAUUAGAAUCAUUCCUAAACUUGUCCUUAAAUCUUUUGUUUUUCAAGUUGAGAUUUAUUUUUAAAUUUUUUGUCUAUCUACAAAGUGUAAAAAUUUUGACUUUUAUAGAAGAUUUAAAUAAUAAAUGAUACUUUCACAAUAACUUUUAUUCAAAAUUUAAAAAAAUGUAGACCUAUUCAUACUUCAAUUUAAAUUAUCAUACAUUGAAAUUUCAAUGGGAUAGAAAGUGACUUUUAUUUAAACAAAAUACAUAAUUACGUUAUCGUAUAUUACAAAUUAAUUGGUGAUAUGAAGAAAGAAUAAUUGAUAAUAAUUUUAAAAAACGUUUUUAAUUAUUUUAACACUUAAAAAAAUAAAAAAAAUUUUAAAUGUUAAAAAAAAAUAGAAAUACUUCCUAAAAUUAUUUUUAAAUGUAAUCUAAAUUCCCAUGUAAUCUAAAUUUGGGAAUCUAGUAUGUUACAAAUGUCAUCAUAUCAAAUAAAGUAAUAGUUUAUUUGAUAAACUCUCUUAGUCUCUUUUGAAUACAACAAUACUUUAUAAUCUUUUAAAAAGCAAAAUCAUAUAAGAUGUUUUUUUGCAUUUAAAUAUGGUAUUUCUCUACAAGUCUUCUGUAAUAUAUAGGGUUAAAUUUUAUUGAGACCCCAGAUUUAGUGUAAAUCCACUAAGCUACCACAAGUUUCAAAUUUCAUCUGUUAGUACCCAUAUAAAUAUAUUUUAUACAUAAUUUUUAUUUUUAUUUUUAAAAUAAAAUUUAGGUUUUAGAGAAUUAUUAAAUAUUAUUAUUUGAAGUCUAUCUAAAAAAUAAAUUUUAUAAACAAAAUAAAUUUAUAGGGAUGCUAAUUGAUGAAAUUUGAACUAAUGAUAAUGAAAUGUAUUUACACCAAACAACAGGAUAUAUGGGAUAAAUUAACCUCAAUACCUAAAAAUUUUAGAUAUAUUUAAAAGAAAUGUAUUUUUACUGCUACUACUAAAGUGACUCUCCCAAGGGAAGAAGUAGUCAAACUAUGGGGAGGUGGGGAUCUUAUAUAUUCUUGGGUUGUAUUUUAUUAAAUAAUAAUCUCACCUUUGAACCAUCUCCAAAUGUUAGAAUGGAUGGACAAGUCCACAUUGUUAUCACAUGGAGCCCACAUGUGAUUUAAGCAUGAUUGGUAAUCAAAUUUAAUUGGUUCAAUUUGGUAAGAGUAGGGGGAAAAAAUCACCUUCUUAAGAAGGAAAGGAGUGGACUAAGAAUGUGGGUUGUUAGUUUAUGUUAUUGAGCACAUAGGAUUGAGGAUUGAGGAUUGAAGCUGUUUUGUAAAAAGGUAAACUCUUUGGCUAUGUUUGGUUCCCGGAAAGUACAAAGGAAAGAAAAAAAAUGCUAAGGAAAAUAAUUUUCUCAUGUUUGGUUGUCCUAUAAAAAAUAUCAAAGAAAAUCAAAUAUAAUUAAAACUAAUUAAAAACUUAUGUAUUUUUAAAUUAUUUAAUCUUUAUAUUGAUGAGUUAAAAUAAAUAAAAUGAGUUUGAAGUAACAAAAAAAAUAAUUUAUCAAUUUUUAAUCUAUUUUUUUAUUUUCCUUCACUUUUUCUUUCCUUCUACUUUUCUUUUGUAUUUUCUUUUCCUCGCAUUUUCCCUCAAAUUUUUCGGGAACCAAACAUAGCCUUUAUCAAUUGAGUUUAAUUUUCUUAGGAUGGGGGUUAUGUAGGGUGCAAUGGGCACAGUGGAUGGUAUAAUUGACACGGUCUCUGCAAUUCAUCCUCUCUUCCGUUGAUCGGCCUUUUGAAGUCCCAAGGAAAGCUUGUUAUGUUGGGGGCACCAGAUCAGCCACUUGAGCUUCCCGCCUUUCCUUUAAUUUUGGGUAAAUAUAAAUACAUGGCAAGAAAUUGAUUGGGAUUAAUUAAAUAAGAAAUGACAAUGACAGGGAGGAAGACUGUGGGUGGUAGUCUCACCGACAUUGGAAAUACCCUUGCUUCUUCCAACCCUUAAAGAUUAUUAUCAAACGUGUUGCAUCAUUUCAAUUCCUUCCGUAAAGAGUGCUGUGGAUGUCUCCAUAUUUUUAAACUUUAGCAAGAUGGACACCAAUAAAAUCAUAUGAUCAAUUUUGUCUUUUCUUUAUUAUCCAUGUUUUUUUUAUUUUUCUUUAAAAGCAAUAUCCAAAUCAUAUGAUUAAUCUCCACUACAGUAGUUGGUCUGCCUCAAUCCAUCCAAGUUGCAGAUAGAAUAUAUUUAAAAAUAAACCUUUGAAUGGAAACAACUCUCAAAUAUUUUUCAAUUGCAGAUGCUAAGCCACCGGAGAUAAUUCAGAAAAAAGGAAGAGAAAGUGACCCUCUGAGAACUUGAGAACGUUGGAAAUUAGUAAGAAAUUGGUGGGGGGCCCUUUGGUGAAGAAACGGAAGAGGGUGGGAAUCUUUAGGCCUGAGAAGGACAUCUCUUUCAUUAAUCACAAUACAACGUAUCAUAUUAAAAAAAGGAAAAAAGGAAAAAAGAAAAAAAGAAGAAAUUAAUUGAUUAUUAAAAUAAAAAUUAAAUAGAACCAAUUGGUCUGGGUGUUCCUAGUGGAAGGUUGACCUCCCGGGACAGAUUCAUAAAAAAAUAAAAAUAAAAUUGAUUUUGGUGGAGACAGAAGAAGGUAAUUGGUGUAUGAGGGUGUUUGGGACCGUUGGAUUAAAUUUAUAGCCAAGCAAAAUAGCUUCAAUGUGUCCAAGAGUGAAGACCCAUUUCAAACAUUGCAGCCUACAUAAAAAAAUUUUUAUGUAAUGUGUAAGAAUAUAAAUUAAUUUAUAUUUUUUAAUAAAAAAUUCUGCUUUUUAUAUGAUUUUUUUUUUAAAAGAAAAAAGCAUAAAUAAUCACUAACCUUUAAAUUAUCACUUUAUAUAUAUUUUUUAGAUAAAUUUUUUUUAUAACAUAGCAAACUAUUAAAAAUACCAUAAAAAUGUUCUAUCCAAAUAAUAAUUAAAAAAAAAAAGAGCUAUUAAGAAAAAUGCAACUAGAAAAAAAAAUACCUUUGUUAGAAUCAUUUGAGAUUUAUUUUUAAAUAUUUUGUCUAACUACAAAGUGUAAAAACUUUGACUUUUAUGCAAGAUUUAAAUAAUAAAUGAUACUUUCACAAUAAUUUUUAUUCAAAGUUUUAAAAAAUGUAGACCUAUUCAUACUUCAAUUUAAAUUAUCAUACAUUGAAAUUUUAAUGGGAUAGAAAGUGACUUUUAUUUAAACAAAAUACAUAAUUACGUUAUCGUAUAUUACAAAUUAAUUGGUGAUAUGAAAAAAGAAUAAUUGACAGUGAUUUUAAAAAGCGUUUUUAAUUCUUCUAACACUUAAAAAAAUAAAAAAUAAAAAAUUAAAUAUUAAAAAAAAUAAAAAAUAGUUCCUCUUUUAAAUAUAAUCUAAAUUCCCAUGUAAUCUAAAUUUGGGAAUUUAGUAUGUUACAAAUGUUGUCAUAUCAAAUAAAGUAAUAAUUUAUUUCAUAAACUCUUUUUGAAUACAAUUGAAUUGAGUACUUUAUAAUAUUUUAAAAAGCAAAAUCAUAUAAGAUGUUUUUUGUAUUUAAAAAUGGUAUUUCUCUACAAGUUUUGUAUAAUAUGUAGGGUUAAUUUUAUUGAUACCCUUGAGAUUUACUUUAAAUCCACUAGGGAAACCUAGGAUUAUGGACAAAGUCGGCUCUGUUUUGUGAAAAGGUAAACCCUUUAUCAAUUGAGUUUAAUUUUUUUAGGUAUGGUGUCUACAUGUAAUGGAUUUCUAUUAGUCAUAAAAUAUUCCAUGAUUGAUGCCAUCAAAUCUGUUCGGUCAAUUUGUAAAUUCUAACAUUUGUUUCCAAACUGUCAUGUCUCAUGUGUAAGUCGUUGUUGUUUUUUUUUUUUUUCUUUUUGUGUGUGAUUUUAUACAUGUGUGCAUGCUAUUUGAAAUCAACUUUGGAAAUUUAAUAAUGACUAUAAUUUCUUUAAAACCAAAUAAAAAUUAAAGUCGUCUUAAAAUUGUCGGUCACGAUAAGCUAUUCAUACAUUUAAGGAAAUAUCUAAAUUUUCAAGUUCGCAAACUUUGACUUUUGAGAUUUUAUUUCAUACCUUCACAAAUCUUUAAUUUUAAAAUAUACCUUUUUUACAAAAGUAUUUUUAAAUAAAAUUGACAAAUUAUAGUGACAUGUAUAGGUUUCGACUCAUGUUGUGACAUUUUAAUAUUAGUUUUUUUAAAUAAACUUAUUUUUUGUAAGAAAAGUAGCUCAAAAUAAUAUGGGUUUUAUCUUAAUUAAUGAUCAAAAUUUAAGGAUCAAAUAAAUUAAAAUUUUCCAUUUAUGAUAAUAUAAAGUCACAAAAAAAUGGCAGCCAACCAAAUUAUUAAUAAAUAAGAAUUAUAAACACAAUAAUAAUAAUAAUAAUAAUAAUAAUAAUAAUAAUAAGAAGAAGAAAAAAGAAAUGUUAAGGGGAUAUUUUGAAUAUGCAUAUUGAUUAAAGAGGGGUUAAAACCCUCUUUGACAAUUGUUUUUAAUAAUAAUAUUAUAUUUUUUAGAACAAAAAAACUAAAAAACAGUUUAAUAAUCAGUUUAUGUUUUUUUUCUAUUUUUAUUAUUAGAAAAUAAGGUAUUUUUAGAGAAUAUUUUUAAAUUAUUUUUAAUUAUUUUUUAAAAGUUGUUUUAAAGAAUAAUUAUACAAAUAUAUAUAAUGAUUAAAAAUAAAAUUAUGGAUAUAAAAAUUAUUUUUAAAAUAUAUUUAAAAAUAUUAAAAAAAUGUUUAAAAUAAUUUUAGGUUUUUAAAUAAAUUUUUAUUCUAUAAAAUUUUAAAAAAUUAUUCUUAAAAUCUAAUUUUUAAAAACAAUUAUCCUAAAUGUCAGUGUGAAUGGGAGGUACACGCGUAGAAGAUGAGGGUCAAAGCCCUCAAAAGCCAAAAAAAACCAGUGGCGGAGAGUGGAUUCAGACUUUUCAAAGCCGACAGCCUUUUGAAUAUUUUGGGCACUGGGACCGGAGACCCUCGACCCAACCUCCAUUGCGGUCGGGCCUCGAGUUCUAGUUAUUUUCCGCCGCUUACCCAAACCACACGUCACCCACGACCAAAACUUCGGCCUCACCACCAGUAUUCUGCUUUUGAAUACAGAACAUCUCUUUCAGUGAACUUGUGGUUAAGCUUUCUCCUCGUCCUUAACGAUGAAAAUAUCGGACUCACAGAUUAAACUCGAUUUUAUGGAUUUAAAUGGAUAUUUUGACAAUGUCAAAAUAUAUAAAUUGAUUUUAUAAAAAAAAUAUUAUAUAUGAUAUAAUUUAUUAUAUUUAAUAAUAAUAUCGAUAAAAAAAUAUUUAUUAUUAAAUUAUAUAAAAUACUAUUUAAUAAUAAAAUUUGAUUAUAAUAUAUCUAAUUUUAAAAUAUAUUUAAUAUUUAAGUUAUAAAUUAUUUAAUUUAAUCAUAUUAAAUAAUAUAAAAUAAAUUAUGAUGAUGAUAUAUAUAAUAAUUUUUAUAUUUUUUUAUCAUUAAUUAAAUAAAAAAAAUUUAAUUAUAAUUAUUAUUUUUUAAUAUUUUAUUUAUUUGAGGACUUUUAAUGUAUAUAUAUAUUUGGUGUGGUAUGCUUAAUAAGGGGCAAAUCUGUCUCAAUGGUUGGUUGAGGUUCAUGGUGAACCUUUUAUUCGGGGUACCUUGAUACAUGAACGAAAAUAUCAUGAUAUUUUAAUCCGUCCCUUUAGCCAAACAAAACAUAUCCUUUUUAGAGGUAUUUUGUAAUUAUUGUUCAAACUAACUAAUCAUUAUUUAAAAAAGAAUAUUUUAUUUUAUUUUUUUUCAAAUUUCAAAUUUAAAGAAAUUAAUAAUUUAAUAAGACGUCGUCUUAAAUGGAAGGUAUAGAGGAUAUUAGAGAUGAUUUCUAGAAACAAGUAUUUUUAUAUACUUCACGGCUCUUCCUCUGGCCUCCAUAUGGGAAGAUGGUUACGACUUGUCCAAGGAUUGGCCAUAAAUUUUAGGUUUAUUGUGGUUGAUUGGUUGAUUGUUAUCUUCUUUGCCUUUUACCUCUCUCCUUAGUCAACUCUAAACAGGCCAACAGUGCUCUUCUAGAAUAAAUUAUAAAUAUUUAAUAAUAAUAUUCAUUAAAUAUUAAAUUAGCUACGAUAAUUAUAUUAUAAUGACCUAAUAUUAAACCUUCAUCACAUCUUGAAUAUGAUAGUUGUGAUAGAUUCUUUUCCACUUGACAUUUUUUACCAUAGUGAAAACAUUUAAUUGGAUUCAGAUAUUCUUUAAGGUGGUCUUUGAUUUUUCACUUAAUUCCAAAUACAAUUUAAUAUUAUUAAGUACUUUGUUUUGUUUACUAUUAUUUUAUUUUUAUUAAGUAUUAAUAGGGUGAAGGUUGUAUUAGGAUUUUAUUUUGGUUGUUUCAAUGAGUUUUUUUUAGCAUUCAACAAAUAAUAAAAUAUUUUGAUUUUUUUUAUUCAAUCAAUUUUUUUAUAUAUAAAAAAAAGUAAUAAGUAGAAAAAAAAAACACAUAAUUUAAUGUCUAAAAGCAAAAUACAUUCAAUAAUAAAUAAAAAAAACAAACAUCACCUCUUAUUGCUUCCCCUAUCUUCUAUAACCAAGGUUUGUACACAAACUAUACUAAAAGUCAUCCUUUUCAUUUCUUUAUUAAAACAUCGCUCUAGCCCUUACCACACAAUGACAUAACAUGAUUUCAUUUAUUUUUUUGGCAAAUUUAGUUUUUACUUUUUUGUGGAUUUUUUAUUUUUAUUUUUUAUUUGGAGCCAUUGCUUGUUUUUAAAGGAAAAUAAAAUGAAAAAUAAAACCCUAAAUAAAUCUUAGAAAAAGUCAUGUUUUGUAUUGCUAAAAAUGAUUUGGGAUCAUAUUAUCUAGUGGAAAUGUAUGAAGUAAAUCAAGUAUCACAUUAAACUCAAAAUAUAUCCAUCUAUACUAAGUGAAAAAAACUUUGAUAGUUACUUAAGUAACCGUCAGAUACCUAAAAAAUCAAUAGAGGUAUAUUUAAUGAAAAUUUUGUUACAUUACAAUGGUGGUCACAUCAUCAUGAAGCAAAUCGUGAAUGUAUGUAAUUAAAAAUCUAUAAUCUAACAUAUUCGAAAAUCAUGUGAAUUAUCUUCUAUUAAAGACAACCUAACAAUAUUAUAUGAAGAUAAUGUUACAUUUAUUGAGUAAAUAAAAGAGAUUAUAUUAAAGGAGAUAAAACCAAACAUAUUUCACCAAAAUUCUUUUAUACAUAUGAACUCAAGAGCAGUGAAAUUGAUGUUAAAUAAAUAUUUUCAAGUGAUAACUCUAACAUUUAAGAGGCUAAUAAAAAAAUUGAAAUAUGUAAACUCAAGGAUAUCGAUAUGAGGAGAAGUAUGUUUUAAAAAAAUGUUAGUAUACCGCAUUUUUUCCCUUUCAUCUAAGUUUUGUCCCUUUAGAUUUUAAUAGCAAGAUUUUUAAUGAGACAUUCCUAACAGACCAAGAGCAGCUAAAGAAUUAUAAAAACAUUAUACUUUUUUUUUCCCUUUAUUAGGGUUUUCUCACAGAGUUUUUUUAUUAAAAAGGUUUUAAUGAGACAUAUUCUCUUGUGUAGUGAAUAUCUAAUGGGGAGUGUUAUAAAUACAAGUGGUAGAUGUGACUGCUUUACAUUCUCUAAUAUUAAAAUUAUUAUAAAUGUAAGUCCUCCUUUAAUAUUGACUAUUAAUAUGAGUAAAUAAAUGUAUUAAUGGUAGAGUUUUGUAAGCCUAUAAAAGGCUCUAAGAAUGCAAAAAAAAAAAAAGAUAUCAUCUUGAAGAAGAGAGGGCAAUUGGUAGUGGAAGGGCUAUCAAAACUCUCUGAUUACUUUCCACUACUAAAAUAAAAAAUAAAAAAAAUCUUUUUUUGAAUCCUAGAUGAUUUAUAACCCUUUAGAUUAGAGAAUCCUUAGAUGCUUAGAAUCAAACAAGUAUCAAUAGUUCUUUUCCGUCCUUCUACUGGGAAAUAAUUUGACAAAUUAUAUUAGCAAAACAUAAUAUGGGAUUUCGAGUCUUUUAUUGAUUAGGUGACACCCAAAUUUGAAUCGGAGAAAAAUGAUUUGUAGUCCCCCACAUUACCACAUUCUUGCUUUCAUCCUCUUAAUUCUCCUUAACACUUAUUCAAUUGAAUUGCCUACAAACACAAGGGUGUUUUAAUAUUUUAAAAUGUACUGGUAUUUUGUUUUAAAUAACAAUCCGACCCUUCUUUCCCAAAAGGGGAUAUUGAUGAUUAAACUACUUUAGUGGAUUAAAAAUUAGCAAAAGAUGAUUUUAUUUGAAGUUCCUAAAAUAUUAUGAUUUCAAUUUAGCACUUGCACUAGCAAAUGUUUCGCAACAUUAAAGCCCUUAGAUUACUUGGGAAGUUGGACUAGAGGUUAGAAGAGCCCAAGAUAAAAUAAAAUUAAAAAUAAAAAUAAAUCUAGAUUAAAAUUCAAUGGGCCUUGGUUAUAAGAGUCCAAACUAAAAACGGAACCUAACUGGCCUUGAGGACCUAAUUGAAGCCUAAAAUUAGGCCCAAAUUGGGUCGCUAGAAUCGAAACCAAACUUUGCUGUCAUUCCCUACAAUCAAUGUGAGUGAUUCCUUCUUCAUACUUAUUUAUUUGAAUUUAGAAAUCAAAACGGGAAAAGUAAAUGAUUAUGCUAUUGGGUUUGAGGCUUUCAGCAGAAUCAGUUCGGUUCGGUCCAAAUUGAUAAAUUUUCCCUCAAUAACUGACCACACCGAACACUCAUGUGCUGGACCAUUGGGCCUAGCCCAACAACAUUCUCAUUGUAAUUUUUUUAGUACAAAGGAAUUUUCUUCCCCUCCUACACAUGAUUUCCAUCAACUCUAUUGCAAUGUUUUGAAGCAAUCUGCUUUCUUUUCUCAAAUAAUCUCUCUUAAAAUACAUACAGAAAAUCAUGCACCCGAAAAAACAACUCUCAAGGAAUUCAAUAGAAGCCCCUCAAUAAGCAAGGUUGAUUGUUAAAGCCAAUUUUCCUAAAAAUUUAAGCCUCUAGGAUUUGGGUCGACGAUAUAUAUCUUCUUUAAUAAUACCCCCUCCCUUAUAUGCAGCCCUAAUACACACAUUACCUUCCUAAAUAAUAUGGAGUGAGGCUCAAAUUCGUGACCUCCCCUACUAAACAAGACUUUGAUACCAUUUCUAAAAUCGAAUUUUGACCAUCUCAUCUAAAACCUAAUUGAUGUCCGGUGAGAGUAGGUCAUACCUUUUAUUAUAUUCGACCAUCAUUAUUCAGGUGACCUGUCCUUAGAUUUAAUAAUAACAUUGUUGCAUUCUAACAAUAAUGAAACAAUCCAUAAUAAUCUUUAAACCCAUUUGGGAGUCGUUCCAAUUAAAAUGGUUUAAGGACUUUUAUCUAUAAGGCUUUUGUUAAUAAAUAGUACUUUCAUUAGAAAAUGCUUUUUAAAAAAAUCACUUAAUAUUUGAAUACAAAUUAAAAAUAGUAUUUUGAUAAUAUUUUUUAUUAAAGUGAUUUUUAAAAGAUUCAUCUACCAAUAAUUGUCUUGAAAUUGCUUCAAAUGAUUUUUCAGAUUUAUAAAGUUAUUUUAAAAAAUUUACUACAUACCCAAUUUUUAUUUUUUAUUUUUAACAAAAAAUGCUUCUAAAUAUUACAAACUAUUUUUAGAGUGUGUUUGAUAGUGAUUUUAGAAAGUAUUUUUAACAUUUCCAUCACUUGAAAAUUUUUAUUUUUCAAGUAUUAGAAAUUUAAAAAUACUUCAUAAAAUCAUUGUUAAAUACGUUUUUAGAGUCCGUUUGGUAGUAAUUUUAAGAAACGUUUUUGACUUUUUUAAUGCUUGAAAAUUUUUAUCUUUCAAACAUUAAAAAGAUUAGAAACACUUUCAAUAAUCCUUGUCAAACAGACUUUUACUCUCUUUCAAAAUCAAUCCCAAACAAGCUCUCAAUCUGGUAUUUAAUGGUCUUACAAAACUGUCACACAGGAAACUUUGAUUGCUAUUUUGGAUUUUAGAGAAUACAAGAAAUUAAACUAAGAACUGUCCUAUCUUCUGCAAGAAGGUGAACCAGUAGCCUAAGAAUUAAAUAAUCCACAUGAAAAAAAAGGGUUGUGCAGAGACAGAGUUUAUAUGAAUAAUGCAUCCAAAAGAAACUUCCGUUAAUUUAGAUUAACUCUGUCACAAUUUGUUUAAAAGGAAGCAAGUAACUUGAUGAUGCAGUAGAAUUUCAAAAACCAGACUUCUCCUGAACCAUAGCUCACUGGCUGCAGCAGUCCUAGACUCUCAUACUCAUAUGGCCUUUGAUUCCAAGGUGAAAACCAACCAUGGAGACACUCUAUUAUUCCAAGAUGCAUUCUUAGAUGAGAACAUUAAUUAAAGACUUAGCAGUUUUAACCAUCCAAACUACGAAUUUUAGACAGAAAUACCACUAGGAAACAACCAUAAAGAUUAGUAAUUUUGCUAUUUGAUGUCAUUGAAAUGAAAAGACACUGAAAUUCCAUAGAUAGAAUUUUGAUCAGAUUAACAAAAAGAAAAUGAGAAAGAUUGGAUCAGAUUAAACAUUUCAAGCAGAACUAUCAGCAGUUCAGCAAAUUUUCAACCUUCCAAGAUCAAAUGUGACCUCAUCUGAGCUAUAGUAAUGUUUGAAUAAUAAUAAGCUGCAGCAAAUUUUGUAAUUUUUAGCAUUUGAUUUCAUUUCAGAGGAAAGAGGACAAAUUGAAGACCAGUAAAUUCAAUUCUGCAUAUAAGUAGAAGGAAAAAAAGAAAAGUUUAGACCAGAUUAGACCUUCUGAAUAGAAUUAUCUGCAUUUUAUAAGCGAUUUUUCAAGCUUCUCAAAUCAAAUCUGAUAUAUUUGAGCCAUCAUCACAGUAUAUACAAAGUAUUUUUAGAGAAACAGAAGAAGACGAAGACUUGAUUAGAUUAAACCUUCCAAAACAUUUUAUAUGCAAUUUUUACAGAUUCCAAAACCAAAUGUGGUCUUAUCUAAGCAACUAUAUGUUGUAAUUCGAACAAAUAGGAGAUUGGAAAAACCCCAACAGCUUGGGGAAAAAAAAGAACACCAAAUGACAUCACAAAAAAUGUCCUUCAAACUCACUCCAAAAGUGAAAACAUUUGGAAAAGAACUGUCAGCAUUUUAUAUGCAAAUUUUCAGCUCCCAAAACCAACUGUGAAGAAGAAGCAUCAACCCCAACAUUAAAGAAAAAAGAAAAAAGAAAAAAAGGGGAACAUUUGGGGAAAAAAGAGCACCAAAAAGUAUAAUCAUACCACCACUUAGCCAGUAAGCAUUGAGCCCCCUAAAGGGAAAGAUACCAAUGAAUACAAUCCUUAGCAAAUCUGCAAUGGGGCAAAGUUCUGAUUUGUUUUUAAUGUUUUCCUACAUUUUCUAGGGGGCUACGUAAGUUCCAAUAAUAUCAUAUUGUGGUCCUGUUUGCUAAAAAUGCCGUUCCAGUAAAGUUGGAAGAGGAAUAAAUACAAAGUUUAGUAAUGAUCAAUAGAAUGGUCAUUCACAACGAAUUGAUAGAAAACCAAUUAAUUAAAGAAACAUCAAGUAAAAAUAUACUUUACAGACUAACCUUCUGAUUCUUCUCUAGUUCCAUAAUCAAAUAUUUAUUCAAGCAGAGUUGCAUAUUGACUGGAGCUAAUAACAACUUUUUCUACCAUGAUGGCUCUACUCUGCCAUUACAUAAUUCCUAUUUGUAACAGAUGGAAUGCUUUGUUCAUACCUAAAGAAAUUGUCUGGAUCAACCCUGCUCUUCACUUGCACCAAUCUAUCGAAAUUGUCCUUGAAAUACUUGGUUCCCCAGAUACUAGCUUCUUCAUAACUUACAUUACCAUUUUGAUUGACGCCUAAGUCAAUAUCUCUGUAGUUCAGGUAUGAACCCCUUGGUGAAUUUGAAACAUAAGGUGUCAUGUAGUCAUAAAUCCUCCUUAUCAUAUUUAGAUUGUGAUCUGCAGCCUCCAUGCUUUCUUCUUUCCAGGUUACUGAGUAUUGAAUUUUGUAGAUGUUCCCUGCCCUAUGAGGAAAUGGAGUCUCAGACUCUGAAAUCUCGCUCAUUCUGCCACCAUAAGGGUUGAAUGUCAAAGCUGGUUUCUGUAAUUCCAUCAUGGUAUUCAAUAUCCCUUUUAGAUCUGCCUUUGAUAUGGAUGCCUGCACAUAGUCUGAUUUCUUCUUCAAAUACUUUCGUGAUUGGGGUGUUCGAUCGAGCAAUACACUGAUUGGUGUUCCCUUUACAUAAUUGGACCAAUAAACAAUUGAUUCAACCCAACUCAUUUCAAUGCAGUUGUUGCCAUUUAUGCCCAACUCAGGGAAGCUUUCACUCAUAAGAGCAAGAAGCUUUUCAGAAUUUCCAAGAAACAAGGAGACAAAUUUAGCUUUUAUUGUCUUAUGGUCUUUCCUAAUAACUGGCAGUAUGACAACCCUAAUGAAGAGAUCUUCAUUUAUCUUAUCCGCUACAUAUUGCCAUUGAUGAAGAAGGUCAAUUGCACCUUGUUCCAAUGUUCUUUCAACUCUGAAAACAGUGACAGUUUCUGGAACAGGAACUAACCUAAUUUUCCAGGCAACAAUCACUCCAAAGCUAGCUCCACCUCCUCCUCUAAUGGCCCAGAAGAGAUCUUCUCCCAUGGACUCCCUAUCUAGAAUUCUCCCAUUUGCAUCAACUAUCUGUGCAUCAAGCACAUUAUCAACAGAUAGGCCAUAUUUCCUCAUCAUGUUCCCAUAUCCCCCACCACUGAAAUGGCCUCCAACUCCAACAGUGGGACAAACCCCAGCUGGGAAGCCAUACAAAUUGCUCUUCACUGCAAUUCUAUAAUAAAGUUCACCCAUUGUCGCCCCAGACUGCACCCAUGCCCACUCAUUCUCUAUAUCAACACUCACUUCUCUAAGAUUGAACAUAUCUAGAAUAACAAAGGGAACAUCAGACACAUAUGAGAGGCCAUCAUAAUCAUGACCUCCGCUCCGAAUUCUAAGCUGCAAACCAUGGAUCUUGCAGCAAAUAAUCGUGGCUUGGACAUGGGACACAUGAGAAGAGGCUACAAUAAACGAUGGUUUUGGGGUUGUGGAUGACAUGAACCUGAGGUUCUGUAUGUAUGACUGCAAGACAUAUGCGUAUGAAGAAUUAGUGGGGGUGUAGAAAACACCUGAGAUUGGUGGGGAGGGCGCUGAGAGGUGUGAAAGGCAUUGGAGGAAGCUGUCAUGGACUGGAUCUGACAUAGUCAACGAAAAAUGGAGCACAAGAGCCGAAAGUACUGAGAGAAUUGCAAAUCUUGAAGUCCCCAUUUCAUCUACUGCUCAAUUCCAUUGGAGAGAUCUUUCUAAGACUCCAUGGAAAGUAUUUGGGAAUGAUUAAGACGGUUGAAGGGCGUGAAAGGGAAGGGUGAAAAGUAGGAAAUAACCAGGAAAUUUCUCCUUUCAAUCCUUAGAUAUGGCCACCACCAUAACUCAAUUCUAAAUAUCCCACCAGCUUUUCUGUUUGCUUUUGCCAUAAUUUUGUAAAAAGGGAAAUCAAAAUAAUAGUUACAGUAGAAAAAAACAAGUAAAUGAAACAUCUUGGAAGUUGAUAAAAGUACUAAAUUGUGCUGGUAAAGAGCAUAAUAUGCCUAAAACUGACAGCCCCUACCAAAUUACUGAUUUGUUAUUUUGUGAUAAAGUUUAUUGACCAAAAAAACCAGUUCAGUAUAGCCAAAACCGCGUUUGGAAAAUGGAGAUUUUAGCAAUAUUCUUUGCUUAUCCUUAAGUCUCUGUCUAAAUGCUUAAUCUGCAAGUCACCCAUUAAAAUAAUGAACAAAACCCAUUUACCAUUGAGAAAAUCAACUUGUUAAAAGGGGUCAACUCUUGAGAGAAUAUCACCGGGUUCCUGAAUGCAUCUCAUCUGUUUGAUGAAAUGCGUGAACCAUCAUAGUGGACUUGGACGUAAAGGGACCACAAAGCUUCAUAGCGGCUGCCAUUUGGGUUCCUAAUGCCGCGGUUCGUCAAAAAAAUUGACUAGUAUCUGUUUUCUUAUCAUCUUAAAUGGAUUAAUUUCACUCCUACUCAUGACAAAAUAUACUCAAUUAUUAUUGGCUUCAAAUUUUAUGACUUUUUAUACACGCAUUUCAUUUAUAAAAUUUAUCUUUUUAGAGAGAAAGCAUUUGUGUUUAAUAAUUUUCUAAAAAUAAUUUUUAAAAAAACAAUAAAUUUUAUAAAUGAUAUAUAUUUAUAGGGGUGUUAAUGGAUAAACUUUGAAACCAAUAGCACACUUAAGAAAAACUAACCCUUUCCUAUUAUUGUUGAGGUAAAUCUAGGUAACACAUUUUUUAAAAUUAUAUUUUAAUUUUACUUUUAUGGUAAAAUGACAUUUUCAAAAUACAAUUAUAGUUUGACUAAUAUUUUAUUCUUGAAAAAAAAAAUGGCAAUGAUACUAAAAAUUAAAAUGAAAAUCACACCGUAUGGAUUAAGGUAUUUUCUAUAUUAAAAAGUGGAGAUUUUAGAAGCACAUCAUAACAUUGUUUUGAUUGAAAUAUUGAAAUCCAAUCCUCAUAUAUAGUAUUUGUGAUCAACUAUUAAGAAAAACUUCAAUUAAUAAAUAUCAAAUGAACUUCAUUGAGGUAUUAAAUGAAGUCGUAAGCUUAUCAUAUAUUAUAUAUGUUGCAUUCUUAGAGAAAUCUAGUCCAAGCCCCAGCAUGCGUCUAAGAUCCCAAGUGUAGUAAAAAAACUAGAUGGGCCUUUUCAAAUUUUAUUUUGAGGGAGGGGGAAUAAGGAGAAUCCAUACCUCAAAAUUUGGAUGUUCCUAAUUUUUAUUUUUCCAAUUUCAGUAGAAUAGCUCCAAAAACCCAAAGAUUUUUCACCUUAUCUCUCUCUUGUAGAGCAUGACAAUAGAGAUGGGUAAAUUUCUCUCUAAAGAGAUGGAAGCUAGCUUUUUUCUUCUCUCUUUCAAAGACAACAGUGAAUUAGGGUGUCUAACCCUAAACCUUAAGAGGGUUCAUAUAGAUCUCAUUGUGGGCUUAAGUGAGUUAAGCCCAUCUUGAGCUCGAGUCAUUAAUUUAGUCUACUAGAUCCUAAUUAAUAAUUUAGCCUUUUUAAGCUUUAAUUAAUUAAAUAAGUCAAUCCAGAAAUACAAUUUAUAAUCUCUUGUGCAACCUUAUAUUUUUAUCAAAACACUUUCAUGCACACAUAUGAUAAAAACCUAAAUAUCCCUUAAAAUAACAUACCACCAAAGAGUGUGGGUUUGAGUGGGAACCAUUAGGAUCCAUAUAAAAAUACAAAUCAUCCAACUUUAUCAAAACUGUUGCUAAGGCCUUAGCCAUGAGUUUAACUUGCAUUUUCGAGAUUUAUCUCCAAGUCUAAGGAAAAAAAAAAGUGCAAGUUGAAUCACUUUAGAUUUUGAAAGAUCAAGAAAGGGUUUAAUUGAGGAAAUGAAUGAGGCAAGACUCAUGUACUAUGAAGAAAGGCAAUCGAACAUGGAUAAUGAGGCAUGAAGCUAUUUCAUCAAGUUGAAUGGAAAUUUGGAACACAAAAUUUGGUGGUAACAUGUACUUUGAAUUUGAGGCAAAAUUUGGAGCACUUUCCGAAGUCCAUUUUAGGAAAACUAUAUAUUGUUUCGAAGCUCUGGAAGUUAAAAAUCUAAUGCUUUAAAUAUUAUGCAAAUUGGAGUUGAAACAAAGAAGUUAUGACUAUUUGAAGAUAAUUGUGCAGAGAUGAAAGACCAUUUCGAAAUGAUUUUGAAAUUCCAACUUAUAAAUUCGAAAUCCAAUUCGAAAUGACCCCAAUUUCAAAUUCACAUACUACCACAUUGAUAUUUUGUCUCCUCUACUUCGGGAAUUGCAUCUUGGGCACUUCAUUUACCCUAAGUGUGCCCCACACAACUAGAAAUCACUAUUUUAUUAUUAUUAUUUUAAUUAUUUUAGGUAAUUAUUUGUAAAAUAAGUGGCCAAUAGGAACAUGCCACGUGUUAAGUUUUUUUGGUGGAAACUAUAAAAACUCGAUAUUUAGGUUUUCUAGGUAGUUCUUGAUUUUUUUGGAGGAGUGGAGAUGGCUUGACGAUUCUUGAGGAGAGAGAAGAAGGCCUUAAAGGAUUUUCUUGGUUUGUUAUCUUUAUUCUUUUUAUUAUUGAACAAAUUAUUGUUUUUAAUUUCUUUGAAAUCAAGAAUGGUUCUUUCUUAUUCUUUUAUGACCUAUGUAUGUGAGGACAUGCUCAUAAGAUGUUAAAAAGCCAACUUGGGGGUUCAAGUAUGAAAACCAAAGGGCUAUAAACUUGCAAGAACAAUGGGUAAAUUAUUAUGAUAAUAAGAUUAAUUAUUGAUCGAGUUACAAUUUAUCAAUUUUUAUCUUAUCUUUAUGAGUUAGUUUAGGGAGUGAUAUGGUAGGUUAUUACCUGAUAUUAGUGAUUCUUGGUACCACUUGAUCAUUAGUUAUCCUGGUCUUUCCUAUCGUUAUUUUCCCUAAAACAAAGUUAUAAGGAGUAGGAAGGGUUAAAAAGCCAAACCUUAAACUAGUAAUCAAUUUCAUUCAUUUGAUGGUUUUAGAAAUCUAUUUUAAAAAGGGAAAAAUUAGGUUUCAGAUGUAAUUUUGAGUUAUAGAACUCAAGUUGAUUGCGAGCGGCCAAGAAUCCUAAAACCCUAAGAUCACUUUACUUAAGAAACUCUUGUUCUCUCUAUUUCUAUACCUUCAGUUUGAUUGUGGAAAGCCUCAAACUUGAAUUAAUUGAAUUAAAAAUCAAUAAUUAUUCUAUAAUUCAAAUAGGUUUAUUUUAGGAAAUUUUCAUUCAUAUUUUAUUCUAAUUUGUUUAAAUUAGAUAUUUCUUACCUUUAGUAAAUAAUUAAUCAUUUGAAUCGAAGAACAAAUAAAUAUAUUAGAGUUGAUCUCAGAGGAUGACAACCCGGAAUACUACAAAACCGUGGUAACUCCAUCUUUGGUUUUUCUUUACCAGAGUUAUCAUGUAUUUAGGCUUUAGUAUUUUAUUUACAACAGAGAUUUACGGUCACUCACUCAUAAUCCAAUUUUGAAAUUAAGUCGACAUCCCACUAUAGAGAGUUAAUUAUGUUGACUUCUCAAAUCUAUGCCAAGAAGUAAUACCAAAUUUUCUCAAAAAUUAAUCUUUAGGGUUAAAAUACUAACCUUAAGUUUUGGAUUUUCCCAAACCUUAAAUUCCAAGUAUUAAGGAAUCGAAUUGAUGUCGUUGGAAGUCUCAUAGACCCACGAUCGUCUACCUGAUGACUCAAUUUCGUUCCUUAACACACAAACAGUGGAUAGUUAGGGAAAGUGGAAGCUAGGGCUCUCUCUUUUCUUUGGAACGUGGAAGACAAAGGUAAUGAAAACCCUAACCUUUAAGGUGCAUUUAAAAGGUUUCUAACUAGGCUUAAGUGAUUUCAACACUUAAUCUAACCCCACAAGGCCAUUUAAUUAAUCAAUUAGCCCAAUAUAAAAAUGUUGUUCACUAAAACAUGUAUUAGAAUAUUGUUUUUAAAAGUAUGACAAAAUGUAACAAAUUUGAAAUUCAUUCUUUAUUUAAUAAUAUUUUAGAUUCACUUUUAUCUAUCUUUAUUUCAUGUAUUAUACUUUAUGAGCAUUAUUGUCUAACAUCUUUUGCAUUGUAUAUGACUUGAGUGCAUUAAGAGUUGCACGAAAGAUCCAAGUCACAAGUUCCUUGUAAGUGAAUGACUUGUUCACAAUUAUGGGAUAGUUCACUACAAUCUUUAAUAGGUUUCAUAAUUGGAGGGAUGAUUGGUCUUAACCAUCGAGAUGAGUUUCCUAUGGCACUACAAGAAAUAGGAUUUUUGGUGAUGGUCACCAACCGUCACCAAAUCUUAUCAAUCCGUGACCAAAACCUAUUGUCACGGUCUUAUGAAACCGUGAUCAAGCGUUACAGUAAGAGGCGUAGGUAAAUGUAUUGGUCACAGUUUCCUAAGUGAUCGUGACCAUAUGAUUUUUUUUUUUUGAUCAAAAGUUAGGAAUACUUUGUUGUUAUUUUAGCUGAUUUAGUCACGGUCAAGUAAUAAAUAGUUACUAAAUGUACACUUAUAGCCCGAGUUAAGUUAGCCACUAUGACUAUAUGUAAGCUUAUGGUCAUGGUCAAGUAAGUUAUCGUGACUAAAUGUCAACUUGAUGGAUUAAAUGUAAACUUAUGGUCAUGGCUAUGUGAGUGAUCGGGACUAUAUGUAAUUUUAGGGUCACGAUCAAUUCCUUAAUCAUGACUAAAUGUAGGUUUGUAGUCACGGUUAAUUAAGUGGCUAUGACUAAAUGUAAUCUUAUGGUCACAGUCGAUUCCCUAAUCGUGACUAAAAGUAGGUCUAUGGUCAUAGUUAUUUAAGUGACCGUAACUAAAUGUAAUCUUAUGGUCACGGUUAAUUCCUUAACCAUGACUAAAUAUGGGUCUAUGGUCACAGUUAAUUAAGUGACCGUGACUAAAUGUUAGGUCUAUGGUUGUGGUUAAUUAAGUGAUUGUGACUAAAUGCGGGGCUAUGGUCAUAGCUAAUUUAGUGACUAUGACAAAAUGUACACUUAUGGUCAUGACUAUUAAUGACCGUGACUAAAAUUAAUCAUAUGAUGUUCUCCCUGUCACUAAAUUUUGGUCAUGGUUCAUUACUGAUUGUGACUAAAAGUAACUUAUGGUCACAAUUUUUUAAUGGUCAUGCCUAAAAUUUGUUAUAUUUACACAUCAGUCUUUUAUAAAUUCAGAUUUUCCAAACCUAUUGUAAACCUAUACAAACUCAUUUUAGACCUGUAUAUGCAAUUAAGCAAUUAAGCAAUUAAAACAAUUUUAAAAUUCAAAAUUUCAAUGUAGUACAAUAUACUGCAAUCAAUUAUCCCAAGCUAGUUAAAAACUUAUAUAUAAUAUAGGUCAUUAAAUAACAAAAACAUAAUAUAUAUAAAAAAAAAACAACAAAAGAGAUUCAAAUUCAGUUUCACAUUCUAACAUAAUAUAACAAAUCAACCAACCAAACAUCACAUAAUAGUCAUAGAAAACAAAAAAAGUUAGGAUAAUCCAUCAUAUAAAUAAGCAGCAUAAUCUUCAAAAAAGUUAAGAGAAUCUAUCAUAUAAAGAUGCAGCAUAAUCUUCAAAUUUCUACUGCCUUUGUUGAAAUUGUUGCAUUAUUUGCAUCAUCUGUUCUUGAAUUUGUGCUUGCAUUUUUCUUUGCAUUUCCAUUAUUUUUUCUUCAAACUCUUCUUUCACUUCUUCUCGUGUCUUCCUUUGAACUUCUAUCAACCUUUCUUCAAAUGUUUCUUUUACAUGUGAGAGUUCUUGUUUCACAUUUGAGAGUUCUUCAGUUGCAGUUGUAAACUUUUGUUCUAUAGCUAUUAGCAUCUCUUGGGCAUUUUCAAGUUGUGUUGAAAGACUAGCUCUUGAUCGCCUUCUACUAGUAGAACCAAAUAUUGAGGUAGGAGUAGGACCAAAUCCAUAUCCUCGAACAUGACCAUGCCUCUCUGGACCCAUGACUUGAGUAUAUAUCUCAUCUACAGAUGUAGAUGCUAUAGAUGUAGAUGCUACAAAUGUAGAUGCUCUAAAUGAUGUAGAAGUAGAAGAAGAUGUCCUAUCAGGUUGAGAUAGUAAUUGUUAAAAUUGAUCUUGAAAUUAUAAAAAACAAAAAUAAUUGUUAGACUUUUAAAAUAAUUUAAGUAUGUGGUUAUAAUUGAAAUACAAGUAUAUAAAAUUUAUUUACUUCAUUACCAUAAUCUCAAAAUGAUCAUCAACAGGCGUCCCAUUUUUUGUGUGUCAAAGCAAACAUUUCAAUUCUAUUAGGCUUACUUCGAUCUUCUUUCUUUUGUGCCUAUUCUUACAAGUAAACAAUUGAAUUAUUUAUGUACAAACAAAUCAUAUUAAUAAUAAAUUUCCAACCUAUUCAUAUCGCAUUUGAGCAUAACUUUUUGAUCCCGAUGUAUGCAUUAUUAGUUGCUUUGCCUUAUUUGCCUUGUUUUUUAUUUUUUAUUUUUUAUUUCUGAGGAUAUCUACAUCAAUUAAAAAAUAGUAUGUCACCUAUAUAGGUAAUAGAAACAUAAUAAAAGUUAUAUACAUGGAGUAUUAUGUUAGAUAUAACUAAUAAAUAUCAUUUUAUGUGAAUAUGAGUAUCAUAAGAUACACUAUCAAGAAAAGAUCAUUAAAUUUAACUUGGCCUCAAGUGUACCCCAAAAGUGGAUGAGUCACUUCCAAUCAUCAUCCUAUAAGUGUGGAGGUCGAUGGCGUAAUCUCUCAUCAUCUAUAUUAUAAGGGCUAUCAUACUUGGCUUUCAUUUUAUUUCUAUAGCUUCUAAACAAAUUUCCACAACAUUGGAGGACUCUUACAUGUUUCUUCUAGUUCAUAUUUUUCCUAUAUUACAUUAAAAUGUCAUGUAUAAAUAAGAGGUAUCAUUUUUAAACUUACAAUUUAGAUUGAAUAGUAACUAGCAUAUAACAAUAUUAAGGCCCAAAUCUUUUCCUUCACAUCUUCACUAACAUGAUUCCAAUCUUGAACUUCGAUGGGUACAUUGUGUUGAGAUCGCAUCAAUGUCCCCAUAUAGCUUGACAAUAUUUCUCAUCUUCCAUCAUAAACAACUUGUCAUCUGGUAUUGAAUUGUGUAGUUUUUUUUUUCCCUUGGUUUCAUGCUAAGUAAAUCUAAGUUGCGUGUUGGGCCACAUGUCCUCUUUUUGCUAGAGGAUGAACCUAUUAAAAGUAAUAUGAUAUUAAAAGAAACAUAAUUUAUUUAUCUUAUAUAAAAUUAAACAUUACAAACCUAUCAUUCAAGAAAUUAAACAUGUAAAUACAUUUAUCAUAUGUAAAGUUAAACAUAAUCUUCUUAAUCAUACCAACAAUAGAAAGAUCUAAAAAAUUAGAAGGACUAUAACUACUAGGAGUAGUAGUUGCAGUAGGCUAUAUGUCUGAGAGUUGUUGUAGAUUGUCCAACUCAUUUUCUAAAGACACUAUUUGUACUCUUCCUAUUCGAUGUGUCAUUUUCUACAUAAUAAAGUAAAUUCGAAAAUGUAAUAUAAAAUAAGUUACAUAAAUAAUAUGAAAUAAAUUACAAUUUGUAUAUCAAAUAAUAUAUAUUUAUGUGCUUAUCAAUAUUAUUAGCUACACAUCAUCUAUAUCAUCAUCAUGAAUAAAUUCAUUAUCUCUUUCAACAAUGUUUUUUUGUUGUGAUAUUAGAAUAACCGUUUGGAUUGUUUCUCCUAUAAUAUCAUUUCUAUUUCAAUUGAUUAAAUCAUUUUCGACCAACUCAUGCACAUCACGUUGACUAUGAAGUAUUAUAGGCUAUUGAUAUAACUUUGGAUCAUUAGUAGAUACUUUCUGAUUCAUAUCAUAAACCCCUCGAGUUUGUAUCUCAACAACGAUGUGCCAACUUUCCUCAUUUGAAUUUUGAACAUAGAAGACUUGUUUUGCUUGAGAUGCAAGCACAAAUGGUUCAUCUGUGCAUAUGGUACGUUCAAAAUUAAAACAUGUGAACCCAUAUUCAUCAUUAUUUAUCUCUUUUCCAAUAUUGAUUACAUCCCACCAGUCACACUUGAAUAAAAUAACUAUAUUUCCACUAAGGUAAUGUAACUCAAUUGCAUCAGUUAGCACACCAUGGUAAGAAACAUGACCAGAAAUUGGGUUCAUAUCUCUUGCACUUGCAAAGCCUGAUACAUUUGUGGUCACAACAACUCCACUAUUUUGAGUUUUUUUUUUCUCCUUUUCUCAUUCUCUUGUGUGAAAUAUGAACCCAUUAAUGAUGUAUCCUCUAUAGCAUGUAACUAAUGUACUUAGUUCACGAGACAAUGAUAGCAUGUGUUUAGAAAUUGGAUCUUCAUGCCGCAUUUGUAUAAUCUAUAAAUUCAAAUAUAAGAUGUUAAUACAUACAUGUUUAUUAGAUAAUAAAAAAAUUUAUGUAGUGAAUGUACUUACAUGUUCUUCAAACUAAUUAAUGAAUUCUCUUGUGUGAAUCAAAUCUAAAUCUCGUGCACGAAUACGAGGCUUAGCCCUCAUGGAUUGCUUAUGCUCUCUGGAAAAAAAAAAAAUUAUAAUGCUCAUAAAGACCAAAAUUAAAUUUUUGCAUGAGAAUUAGUAUAAAUUUUUAUUCAAAUAAGUGUCUUACUCAAUAAAUGAUGUCACUUCCUCACAAUUAGUCAACACAUAAAUGUGCUUGGGACCAUUCUUCUGUGCUAAGAACACGAGAUGUUGACUUUCCUAUUGUAGGUCUCAUGCAUUUGAAAAUGGUUAACUCUCCAUUUGUUAUGUUAUUUUCAAUGACAUUAUUUCUUUCUUUACGAUCAUGCUUUGUUUCAACAUCAUACAAAUAUCUUAAAUGAAAGGAUGUACAUUCUUCUGCUAUGUACCCCUCUGUGAUAGAACCUUCUGGACGACUCUUAUUACGUACAUAAGACUUUAAUGUGCGUAAAUACCUGUCAUUCCACAACAUGAUAGAUUUGUUUCAUGAACUAUAUAAAACCUAAUAUACAUAAGAUUAGUUGAAUGAGAACAUAUCGCUCGAUAGGAUACAUCUAUUUAUAUUGCACUAGUCCAACGACCUUUACCUCACUUGCAAGAUGAAUAGGUAAAUGCACCAUAACAUCAAAGAAUGAUGGAGGAAGUAUUCUUUCUAAUUUGCAAAGUGUGACUAUUAUGUCAUUCUCAAAGUGCUUUAAUUGAUUAGUCUUUAGCACUUAAGAACACAAUAGUUUGAAGAAACCACAAGUUCAACUAUAACAACACAAACAUUCUUAUGUAAAACUACUCAAAUUGCAAGUGGAAGGAAUUGUUGCAUGAAAACAUGACAAUCAUGAGACUUCAAUCCAAAUAUCUUUCUUUCAUUCACUUGUACACAUCGAGAGAUGUUAAAAUCAUAACCAUCUGGACCCUUCACUUCUUUAAAAAAUUUACAUAAUUCAUUUUUCUCAUUUGAAGUUAGUGAAUAACAUGCAACAAAUGAUAUAACCUUAUUCCUUAUUUGUAUGGGGUGAAGUUGAUCUCUAAUACCCAUAGCUAGCAAGUCAAGACAACUAUUGAAGUUAUUAUUCGAUUUACCAUUGAUACUCAACAAGGUGCCAACUAUAUUGUCACAUAUAUUCUUUUCAAUAUGCAUUACAUCCAAAUUGUGACGCAAAAUGAAGGUUUUUCCAAUAUGGAAAUUGGAAAAUAUAUAUAUAUAUAUAUAUAUUCCAGUUGUGCUCAAGUUUAGCAUGUUAUCUUUUUCUUUUAGCUGACAUCUUAUUUUUUGAUGUCUUUCCUAAAGUAAUAUGUUUCAUUCCAUCUAAUUGAUGUAGAACAUAUUAUCUAGACAAUUGUUUAGGUGCUACUCUAUGCUCCUCAUUUCCAUCAAAGGACUUUUUAUCACGUUGAAAUCUAUGAUCAAUCGGCAAAAAUUGACGAUGACCCAUGUAACACCAUUUUCGUCUGUUUUGUAAUCGAUAUGAAGAACAAUCCUUAUUACAAACAGGACAAGCAAAUUUCCUUUUAGUGCUCCAACUUGGAAGAUUUGCAUAUGCAGGAAAAUCAUUAAUGGUCCAUAAUAAAGCUGCAUGCAUACAAAAAUUUUGUUUUGUUGAAGCAUCAUAUGUUUCAACUCUAACCUCCUAUAAGUCAUUCAACUCAUCUAUCAAUGAUAAGUAUAUGUCAAUCUCAUUCCUAAGUGUAGUUGGAGUAAGAAUAAAUAGUGACAACAUGAAGAAUGUCUAUUUUAUACACAUAUAAGAUAGUAAGUUAUAUGGAAUAAGAACCACAAGCCACAUGCUGUAUAAAAUUGACAUAUUCCCAAAAGGAUUGAACCCACUUGCUAAACUAAGCCUAACAUUUCGAGGUUCUAGUGAAAAUGAAGGGUGUACGUUAUCGAAGUUUUUCCAAUCCAAAGAGUCCUCUGGAUGCCUCAUCAUCUCACCUUCCAUGCAACUAUCAACAUGCCAUUUCAUGUGAGAAGCUGUCUUAAAUGACAUAUAUGACAUUUGAAGCCUUAGUUUUAAGGGAAAAUAAAGCAAGACCUUAGCAAGAAUUUUCUUUUUCUUUGAUGACUUAGUGAACUCAUCUGUAGAACGAUCAUCACUUGAUUUUCAUUUAGAGACACCACAAACAACACACGUAUUUGCAUUUGCAUGCUCUUUUGAAUACAACAUGCAAUCUAAGGGGCAUGCAUCAAUCUUAAUAUAAUGAAGGCCAAGGUCACGAAGUAUAUUUUUUUGCUUCAUAAUAGUUUCUUGGCAAUGUCUUACCUUCAGGAAGUGUUUGCUUCAACAAUUCAAGCAACAUUAUAAAUGACUUAUUGCUCUAUCAAUUAAGACACUUCAUAUGAAAUAAUCUUAUAAUAAAAUUAAGACAACUUUGAGAAUUUCUUACACCUUGGAUAUAGUUGGUGCUCUGCUUCCCUUAACAAAUUAUAAAAAAAAAUUUGCAUCCUCAUUUGGUUUUUCAAACUCCUCAUGUACAUGUGGGCUUCUUUUAGAUUCCUCAUUUGGCAUUGACAUUCCAAAUGCAUCAUUUAACAUUUCUUGCAUCUCAUCAUGCAUAUCAGGCUCAUUAGUGCUAGUAUUUGUAGGUUCACCAAAACUCAUAUUCCCCAUGCAUCAAACAUCACACAUAAUUUCUAGCUAUCCAAUUGUCUAACAAAUGGUCAUACAUGAUUUCUUACUUCAGCAUAAGACAAUUAUUGCAACGAAUACAAGGACAUGAGAACAUUUCUUUUCCUAGUGCAUUGCUAAAGGCAAAGUCUAAGAACUCCAAAACUCUUUUAUGAUAUUCACUACUUACUCUUGACUUCUGCAUCCAACUUUUAUCUAUUGACAUUUUUCUUGUACUUCCACAAAUUAAACCCUUCAAUCACAUAAUAAUGAAUCUUCAUAUCAACUUAUAAUGAAUGUGAUAUACAUUUUAUCAUCUCAAAUUCCUAUAUUUGUUAGUGGUUUUUAUCCCAUUUAGAAAUACAUAAUCCCUACGAAUCAAUCACUAACAUGCUUAGUUUCAUUUUGAUAAAAUUUCGGUAGCAUUUUCCCAUGGUUCUCCAAGUACACAAAUUGGUUAAGGUAUAAACAUACUAUUAGUUAGUUUAACUAAGCUGCUAACAAUAUGUCACCUUAUCCAAAUAUGCACCCAGAGAACAAGGGGAAUUACUGUCAAAACUUAUCAAUAUGUUAAAGCAUAAACAUGUGAUUUCAUAGAUAUUAUGUAUUUCUAAAUUGUCUAAACAAACAAUUUAAGCACCAUUUGCAAACAAUUCUACCAAUCAUAUACAAAACAAAUAGGUUGAAAACUUGAAUAUGACCACAAUAAAUAAUCAUAUCCACACUUCUAUAACUUAUAUGUUUUUAGUAUAUGAUAAAAGAGACAUUUGUCAAGCAAGGAUACUUGAAUGGGAUUUCUAGGGUUUCCUAAAAUGAAAAUGAGUAAAUUAUAAAAUUAAUGACAAAUAAUAUUAGGAAAGAAAUAGAUAAAAACACACAAUGAGACUAACAUAUUCGAAAAUUUAUAGAAACGAAUUAUUAACAUUUCUAUUGUAUAAAAUCAACGAGGGUUAGUUCAUAGAUAACGAUAAUAAAAUAUAAAAUCAUAGAUAAGGCCUCACAAUAGAUACAACAUAUGUAUAUCUUAGAUCAUGAAGUAGCAAAAGGGUGAGGUAUGAAUAAGAUGAAACAAAAUACAAUAAACAUGCUUAAAAAUUCAUAAUUGGCUAACAAGUAUGCACUCAUAAAAAUUAGUCUAAAUAAAAUACCAAAUGAGAAAUUUUAAUCUUGAGUGUGAACAAAAUUUAAAUUUCGACUUAAAAUCCUAACUCUUUAUUACACCCUAAGUAGUUUUAGGAAUCAAGAUUAUAUUUUGGUAUUAUUAUUAUUAUUUUCAAUAAUUUUUAUUUAAAAUUGAAUUGUGAAAAGUGUACAAAGUUAUAAGUAUUUUCAAAUUUGUCAAUAUGCACAAACUUGUAAGUAUUUGGAAAUUUCAUAUUUUUUUUAAUUUGGGUACAAAAUUUUUUUUUUUCUAAAUCUUAAAAUAUUUCCUAUUCUUUUUUUGGAAUAGGUUUGAUAUUGUUUUUUUUAAAAUAAAAAAUAGUUUUUGUUGAGAAGUUGUUUUUGAAGUAGGAUAUUAUUUGAGAGAGCAUAUUUAAUUAAAAGUAUUAUAUAAGUUUACUAUCUUUAAACUUUAAAAACUAAUUACAUUAUUUUAAAUAAAAAGAAAAAAGACAACUUAUAAAAUAACUCAUAAAAAGAAAUAUAUAAAUUUGAGAAUAGAUUUUACUUGUAUUACUUUUAAAAUUUUUAUUUUCUAUUUUUUAACUUUUGACAAUAAUAAAAAAUGUAAAUAUUUCACUAAAGUCAACCAUCAUAUGCUAAUAAAAUAAAAUAAAAAAUUAAUCUUGAAGGUGUUAUUUAAAUAAGCUUAUUCUUUUUUUUUAAAAAAAAUAAUAAUUUUAACAUAAAAUAUAAACUUUGAAAGACUUAUCUUAAAAAAUUAAGGUAGCAAAUCAUUUUUACUAAUUUUUUAAAAUAAAUUCACAGUUUUAUAAAAAAAAAUCUUACAUUUAAUAUAUAAUUUAUUAUUGUUUGUUUAUAAUAAACAUAGAAAAUAUAUGUAAAUUAUGAUCCCAGUAAUGUGAAUGUGUGGUGUGUACUCCUAUACAUAUUAUGAUUCCAAAUCACAUUCCAAUUAAAAAAACAAAACAAAAUAAUAAAUCAAUUUAUGUAUUAUUUUUCCUAUAAAAAUAAUACUUAAUUAUGGAAAAUAAUACUUAUUUUCCCCAUAUAUCAUUAUAAAAAUUCUUUGGCAGCCUGAUGUUCGCUUCAAAUUGAAAUUGUUUAUCCUCAAUUAUGGAAAAUAAAAAAAUAAAGGAAAAUGAUGUUGAGUCAAAUGUCAAUUAAGACAUGUUUCAUAUUAUUUUUAAUUUCUCAAGUGGUUGCUAAAAAGUUGCAAGAAAAUAACAUAAUGGGUUUUCAAAGAUUGUAGAUUUUUACUCAUUUUCCUAUUUUUUUUCUAGGCAACCAAACAGUGGAAGAUAUAAGGUUAAAUGAGAAUAAAAUCAAAAUGGUGAGGGAAGUUAUUGUCAAAACAUUUCCAUUUGAGAUAAACUCAUAAUCAUUUCCACAAACACUCACAACAUAUUUCAUUUUCAAUUUUUCCAAAAGCACCAACUAAGAAAUAAACCCAAUAAUAAUGAAAUCUCAAACCUAAUCACAAACAUUUCCAAAAUACCAACUAACAAAACCCCAAAAAAAAAAAAAAAAAAAAUCCCAAAACUCAACAAAACCUAGAGAGAAACGAUUUUUAAGGGAGUUUUUUGGAGGUGGCUUUGGCUUUAUUGACCAUAACUUCCAUGGGGCUUUUUCGGCAUGGCUUCCAUAAGCUUUUUUCGGCAAUGGCUUCCUCCAAGAAAUGGUGGCUAUGGGUAGGUUUUGUGAGAGAGAAAUGGUGCCCCGUUUUUGUUUGGCCGUGGGUUUUGGGGAGGGAGAGAGAGUGAGUUUUGUUUUGUUUGGUUGUGUGGGUACAACUAUUAAUGAGUUAUGUAUGGAAAGUAAUCAAGUGUAAAACAUUUUGAAAGUAUAAAUAGUAUAAAGACUUUAUAGAUGCAAUGAGAAUUUGUUUUACAUUUAUGUAGUGUAUUUUAAAUAUUUAUGGUUAAAGUGUUUGACUAAAAUAUAACAAGAACUAUUAAUUUUGAAAGUUCAAAAAUUUUAUAUUGGAAGUUAUUUUAAAAUUUUUAUUAAGUUUUAUCAAGUUUUUGAAGUUUUAAAAUUAUCAAGUUUAAAAUUUAAAAAUUUUAUAUUAAAAAUUUAUCAAGUUUUAUAUUUCAAAUUUUUUAUUUUAAAUUUUUUAUCAAGUUUUAAAAUUUAAAAUUUUAUAAUUAUAUAUGAGAAAUUUAUCAAGUUUUAUAUUUUAAAAUUGCUAUUUUCAAAGUGUUAUUCUAAAAUUUUUUAUUAAGUUUUAUCAAGCUUAUCAAGUUUUAAAAUUUUAAAAUUUAUAUUAGAAAUUUAUUAAGUUCUAUAUUUUAUAAUUUUAAUAGUUAACUAAAACAUUAUUCUUGUUACAUGUUUAGUAAAAUUAAGUUUACUAAAAAAAGAAGUAACCACAUUGAGAGAUAAAUUUGAAUUGAAUACUAUAAAUUGAUAGAUAAUAUUAAUGAUUAUAAAAUUUUCUUAUAAUAACUGGUCUUAUUAUCAUCCUAAUUAAAAAAAACAUAUCAAUUGGAUAUUAAAUUCUUAAUGUCUUUAUAUAAAACCUAUUACUAACAAUUAUACAAUAAGAAAAAUAGGUACUUUAUAUAAAACCUAAUAUCAUUAAACUCUUAUUAAUAAACCUAUUAUGACGAUUAUUUUGAUCUUAAUUGUUAAUAGUAAAAUUUAGUUAUCACUUUUGUUAUUACUUUAAAUAUAAUAAGAAUUAUUUAUCAUAUAUAAUCAUUUUUUUUAAUUUGCUAACUCACUUGUAUUUAAACUUUUUAUCAAAUAAUAUCAAAUUGAACCAUCAUAUUUUUAAACUAAUAUAUUAAAAUUUAUUUUACUUCUUAUUAAAACAUUAAUCAUAACAAGGAAAUUAAAUAAUUUUAAAUAAAGAAAAAAAAAGGUAACAAACCAAUUUGUUUCUUAACUUAAAAAAAUAUAAUAAAUUAACUUUGAACUUUUUAUAAUCAAUAUGAACUAUUAUUAUUACUAUUAAUGAUAUAUGAGAUUUUCUAAGAAAUUAUAAUAGGUAACCCAAAAUUUAUUUAAAAUAAAUAAUAGACUUUGGUCAUGAUUGUGUGAACCCUAUGACCAUAGGUUCAAAAUAUUUAAAAUAAAUAUUUGUGCAUUUGGUCAUGGUCAAAUGUGAAAUUUGUGACUAUAGGUUCCCAUACAAUCAUGGUCAAUUAUAUAUAUAUAUAGUAACGGUUUCACAAAAAACUAUGACUAAAACAUAAUUUCGUUACACUUUUUGUCACAAAUGAUAAAAUUACUAUGACUAAAAUUAUUGACGCCAAAAUUUCCUUCCAUAAAAUUUACAGAUAGUCACGGUUUCAAAUAAAUCCAUGACUAAAAUAUCCUCUCAUCAAUCCUUUUGGUGACGAUUAAUAAAAUCAUUGUGACUAAACAUGUUUUUUUUUUACCCUAUAUUGAUAAACACAUAUAGUCACAAUUUUACCCUAACUGUGACAAAAGAAUAUCUUUGGUCACAAUAUUUUGUGGUCGUGACUAAAGAUUUGUCAUUAAAAAUAUUUUUAUUUUUAUUUUUUUUAUAGUGUGGUGAGUGUACUAGAGUGUAUAUUUUACAUUGGAUAUGACCUACGAUAAGGUUAUCAAGUAGUCAUGACUUCACCAAAAUACUUCAUUGUGUUGUCUCUUAACCUCGAGAGAAUACUAAGUUUGUGCCCAAGUUAGAAGUGACUUUGACAUAUGGGUGAGGGCUUAAAGUGACCAUAUAUUUCAUAUGGAUUAGGUUAUUAUUGAUGGAAGUUAGUAGCAAUAAGUGUUAUCAAUAGAGGUACCAUGAUAUUUUAUGGGAUUGAGACAAAGUGUCUUCUUGGGUGAUCCUCAAGAGGUGUGUUUAUGUAAACUAUGGUCAUAGUAGUUCUUUAAGUGGAACUUGACAUAAGCUCUUUGUGAGCUAAAAUAUGUAAGUUGAUCACACAAUAAGAGGAUCUAUAAUGCGAAUAUAGUAAAGGUAAUCUUGAAAGGUUGAUAGCAUUCUACUUGUUAGACAAUGAACACCAAUUCAUAGAGAGACUAAACGAAAUGGAUAAAAUGUCAUAGACCCCAACACUUUGUAUCUCGUAAUCAUUUAUAUAGGGUAUGCAAUUGAUUCUUUGUAGUGGGAUGUUGAAUUGACUUCAAAAUUAGAUUUUGAAGGUGCCAAUACUAUCCUAUGGGUCCCAAGGUCCCUACUCAAACUCAUAUAUCUUGUUGGCACAGUUUAUGAGGAUUGGAUUGACUCUUGAUUCACUUAUGUGCAUAAGGUUAUUUUGGUAAUUAUGUAAGGUUGCACAUGAGUUAGUGAACAACAUCUUUGGAUUGGAUUAAUUGAUUGAUUAAUUAAAUGGUCCUUGUGGGGUUAAUUAAUUAAUUAGGAUCCAAUUUGAAUUAGAUUAAGUGACCUAAACUCAUGUGGGCUUAAGUCACUUAAGUCACUUAAGCCCCUUUAGGAUCUGUAUAAAUACUUCCUUAAGGGUUAGGGUUUCCAUGACUUUUUAUUUGCACCAUCCAGAGAAAAGAGAGAGUCUUACCCUCCAUCCUCCCAAAUUACCCAUCAUUUGUGUGCUAAGAAAUGAGGUCGAGUCAUUAAACAGAAGAUUUGUUACAAGACUUUCGAGGAUAUUGAUUUGAUUCUUCAACAUUUGAAAUUUAAGGUUUGGGAACAUCUAAACCUUAAAAAUCAAUUUUUUAGAAUGAUUGAUAUUGCUUCCAUUACAUGGAUCUAAGAUGCUAACAAUUGGUAUAAGAGAACCAUGUUAUAAGCAUGUGUAAAUCUUUGUUUAGGGUGUACUAACAUAUUUUUUGUAGUCUUAGUAUCAUCCCAUGACCAAAUGACGCCUGCAUGCUAUUUUUUUAUAUUUGCAAGUGAUGAUUGAAUGAGGCUAAUUAUUUUCUUUAUUUGUUUUUUGAUAGAUCUGGUUGUAAGAUCCAUUAAAGGAGGAACAUAGGUUUUCAGGUUUUCUUGUAAAAUUUUGAUCAUUUCCAUAGAUUGAGAAUUAAGCUUCAUUAUAGAAGAAUAUGAUUUAAUUUUAUAAUGUAAAGUUAAGUUUUUCUAUCAUCUAUGGAGGACUACAAGAGAAGAAUUCUUCAAUAAUGUCAAUAAAGAUUUCAUCUUUAUUAGAGCAUCAUCUAUGAAUCAUUCAAGAAUUUAAUGGCUACAGAAAAUGAUGAAUCUUUCAUUUGAAUAAAAAAAAGGAAAAGAAGGAUUCUUGAAUUUUGUUUAUUUUUUUAGAUCCAUGGCAACAUAGUAAUGUGGACUUUGACUCAAAAUAAGGGCAGCCUCCUAUGAGUUCCUUGGGUCAAGCUACAUAUGUUUUGAAACUUAAGAAAUUAAGAAUUCAAUGCUUCAAAUGGUUUACAAAUCAGAGUUGAAACAAGGGAGAUAUGACCAUUUGAAGCAAGGUUGCGUAAAGAGCAUGUUGUUUUAGGAUUGAGUUCGAGCCAAAUUCCUUUUGGUUGUUUUGGCUCAGUUUUGGGCCUCUUGUUGGACUCAAUUUGCAGCAGAAAUCUGGUACCUCACAAACUGAACAUGGAUCCACAAAGUUGCUACUUUUUGAUAGAAAAAGUUUCUAAUUUUUUAGUUGAGAAAGUUGUAUUUUUUAUAACAAAAGUUCCUAAAUUUUUUGCUAAGAAAGUUUCUAUUUUAUAACAUGAACUCUUUUUUAUUAUUCCCUUUUUUUUAUGCAUAUUGAUUAUAUUGCAUGUGAUGAGAAAUAUUUUCAAAGUUGGUAAUUUUGGAUUUUCUUGUGAAAAAUAAAUUUUCAUGAGAAGGUUAUGAUUGCAAAUCUCUGUUAUAAAUAAAAUAUUAAAGCCUAAGUACAUAAUAAUUCUGGCAAAGAAAAACCAAAGAUAGAGUUACCACGACUUUGUAGUAUUCUAGGUUGUUGUCCUCUAAGAUCAACUUUAAUAUGUUUAUUUGUUUUUAAAUUCAAAGGAUUAAUUAUUUUCUAAAUGUAAAAAUACCUAAUUCAAAUAGAUUAGAAUAAAAUAUAGAUAAAAUUUUUCUAAAUAAACCUAUUUAAAUUAUAGAAUAAUUUUUUAUUUUUAAUUCAAUUAAUCAAGAUUGGGAGUCCAUAAUCCAACUUCAAGUAUAAACCUUUAGGCGAAACAAGAGUAUGAUUUAAUAGUCUUAGGGUAAUCAAAACGCAUGGUUUAACAAGGUCAACCUGAGUUCCACACUUCAGAGUUGAUUUGUAUCCUAACUUUUAAUAUUUUAUUCCAUUGAAUUACCAAAUAGAUGAAUGGACAUGAAAUCUAGGUUUAGGUCUAAGAUCUUUAGGCUUUUACCACUCUAUGUAGAUUUGCCUUAAGGUAGAUAAUAAUGAAAAAACCUUUUAUAACUCGCGAUCAAGAAUUACCAAGAAUCCCUAGUAUAAAAGAAUAUGCGAUUGUACCAUUUCAAAUACGACUUUUAGCUUCUUAUGGUCAUGUCCUCACAUACAUAGACCAUAAAAGAAUAAGAAAGAACUAUUCUUGAUUUCAAAGGAAUUAAAAAUAAUAAUUUAUUCAAUAAUAAAAAAAAAGAAAGAAAGCAAACGAAGAAAAACCUUUAAGGUCUUCUUUUCCUCCCCCACCCCCCCAAGAAUCGUUGAGCCAUCUCUCUUCCUACCAAAAAAAAAAAAAAAAAAUCAAGAACUCCCUAGAAAGCCUAAAAAUUGAGUUUUUAUGGUUUCCAUAAAAGAACUUAACAUGUGGCAUGUUCCUAUUGGUAACUUAUCUUACAAAUAAUUACCUAAAAUGACUAAAAUAAUAAUAAAAGGAUGAUUUCUAGUUGUGUGGGACCCAUUAGGGUGGAUGGAGUACCCAAGAUGUGAUUCUUGAGGUGGAGGCAAAACAUCAAAGUGGUAGUGCAUGAAUUCGAAAUUGGGGUCAUUUCAAAAUGGAUUUCGAAUUUAUAAGUUGAAUUUUGAAAUGGUCAUUCAGCUCUACACAAUUGUUUUCAAAUGACCAUAACUUUUUUCAUUUCAGCUCUGAUUUGCAUACCGUUUGAAGCAUUAGACUCCUAACUUCCCAAGCUAUAAACCAAUAUGAGCAUGCCUAAAAAUGACAUCGUAAAGCACUCCAAAUUUCACCUCAAAGUCAAAAUAUAUGUUGUGCCCAGAUUUUGAGUUCCAAAUUUCCAUGUGAACUUGAUUGCAUUUGCCUCAAACCUCAUCCAUUAUGGUUGCUUGCCCUCUAUCUCAUUCCAUAACAUUCAUUGCUAGUAUUUCAUACCUAUGAGUUGCUCAUCAUGUCCUUGCUUAGACUCCCCAUGGUUCAUAAGUCUGAGUCUCUUAGUUAUGCAUGUUUAACCCCUUCUACAUCCUUGGUUGAUAAUGACUUUUUGCACUUAUCAUUUUUUUCAUCUCUUAAACCUGGGAUUAGGCUCGAAAUAGAAGUUAUAUCCAUAACUAAGGUUUUAACAUCAAUUUGAGUUAAAGUUGGAUGAUUUGAGUUUUUUAUAUUGUAUAAAUUAUAUAAUAAUGUAAUAUUGGAACACUUAUUUUGACUCCAAUUAGGUUAUUUUCAAAUUAAUUUUUUAUUCAAAAUUGGAAUGGUGCUUCAAUUAAAGAAUUUUUUUUAUAUAGAAAGAUUUUCUUUAAUUGUAAGAGAAUCUAGUUUCCUUUUCUAAAAAAAUCCUUAGAAAAAUCAUUUUUUCAAACUUUUUUCUUGCAAUUUUUAGAAAAGGAAACUAAAUUAUUUCACAAUAAAAAAAAUCUUUUUAUAUAAAAAAUAAAUUCUUUAAUAAUAACACCAUUCCAAUUUUGAAUAAAACUUUAAUUUGGAAAUAACUUUCUUAUGAAAAUUUAUUUUUCAUAAGAAAAUCCAAAAUUACCAACUUAAAAAAUAUUUCUUAUCACAUAUACAAUAUAAUCAAUAUGCAUAAUAAGGAAAUAAUCAAAACUAGUUCGCAUGACCAAGGGAUAUUUUUACAUAAGCAAAUUUCCAAUUAUGCAUAAGAGUCAUUGGUCUUCAACUUGUCAUAACUGGACACUAACUUUUGGCAUCAAAACUUGUCAAAAUAAUGCCCUUAUACAACGAUUGUCUAUUGUGCAUGUAAAAUAAAAACUUUCUAAACCAGAAAAUUUAGGAACUUUUGCUACCAAAAAUAGAAACUUUCUCAACUAAAAAAUUAGUAACUUUUGCUACCGAAAAAUAGUAUUAAUCUUUAGAUAAAAAUACUAACCUUUAGGUUUGGAUGAUCCUAAACCUUAAAUUCCAAGUGUUAAAGAAUCAAAUCGAUGUCCUCAGAAGUCUCGUAAACCCACGACUUUCUAUCUAAUAACUCAAUCUCAUUCCUUAGCACACAAACAAUGGGUAGUAUUUGGGAGGGUGAAGGCUAGGACUCUCUUUUCUCUUUGGAUGGUGGAAAACAAAAGUGAUGGAAACCCUAACCCCUAUGAAAUAUUUAUAAGGUUCUAAAUUGAGCUUAAGUGACUUGAGCCUACAUGGGCUUAGGUCAUUUAAUCUAUCCCAAAUUAGGUUCUAAUUAAUUAAUUAACCACCAUAAGACCAUUUAAUUAAUCAAUUACAUAUUUUCUUUUUUUUUUUUCCCCUAAAAUAAUAAUAUACAACUAUUAUUUUUUUGUUCAAAAAUUAUAAUCUUGAAUAAUUAUAUUAUAUACAUUCAAAUAAACUAAAUAAUAUUUUAGUUUUAUUUCUUCCUUUAUUUAUAUUUAUAUUUUUUGAUUUUCAAUAUUUUGCAAUAUUUUUUUCAACAAUUUAAGGCUAGUAUUAAUUUUAAAAAAUAUAUAAGAUAAAUUCAUAAUCUUGGAUAAUGUUAUUGUAGACCCCAAAAUUUAUCCGUAGAUUUUGAGCCUAAUUUUAUUUUUAGAUUUCAAAUCCGUUUAAAUUUGAAUUUUUUUGGCUUACUCACCCCUUUUCUAUUAUUUUGUUUUAUUUUUAUUUUUUAUAUUAUUUUAUUUAUUUAUUUAUUAUUAUUAUUUUCUUCUUUUUUCUCUCUCAUCCCUUUUCGCACUUACUCCCACAUACCCACACUUUCUCCCUUUCCUCUCCCACCUUAAGAGACACUUUUUUUUUUUUUUUUCUUUUUUCUCCCACCUAGCCCACUCAACCCGUACCUCCAGCACGACACCAUCUCCUCAUUUUCCAUUUUCUCCAUUUUUUUCUUUCUCUCCACCGACACUGACACCCACAUGUUGGUUGAUUAUAAGCUAGUCGUUGUCAGCCAACCGACGACACCACCUCUGACAGCCGACGACCACCUCUCAUUUCCCUCAUCUUUCAUCUCUCCACUUUCUCUAUCUUUUCAUCUUAUUCUCUUUCAUUUUUAUUUUAUUUUUUUAUAUUUUCUCAGCAUAUUACCACCCACAACCUUCCUUUCAUGGUCUCCAAAAAUGGGUAAGUUUAUUUAUGCAUUUGUUUAUUUUAUUUUAUUUUAUUUUUUUCUUGCUUUGUUUUCAAUAGUAAUAGUUUAUGAGAUUUGGGUUUAUUAAUUAAUAUGAAAUUUGGGCCCAUUUGUUGUUGAUGAAAUUUCUUGGUUGGGUUGAUAAUUGAUAUGAGUUUGCUCAUUUGAAUUAAUUAAUUUGGGUAUGAGAUAAUUGUGGUAUAUGUUAGAUGUUAUUUUGGGCUUUACAAUUAUAUUUUUAUUUUUUGUAUUUUAAUAUUGUUGAUAUCAUAUUUUAUGCAAAAAUAAUAAUUUACUACUAAUAAUUGUUUUUAUCAAACCAAUUUAAAUAAAUAGAAAAAUCAUCAUUUGUUGUUGUUGUUUAUAUAUAUAUAUAUAUAUAUAUAUAUAUAUAUUAUUAUUUCAUUCUCAUUUUACUAAUAUUUAUAUUUACAACUACUAUUAUUAAAAUAUUAUAUAAUAUUUUUUAUUUUGCUUUUAAUUUUGAUUUUAAUAUUUUAUAAAACAUAUUAUUUGAUAGAUAAACAUAAGUCAUAUAAUAUUAUUUCAUAUGAAUUAUAUAAAAUAAUAUUACUUUUAUUUUUUGAAUGAUUUAAUUUGCUCAUUUUUUUAAAAUGAUAAUUUACAACAAAUAUUAUUCUAAAAAAUGCAACAUAAAUCCAAAUAAAUUUAAAAAAUUAUAUAAUAAUAAAAAUCAUGCAUUACAAAAUAAAAUGAAAUAAAAAUAAAACAAAAAUAUUACUUGUGAAUAUGAGUAGUGUUGUUGGCAUUUUAAGGAAUGGAGGAGGCAUGUAGAGAAAGUUGAAGAGAGGGUAAGAAGGGAUAUGGAAAGAAAUAUUUUAUUUAGAAUUAAUAUAAAAAAAUUUAUAUCAUAAACCUCUAAAUAAUAAAAUAUAAUUUUUAAAUUUAAACCUUAAACUAUCAAAUGUAUUAUUAUAAUUAAUAUUUAAAAUCAUUAAGGAUAUUUUUUGUGGGAUAAUAUUUUCAUUUUUGUCCAUUAUAUAUUUAUGUUUUUAUUUAAUUUGUUAUUAUUAACUAUUUGUUAUACAUUAUCAUUUUAAGUUAAUAAAUAUGAAGAGAUUAGAGAGUGAAAAAAUUGAAAUUUUAAAAGUUUUAUGAGAGAAUAUAUGAGCAUAUUAAAAGAAAUGUGAAAAAAAAAUAAAAAUAACAAUAAGAAAUAUAAUAGGUGAAAAUGGAUAUGGUGAUGAAAGAGGAAAAAAAAGCAAAAAGUAGGAACAUGACAAGUUAGAUGUGUGAGAGAGUUGAUUUGAGAGAAAAAAAAAAGUGGUAGGUGUACUUAACAACUUUUGAAGUUGAGAUGUGUGAGAGAAACAAAAAAUGAUAGGUGUACUUAACAAUGGUUGAAGUGGUAAGUAUUCUUGUACUCAACUUUUGAGGGCAAUCUAUCCGAGUGCAUGAAUAGGUAAUAUGUUUUCCUACUUUACACUAAAAUUGAAAAAGUAAAAGCAAAGUUCCAAAAAAACUUUUUUUUUUUGGGUGAUGUAUAGUCUCAAAAAACUUAGAUAGGACAAAAAUAAAUUUAUUCUUAACUUUUCACAUCAAUCCAUAUUCUUCCAAAGUAUGCUUUACAUUACACAUAACCCUAACCUCUUUAUCUACAUUCACAUUCAAUUCAUUUACUUAAUUGAUCUUUCAAUUAAUUCACAUCUUUUAGAUAUUUCUUUUGAAUAUGAAUAAUACAUGUAUUACUACAAAUUUAAAUAUACUAUUGAAAAGACAAAAAUAGUCAAUUAAAUAUUUAAAUUUUAAAAUUUUCAAAAUCACUCUUUUUUGUUAAAUGCCUAUUGUUUUUAUUCAUACAAAAGAAUAUUAUUCAUUAUUCUUUUUUAUUUAACAAAUUUUAAUAAAAAUAAAAUAUUAAAAUUCAUCUGAAAAUUAUAUAUAUAUAUAUAUAUAUAUAUAUAUAUAUAUAUAUAUAUAUAUUGUUAGCCCUAGGGUUCCCUUAAGUGAAUUUUGAUGAUAACAAAUCAUGGUUAGUUCACUAAUGAGUUUAAAAUCAAGUCAAAUUUUAGGUAAUAUUUGAGAAAAUCAAAAUAUUCAUCAAAGAACCAAAAAAGUUAAAGAUAUUAUCCAAAAGAUCACAAAAGUGCAAGUCUAAGUGUGCACAAGUGUCUUUCAAGCUUAGGAAUCAUAUGUAAGAUGUUCACUUGGGUGCACUUUGGUUUUCAAAUCCAUUCAUGCAUCAUUUUCUCAUACUCUCUCUUUGCACUCUAAAGAUUACAUUUUUUGAAUUUAAGUUUUAAUCCAAAAUCUUAGGCAAAAACCUAUCAAACAUGUUUUAUAUAAAGAUGUUGCCUAAGUUUUAGAAAGGUUUAGUCUAAAAAAGGAAAGACUUUUGAACACUUUUUAUCCAACCAGUCAAGGGUGUGCUCAAUGAGUUUAGUCGGUAGGGGAUCGGGUCAAUCAGUUACCCUUUCUUGGUCAAGGACCAAUUAAGGUCGUACAAAAAUCUUCUCUCUCUUCUAGAAGGCUUGUCUUCGAGAUCGAGGAAAAGUCUUUCCUGGUCGAAGGUAACCCUUUCCCGAUCGAGGUUAGGAUAAGCCCUAAUGGUCACCCGCACUGCAUUAAAUGUCUAACUGCUAGUCAACUGAUCAAAUUAGAGCUCGAUUGAGAAGAGCCAGUUGGUGUCCUUUUAGGUGUUUGAGGCUAGAAACCUAUAAAUUGAGAGUUUCACUUCAUUUAUGAGGUAGAGAACACCCACUAUUAACUCUUUACUUACGUGUUUCUCAUUAAAAGCUCUCAUUUUUCUCUUUUUGGUGCAAUGAAUCCUUAUUUGCAAAUCCUCCUAGUGUACCCUUGUUAUUCAUCCUAGCUUCCAUUAUACUUGUUCAUUUAUUGAGCUAGGCAAGAGUGUUUUCAUUCAUAAUUAUUGAAGUAAGGUUUUGAGUGUUUAGAGCUUCAAGUUGAGGUUAUACUUGAAAGGAAUUUAGUGUCUAUUGGAGUUAGAAAUCCAAGUAUAAAAUAUUAGAAGCUUAGAUAAAACGUCAAAUUAGUGGAACUCUCACUCAGUUGGAGUUUGAGGAGAGUGGAUAUAGGUAAGGAUUGUCGAACCACUAUAAAUCUUGAGUUUCCAUUCUCUAUCCCUUAUCUUUUUACAUUUUGCCUAAAUUUAGUAUGGUGUUAAAAGUUUUCAAAAAUCCAAUUCACUCACCCUUCACCCAUUUUGACUGAUUUUCUUAAUUAAUUAGCAUUUAAAUUCAUAUACCCACACACACAAUUCACCCUCCCUCAUGGGUGAUUUUCAUAAUUAAUUAGCCUUUAAACACACACACAUUCUUACAUAUUCUUUAAUUGGAAAAUAUUCAAAAGAAUAAAAUACAUUGAACAUUAUAUAAAAAAUGUUGUCUUCUAUCAUUCAUAUAGAAUAAACUUUUUAAUGAUAUAUGUAAUGACAAUUUCGAAUAAUUUAAUGAUAAGUUAUAAAUAAAAUAAUGAAAAUUGAAUAACUUUAUGAUAUUAAAUAAAUGAGUAGGAGUAUUUUUAGGCAAAACUAAGUGUAAAACACUCUUACAUUUAUAGACAAAUCUAAUAUAACACAAUAAUAAAUAAUGUAGUAAGAGAAUGAGAAAACAUUUUUAAUCUUCAAUGAAUGCACGUGAAGAGUGGACAUAAUUUAAUUUUUAUUUCAAUACUAUAUGCAUUUGUUUUUUUGAUAGGCAUUUGGACUUUUAAUUUUCUAUAUAUUAAUCAAUACUUCAAAUAAAUUUUUUUAAAUCAGAUUUUUUUGAAGAAUAUCAAUAAUUUAAGGAAAUGAGUUUUUUUAACAAUAGAUGUGUUAUCAUUAUGUUGGAUAAAAAUUGAAACAAUAUAUAGAUUUGUUUUCUGAUAAUCUCUAUUUUAAAUAAGUUCUUUAAAUUAGAUAAGAGUUGAAACAACAUAUAUAUUUUGUUCUUUUUUAUAAUCAUCUAGAUUUUUAUUUUUAUAAAAUUUAUUACACUAACUUUAGAGAUUAGAAUAUCAAUAAUUUAAUAUUUGAAAAUUAAUUUUAAUUAUUAAUUUUAAAUAUUUAGUAAUAAUUUAUAACAUAUUACUUCAUAUUAGUGUCAUUUCUGUUUUUUUUAAAUAUAAAAUUUAAGGAUUAUUACAUUUGGUGAGUUUACUCUCUCUCUCUCUAUGAGAGAUUUAUAAUAAUUUAAUGUUUAAAAAUUAAUUCUACUUAUUAAUUGCUAAUAUGUAAUAUGAUCAUAUUUGUUUACAUGGCAUCAUUCCAAUUGAAUGAUUUUUUUUAAUUUUUUAAAUUCAAAUUUUCGUAUUCAUGGAAUGAUUUUUUUUUUAAUUCUGUAAAUUCCAAUUUUAAAGAUGGUUAGAAUAAAAAAAAUCAAAAGAUAAUUAAUAAUUAUGAAAAAUUAAAUUUAUUAUUUUAAAUGGACAAAACAUUUGCGAAUUUUUAUUUUUACCAUAUUUCGUUAUUCAAAAAGCAAAGAGGGUAGUUGAAAAAAAAAACUCCUUCAAAUAAUUUUUAAAUAUUUUAACAUUACUUAAAAUAACAUAUAAAUAUAUAAAAUGCAUAAAUAAUUAUUAUCACAAUUAUCUUCCCGACUUUUUCUCUUUAUCUCUCUAUUAUAUACCUUGUCUCUAAAUCAUACCUUUCCUAUAGGAAAAAUAUUAAGACCAUUGAUACUACAAAUCAUAAAAAAUUAUAAAGAUUUUUUUCCCAAAUAUAAUUAAAUGAGAAUAAAGAUAAUUACGGAUAAAUAUUUAUUAUAAUUUUGAAAUGUAAUUAUUUAUAAAAUAAACAACCCACUACAAUCCUCAAGAAAAUAGUAAAAUACAACCCUUAAUUUGCAAAACCAAUCCAUAAACUCACUGUUUCAUGAGAUUUGGGAGAUAAAAUAUCAAAGAGAUCACAACACUUGGAAACUUAAUGUUUUAUGAGAUUGAAGAGAGAACAUACUAAAGAGAAGACAAUCAUAGCGUUGGAGAGAGCAUUGACAUAUUGUAACAAUCAUAGAGAAAAUCAUAAUUAUGAAGACAAGUCACAAUCCUUUUACGAUGCUGAUUUCCGUCAUUUGUGAACUCUAUAAAACUUGUUGGGAAUUGUCCCUAAUUCCUAAUUAGUAAAGAUUCCUUUUUGUAAAGAAUAUUGUAUAGAAUAUUUUCUAAGUUAAUAUAUUAUUGUAAUAUUAGUUUUCUUAUAGAAUAAGGAAAGUUGUUGGAAAUAUCUCUAUAAAUAUUCUAGGUCAUGAGGAGAAAAAGUCAUGAGAUGGAAAUGAGCUUGUCGAGACUACAGGAGGUGGAUAGAGAUGUGAGGAAGAACGGGAGGUACCCAGUGGAGAGAGAGGGUUCGUGAUAGGGUAUGGAUACAAAGAGUAGGGAAAUAUGGGAUGUUUUGAGAACCCAAUAGAUGUAUCUGGUUCUAUCUGUAAUAUUCUUUAUUAUACAGUGGAAUGAUUCUUCAUCAUCCGUAGACGUAGAUAUGGUUGAUCGAACCACAUUAAAACCUUGUGUUCCCUAUGUGUGAUUGUUUUAUCUUUGUGUUCUUGAAUUAACCUUGUUUGCAUGAAAGCUUUUGUUGUCAUAACAAAACCAAAUAAUAUCUCACAAUAAGAAAAUGAAGCGAGUAAAUAAUGAACCACUUAAAACCAAGUAAAAUGUCAAAAUGGGAAAAAGAAACUGACAAAUAGAAACUUAAAAAGAGUUCAAUAAAAUUCAAAAUGAGAAAAAGAGUUUGGAAAAUCUCAAAAUGAGAAAGAAAAAAAAACAAGAAAAUAGAGACUCAAAAAGAAGAAAUGGUUUAUAUAUGAUAGAAUUUUAAAUUUUUGGAUAGGUGUCAACUCAAAAGACAUCAAUAACAUAAAUGAGGAUAUAAAAGAAUAAUAGAAUUCUUAACUUUUUGGAUAGCUAUCAACUUAAAAGACAUUAUUGACAUUAACGAGGAUAUAAAAGAUGAGGUCAUAAAUGAGAGUGUGAAUUGAAAAGACAUAUGACAUAAAGGAGAAUGUGAACCGAAAAGACAUUAGACAUAAAAGAGAGUAUGAACCGAAAAACAUCAUUGUUUUAUUUAAAAGGUUUUUAGGUUUUAUAGAUUACUUAAAAAGAUGUAAGUAGAUAUUAGGAAGAUGAUAAUACCAUUUUAGGAAAAAAAAAGUUUACAAACACUUCAAACGUUUUUAUAUGGUAUUGAAUUGAUAUUAAAAAAACACAUGAAAAAAAAUAAAUUAAUUCAAAACAAUGGCUAUUUGUAUUUCUUUUUUAAGAAAUCAAAGAAAAUGAUGUUUAUCCACAUAGAUUUUUAAGAAGUAAAAAAUUAUAUCAUUAUGAAAUGUUAUUAUUUUUUUAUUAAAUUAUGAUAAUUUUUUGAAAAGAAAUUUUAUCUAAAUCAAAUUUUUGUAAACAUUUAUUAUGUUUAAAAGUUUGAAAAAAAAUAAUGUUUAUCUAAAGAAGUUUGGGUACAAAUAUUUAACAUGUUUGAAUUAUUUUAAAUAAAUUAUGUUACAAAUUAAAUUAAGAACAAAAACUAAAUUAUGAUAAUUUUUUAAUCAAAAAAAUUUGGCAAUAAUAUUUAAAUCUAAAAACCAAUUUAAUUUAAAACAGUGCAUAUUUAUUAUUGAUGAAUAAUAAGAUUUCCGAUUACCUUCUUAAAUGCCCAAAAUCCAGAUUGGUUGUUUCACUAGCCAAAAUUUUUGCCUCAAGUCAUGAAUGAAACUACGAAUACGAGAACCAUUUGUUUCUCACAGUACAAGAGUCUUGACCUUCGUUUUCACGGAGAAGACAUAAUAAAUUUAAGAGAAAUGACUUUUUGUUUUUUCAAAAGAAAAUUUAUUAUUUCUUAUGUUUUCCGGGGAAAGAAGAAAACGUAUUUCUUCACCUUUGUUUUCAAGAAAAGAGAAAGAAAAUGUAUUAUUUCUCUCACUAGUUUUCCACGAAGAGAGUUCUCAUUGAGAGAGUUUUCUUUUAAGAGAGAGAAAAAAACCUUUUUUUUUUUUAAAUAGUGGCAGUUUCUAGAUAGUUUUAAAACUCCUAGAAACUGCUCCCCUUAUUUCUCCCAUUAAUUGGGUCGGGUCGGGUCAGCCCACUUAGGCACCCAAACCCAACUCCAAUAGUUAUUAUUAAUUAUUGAGAUAUUAUUUGAAUCAUUUAAACCAAUUUAAUUUUAAAAAUGUUUUAAAAAUAAUAUUUGAAUCAUUUCAUUUAAAACAAUCUAUAUUUGUUAUUAUUUAAAAUUUUAAAAAUAUUAUUUGAAUCAUUUAAGUGAUAAGACUAAAAGGAUAUAAGAAAGAUGAUAAGGUCAUUGUAGGAAAAAAAAAAGUCAACAAAUACUUUGCUCUUUUAUAUAUAGUACAAAUAUAUAUAGUAUAUAUUAUAAUUAUAAAUAAUAUAUCGGUAAUAAUUAUAAUUAUUUUUAUGUAUUGAAUUUAAUACAUAAAAUCAAUUAAUUUUACAAUAAAUACAUCUAUAAUUGUUAUAACUGAAGUAAUGAAUGCCACCACAUUAAUUAUAAUAAAUGUUAAUUAAGUAUUAUUUAUGACUUCCAUUAAUACUCAUUAAUGGAAACCAUUAAUGUUAUUUAUGAGUUCCAUUAAUAUUCAUUAUUGGGAAUAUUAAUGGAAGCCAUUUGGAAAGCCUAUAAAAGGGCUUCUCAUCCCCUGUAAUAAGCAUCCCUAAGCAAGAAAGAAAUUUCUCUCUUUCUCUCAUUUUCUCUGUCUUUUAUUCUCUCAACUUUCUCAACUCUCUUCUUUGAUUCCUUCUUCCCAUUAUAUAUAUUGUUAAAGUAAGAUAUAUUUUAUCUCUAUUACUUUAUUUGCAUUGCAUUUAUCCUUAUUUUACAACAUGUUAUUAGCACGAAUUGCUCUAAAGGUAAUUCUUGUAUCUUAAACUUGAAGUUAUUUAUAUAGAAUAAAAUUUCACAUAUUUAUAUUAUUGUUGAUUUCUUUUUUUAUAUAUUGUUAAAAGUUAUAACAAAUUAUUUGAUUUUGUUUAUGAUCAAAGUUAUACCAAUGCUAUCAAUUUAUUAUAAUUGAUUUUAAUAAUAUUUUUUUGUCAUAUAUUUGAAAUUAUUUGACAAUGUCGAAUGUCACAAAACUCGAAUUUGUGGCAAUUGACAUUUUGGGAAAGAACUAUCUAUCUUGGAUCUUUGAUGUUGAAAUACAUCUUGAUGCAAUGAAUCUUGGAGCUAUGAUCAAAGAAGGAAAUCAAGCAUCCCUACAGGAUCGCACAAAAACACUGAUUUUCCUUUGUCAUCAUCUCCAUGAAGGUUUAAAAAUAAAUAAAUAAAUAAAAUAAAAUGAGUUUUUGAUGAGAAAUCACCAGUCUUGUCCAAUUGGAUCUAAACCAUUCCCUGAAGUGAAUGCAAUAUCGUCCCAAACUUGUGGCUGUGGACGAGGACGAGGACGUGGUCAUGGUCAUGGAAGAAAUCCCCGAUACCAUAGUUCUUAUAGUAAUAAUUCAUCAAAUUCUCAUAAAAGAAAAGCCUUAUUGCACUGCCAAAAGUGGAAUAAUACUGAAACAAAACAAGAAAAUGGGAAGUGUUUACAAGAUAAACCUCCUAAGAACCAUGAGAAUAAUUGUUAUAGAUGUGGUAUGAAGAGGCAUUUGUUGCGUACCUAUCGUACGCCCAAACAUUUGGUCCACCUUUACCAAGCAUCAAUAAAAGCAAAAUGAAAAGAGAUAGAGAUGAACUUUACCGAUGGUGAUGGAUUGAACCUAACCUACUAUGACAUUGAUUUCUUUGGAGGUCCUAGUGAAAAAAAAAAAAAAAAAAAAGACCAUGUUAAGAGAGAGAGAGAAGAAAACCUUGAUUCUCAUUCAUGUAGUAUCUACUUACAAUUGAGAAAAUAUAUAUAUACAAGGCUAGGAGUUCUAACUACCAUACAUGUGACCUAUAUUAAAAAAAGGAAAGAUUGUACACUAUAAAUUCAUUAUAUUCAACAGACCAUUUAAUAAAUGAUGAGAAAAUCAGCAUUGAUUGAUGUUACUUUAUAUAUCAAACAAUAUAUUUCUUAUAUUUACAUCUGAUUUUCUUUUGUUAUUUACAUUAUGCCUUGUUUUUUUACUUAUAUCUGAAAUCCAUGUGUUAUUUGAUCUCAAGAUGAAUAAGGAUGAUGUAUGUCUCAUAGACUGUGUAACCAUGCACACAAUUAUUCAAGAUAAAAGAUAUUUCCUCGAAUUGACAUUAAUAAAAGCUAAUGUAAGUACCAUAUCUGGUACUACAAACUUAGUUGAAGGCUCUGGAAGAGCAAACAUAACGCUACCAAAUGGAACUAGAUUCCAUAUAAAUGAUGAUUUAUAUUCUAGCAAAUCCAGAAGAAAUUUGCUCAGUUUUAAAGAUAUCCACAAAAAUGGAUAUCAUAUUGAAACUAUGAAUGAAGAUAAUGUAGAAUAUCUUUACAUUACUUCCAUUAUAUCUGGCCAGAAACUUAUAAUGGAAAAACUAUCGGCUUGCUUCUCUAGGUUGUAUCAUACAACUAUAAAGCCUAUUGAAUCAUAUGUUGUCAUGAACCAGAAGUUCAACGACCCAAAAGUUUUUGUCUUUUGGCAUGAUAGGUUAGGUCUCUAGGGGUCUUCAAUGAUGCGUCAAAUAAUCAAACACUCACAUGGGCAUCCACUAAAGAACCAAAAGAUUUUUUCGCCCAAUGAAUACUCAUGUGUUGCCUACUCACAAGGUAAAUUGAUAGUCAAACCAUCUUUUACUAAAGUCAUAUCUGAGUCAUCGGUCCUUUUAAAUAAAAUACAUGGGGACAUAUGUGGGCCUAUCCAUUCAUCAUGUGGACCAUUCUGUUAUUUUAUGAGUUUAAUAGAUGUUUCUACUAGGUGGUCACAUGUUUGUCUCAUUUCUACACGUAAGGUUGCCUUUACUAGAAUCCUUACACAAAUAAUUAGAUUAUGAGCACAAUUUCCAGAUUAUCCAAUUAAGACAAUACGUCUUGAUAAUGCUGGCAAAUUUACUUCUCAAACUUUCAUUAACUAUUGCAUGUCAGUAGGGAUAAAUAUUGAGCAUUUUGUUGCUCAUACUCAUACCCAAAAUGAUUUAGCAGAAUCCUUCAUCAAACGUCUCCAAUUAAUAGCUCGACCAUUACUAAUGAAAAUCAAAUUACCUACUUCUACCUAGGGACAUGCUAUUAUGCAUGUUGCAGCUUUAGUCCGUAUUCAACCUACAACUUACCAUGAAUACUCCUCUUCACAACUUGUGCUUGGAAAACAACCAAAUAUCUCUCACUUACGAAUCUUUGGUUGUGCAAUAUAUGUACCAAUUGCACCUACACAACGCACUAAAAUGAGUCCCCAACGAAAACUUGGGAUUUAUGUAGGUUUUGAUUUUCCAUCUAUCAUAAGAUAUCUUGAACCUUUGACAAGCGAUGUUUUUACAGCCCGCUUUACAGAUUGUCAUUUUAAUGAAAGUGUUUUCCCGUCAUUAGGGAGAGAAAAGUCGAUUCCUUAAGAACGACGAGAAAUUAGUUGGAAGGCAUAUACUAUGACCCAUCUUGAUCCUCGUACAAGUCAAUGUGAACUAGAAGUUCAAAGAAUCAUUCAUUUGAAAAAUCUUCCAAAUCAACUACCAGAUGCAUUCAUUGAUACAAAGAAAGUGACAAAGUCACAUAUCCCGGCUGCAAAUACUCCAACAUUGAUUGAUGUCCCUGUAGGAUAAUUAAAAAUUGAAUCUAAGAUACGCCUAAAGUGUGGUAGAACUAUAGGCUCAAAGGAUGUAACUCCCCAGAAGAUGAUAACACAAGAAAAAAUUGGCACUUUAGAAAAGGCUAUCAAAAUGACUGAUCACUUUAAAAUUGAUAAAUUUAUAACCCCAGAAAAGGCACAAAUAAUACAGAAAGCCCCUAAAAAAACACAUAUUGAACAAGAAGCCCCUGAAGAGGCACAUAUUAAACGAGAAACCCCUAAAAAGGUACAGGUACCUAAAAAUUGUGAGAUCUCAAUAAGUUAUAUACACACGGGAGAAAAAUGGGAUCGAAAUAAUAUUGUUAUUAACAAUAUUUUUGUUUUCGAAGUAGCCCCAAUAUCAGAAGAAAUGAUGAAAAUCCUGAACCACGAAAUGUGGAAGAAUGUCGACAUAGAAAUUAUUGGCCAAAAUGGAAAGAAGCUAUACAUGCAAAGUUGAAACUCAUUGACAAAACGACAAGUUUUUGGACCUGUAGUCCAAACACCUGAAGAUGUAAAGCUUGUUGGGUACAAAUGGGUAUUUGUACGAAAACACAAUGAGAAUAAUGAGAUCAUAAGAUAUAAAGCGCGAUUAGUAGCACAAGGUUUCUUGUAGAGACCUAGUAUUGACUACGAGGAAACAUACUCUCCCAUCAUGGGCAAUCACAUUUUGUUUCUUAAUUAGUUUGGCAGUCUCAGAAGGACUAGAUAUGCGUCUCAUGGAUGUUAUCACAACAUAUUUAUACGAAUCCAUGGAUAAUGAUACAUACAUGAAAAUCCUUGAAGGAUUUAAAUUGCCUGAAUCAAAUAGUAUAAAGGCUCGUAGCAUGUACUUAAUCAAGUUAUAACGAUCCUUGUAUGGAUUAAAGUAAUCUGGACACAUGUGGUACAAUCGCCUUAGUGAAUACUUACUAAAAGAAGGGUACGUGAAUAACCUUAUAUGCCCAUGCAUUUUCAUUAAGAAAUCAGAAAUUGGACUCUCAAUUAUUGCAGUGUAUGUUGAUGACUUAAAUCUUGUUGGAACUCCUGAAAAGCUCACAAGAACAACAAAUUACUUGAAAAAUGACUUUGAGAUAAAAGAUCUUGGAAAUUUUUUUUUUUUGUCUCAGCUUGCAAAUCAAGCAUUUUCCAAAUGGAGUUUUAGUACAUCAAUCAACAUACAUUAAAAAAAGUUUUGAAGCAUUUUUAUAUGGAUAAAGUGCAUCCUUUAAGUUCUCCAAUGGUUGUCCAAUCACUUGAUGUGAAAAAGGAUCCAUUUCGUCCUUGCAAAAAAAAAAAAAAAAUUACUUAGUCCUGUAGUACCAUAUCGUAGUGUUAUUGGUGCACCUAUGUAUCUUGCCAAUUGUACAUGUACAAACAUUAUUUUUUCUGUCAAUUUAUUAGCAAGAUACAGUUCCGCUCCAACUUGAUGACAUUGGAAUGGUAUCAAAUAUAUAUUGUGUUAUCUUUGCGAAACUACUGAUAUGAGUUUAUUUUACUCAAGGGAAUCAAAGCAACAAUUGCUUAGAUAUGCAAAUGCAGGAUAUCUUUUAGAUCCACAUAAAGGUAGGUCACAAACAGGGUAUGUGUUUAAUUGCAAUGGUAUUGCUAUUUCAUGGAGAUCUAUCAAACAAACAAUGGUGGUCACAUCAUCAAGUCAUGAAUGUAUAUAGUUAAGAUUUAUGAUCCAGCAUAUUCGGGAAUCAUGUGGACUUUCCUCUAUCAAAGGUGACCUGACAAUAUUAUUUGAAGAUAAUGUUGCAUGUGUUGCACAAAUAAUAGGGGGUUAUAUUAAAGGAGAUAGAACUAAACACAUUUCACCAAAAUUCUUUUAUACACAUGAACUCCAAAAGAGUGGUGAAAUUGAUGUGCAACAAAUACGCUCAAUUGAUACUCUAGCAGAUUUAUUCACAAAAUCAUUGUCAACCUCAACAUUCAAGAAGUUAAUACACAGGAUUGGAAUGCAUCAACUCAAGGAUAUCGACAUGAGGGGGAGUAUGCUUGUAAUAGGGUGUUAAUGUACUGUACUCUUUUUUCCUUUGUCCAGGUUUUGUCCUACUAGUUUUACUGGCAAGGUUUUUAACGAGGUAGUCCUAACAUACCAAGAACAACUUAAAGAAUUAUAAGAAUAUUGUACUCUUUUUCCUUUGCUAGGGUUUUUCCAUAGGGUUUUUUAUUAGCAAAGUUUUAAUGAGGCAUAUUCUUCAAUGUGAUGGACAUCCAAGGGGGAGUGUUAUAAUUGAAGUAAUGAAUGCCACCACAUUAAUUAUAAUAAAUGUUAAUUAUGUAUUAUUUAUGACUUCCAUUAAUACUCAUUAAUGGAAACUAUUAAUGUUAUUUAUGAGUUCCAUUAAUAUUCAUUAUUGGGAAUAUUAAUGAAAGCCAUUUGGAAAGCCUAUAAAAGGGUUUCCCAUCCCUUGUAAUAAGCAUCCCUAAGCAAGAAAGAAAUUUCUCUCUUUCUCUUAUUCUCUCAACUUUCUCAACUCUCUUCUUUGAUUCCUUUUUCCUAUUAUAUAUAUUGUUAAAGUAAGAUAUAUUUUAUCCCUACUACUUUAUUUGUGUUGCAUUUAUCCUUAUUUUACAAUAAUAAUAAUUUUAUUGUUAAAAUAUAUUAUUAGUUAAACCAUUAUUAAAAAAAUAAGAAAACAUGAAAACAUUUUUUUCUUUAAAAUUAAUUUUUUGAAAUUGUCUCUUCGAGAGACAAUUUUAUCUUUUAAAAUAAAUAAAUAAAUAGAAAUCAUCUUUUGAAGAGAUGAUUUUUGCCUAUAAUUUUUUUUUAAAAAAAAAUCGUUUUUGCAAGAGAAGAUUUUAGCCUAUAAUUUUAUUAAAAAUAAAUAAAUAAAUUAGAAAUUAUCUCUUCAAUAGAUUAUUUUUGCAUAUAAUUUUUUUUUUUUUUUAAAAAAAAAACUAAUCGUCUCUUGCUUCAAAUCCAAAUCUCUUUCGCAAUUGGUAAAAACUACAAUAGAUCUAAAAAUAUUUUUUCCACUAUCAUAAUUUACGAAUUAUUUUUUAUACUACCGUACACUUAUCAAAAACCAUGAUAGGGUAAAUGACAAGGACCUCUUGUAAGGUAUCAUGGUCUUUCUUUCAUUUUGAAAUGUUACACCGCCACAUCUUUUGGGAUUUUAGUCAGAUAAUAUGAUUCCCUCAUAGUAAUUUUAAUUAGCUUCAAAUUAGCGUAUAAAUUACUUUAUAGUGAUUCUCAUUAAUUCUAAAUCAAAAUAAAUUAAUUUAUAAUUAAAAAAUUUCAAAGUUAAUAUGUUAUCAUUCUCAUCUUAUAUUUUAUCUUUUUUCUUAUGAUAAUAUUGUUAACAUGGAGUCCAAAUAUACUAACUAAUCAAACAAGUUGUGUUUGUUGUGGUUUUGCUUAUUCAAGGUUAUAUUUAGGCAUUGUGUGUUUUUAUUAUAACAAAGAUUCGACUCUAGUGAAGUUUUCUCACCAAGUGGUUUGAUUUUCUUUUUUCAAAAUAAUUUCAAUCUUAUUUAUACAAAAGUUGUGGAAAAUUUUUAUGUGGUAUGAUUGGAGUAUAUGUUCUAUUGUGUGGAAAAUUGGUAGGAAAUUGAAGAAGAAGAAGAGCAAGAUGCAAAGAAUCAUGUUUUUUACUAUUUAUUUUUUAAAAUUACCUUUGGUUACCAUGUUGGAAAAGCCAUGCGUGUACUCAAUAAUAGAGAUUUGUGUAGACCAAAAAGGGGAUCAUUUAACUUUGUUCAAUGAGAAAUUUCCAUGGAGAAAGUACUUUUAAUCAUUAAAGUUAUACAAUGUUUAUUUUUAUAUUUCUAAUUAAGUUUGUGUAUACAUUAUUAAGUUUUUUUUUGGUGCUCUUUUGGGUGUUUUUUUUUUUUUUUUUUUUUUUAAAGAUUGUUAGGGCCAAGAUAAAAAAAAAAUGCUUUGGUUUGGGCAUGUCUAGUAAAUUAAUUUAAUAAUUUACUCAUUUGAUUUAAGUUAUUAAACAUAUUAAGUAUGUUUUAUAAUAACUUCAAGUUAAAAAUGAGGUUGAUAAAAGUAAAGACAUUUGUAAUAUUUGACAUGAAAGAGCAAUGUUAAAUGCAUUCAUCACUUGGAGUUAUGGGGGCAAAAUAGGCCUGUUACGAAGAAAAAAAAAAAAAAGCCGUUUUCCCAUACUUAUGUUCAAAAUGGUCCUUCUACUGCUACGAUAGAGUCACCUCAUUGCUAUUAUUUUCUUUUAAUUUAAGUUGAAGCCACAAUUGCCAAAUGCAACUUUAUUUUUGAACUAAAACUUCGAGUACCAAAUGUGGCUUUAUUUUUUAAUUGAAACCUUAGUUGUCAAAUGCAACUUCAGAUUUAAACUAAAACCUCCAUUGCCAAAUACAGUUUUAGUGUUAAAUUGAAGUUUCAAUUAUCAAAUGUGACUUAGACUGUGAAGCCUCAAUUGCCAAAUGCAGUUCCACAGUUUUAAAUUAAAGUUUCAAUUGCUAAAUGCAGGUUCAGUUUUGAACCGAAACCUCAAUUGUCAAAUACGACUUCAUUGUUAAAUUGAAACUUCAAUUUCCGCUAUCCAUUAUAUGUUUGAGGGAUCAGCCCAUACCAAUGUCAUUUUGGCCCAAAAUUCCAUCAUUUGUGAUGAAAACAAAGAGGGGAUGAUAAAAAGGGUGUAAUAAUGUAGAAUCACCUACAAGAAAUGUCUUCUCCACCAAUGAUUAUCUUCAUUUUGUAAGGAAUGAAUCAUAAGAAAUUUCAUGUGAGAAGCUAGACAAUACUUGAAUCACCAUGGAUAUUAAUAAACUGAUAUUAUCAACAAAGGGGAAAAGAACUCAUGUAAUAACUUCAAACAUAUUAAUAAACCCAAAACCAAAGUGUUCAAAUCAAAUAAAUCAUAUCACAGGAUCAUACUCAUCCUGCUAAAAGAAUGAAAGAAGUUUCAAUUCCUGUAUCCAUCCCUCAAUCCCUCCCAAUUUUCAAUGAUACAUAAUAAUCUUUCUCAGAAGGAGGAGCAGUUCUUGGUCUUGUAUCUGUAGAAAAUCCUCUUCUUCUUGCUCACACUGUUCUCAAUGGUCAGCACAACCUUCCCUGGUUCAUUGUUGCGGAAAGAGUUGCGAACAGGCUCCUCCUGUGACCCCAUCUUCUUCCCCUUCUGGAUGAUGAUGGUGUAAGAUCCCUCGUCCGCCGGCACGAAUUCCUCCUUGUAAUUCACUUCCCAACCCAAUACAGUCAGAUCCCAUACCAAUGUGGUUCCAACCUGUUCAAAUCAUCACACACCGUAUCUUAGUCCAGCGUUUUCCAAAGGACAUAUAUAAGAAACAUGGGUCAAGUCUUUUCUACAUACCUCGGGGACAGGUAUCUCGAUUGUUUCAGUUGAUCCAGCCUUGACAACGAGUUCUGUAACUCCACCAUCUUCAAUGGAGAAUUCGGUGUCUUUCUCCCUCUUGAGCCCACCGUACUGGACCGGGAUUUCCUCCACACAGAUGUACCUGUAAUGGAGAUUGUGGUUAGAUUCAUAAUCGGGACUUGGAUCAGGAAUGGUGAUGAGUUGGUGCUUACUUGAGAAGUGUUUCAGUGACUUUGGAUGGGCGAACAAAGACGAAUUUGCUCUUGGUCCUUUGUGUCAAGAAAGGAGAUAAGAGGGCGUUCAAGGCAUAGUACCAGAAAGGAACAUUUAUGAAGAUCUGCAACCAAAAUUAUCAAUACUUCUAAUUAGGUGAAGAGCGCCAAUGAUACAAUAUUUAAUGUCAUUUUUCUAUGAGAAUGUUGCAGUUUGGGUAUGAGUAAAUCUUACAUUUCUUGCGACAAAUUCUGGGUAAUUGUCCUGCAGAAGGCCAACAGCUUGCUUUGUGGCGAUCCGGAUCUCCUUCUUGGAGGGUCCUGGGGAGUUGCUGAGAUCAUUGAUUUGGAGCAAAGAGGUGACACCGCCAGGCUUGAAAUCGAGCUUCUGGAUUCCCUUCUCCAUCAGCUGGAUCCUCCAUCUCAAGAACUGGUUGCGCUUCUCCUCAGUCCCAAAAGUCUUUUGAUACAGCUCUUGAUUUUCAAGCACCCCAUAGAUGUUGUAACAGAUGGGGUGACCCUCGCGAUCAACUCCAUUCAUGUAUGCAACCGAACUGAUGUCUUGUCCCAACUCUUCCUCCAGGAUGGAAUCCGUCUUGAACUCCUUCCUCCACUCUAGAGUUUUCUUCAGCAUCUCAAAGGCCUCGUUCACCUUAAACUCCCUCGCCCUCAGGAACUUCAGGAGGAUUACAUCGUUUCCCUCGGCGCACUUACUGGGCAAAAGGGGCACACCCCACAGGGUGAUAUCCCGAUCCACCACCUCCUCCGGUUUCUCCACUUCGCUGCUGCUUUGCUUGUCUUCCCCUUCUGUCUUCGGUUCAGCUUCUUCUGGGGCUGCGCCAUCGGUGGCUUCGGGCUCCUUCUCUUUCUCUUCAGCGGCGGCAGGCUGUUCCUCCUUGGGUUCACUUGCAGUCUCUUUCUUGAGCUCCUCCUUCUUGAAGAGAGUGUUUCUAAGGAUGGCUUCUUCGAGUUUGGAUCUCAACUCGAUCAGCGCCUUAUUCUCAUUGUCCUUGAGAUCAGAGAGGAAAUUGCUCUCUUCCCUAUAGGAGGAGCUCUUCUCAACUGUUUUGGGCUUGGCUUCAUUAACUUUCUCCACAGCUUUCUCCUCCUCUGGAAGAGAAACAGAAACCUCAGUCAUUUGGGUGUCUUCAGCCUUAACCUCAACGGCCUCAACACUCUCCACAGUCAUGGCUUUGGGCGCAACAACUCACAAUCUGUGAAGACAAAUGAAAAAUGAAGCCGCCCACUUCUCUCUCUCUCUCUGUCUGUAAUCCGAGGACCUUGUGUGAGUGUGAGAAGGGUGUCAGUACAACGGUUAUAUAUUUCGAAAUUUUCCAGCAGAAAAGUUAAAAAAAUUAAAUAAUAAGAAUAAUAACAAGGAAAGAAGAAGAGGCCACAACGGUCACAUAUCUGUAGCCACCGCAUAGGAGCCGUUGGGAUUCUUUCCCGAGAGCAGUGAUAGCCUGGAAGACAGCCAAAAAACUGCCCCCAUUGGGUCCCACUUCCCAUAUGCUACACCUGGCGGCAGCUUAUUGGUCGGAUUGUACAAUUUUUAGAGCAAGAGACACAACCUUACCCUGGGAACUUGAGCUGCAUUUUAGAUGUCUCCUACCGUCCAUUUUGUAUUGUAUUAUAUUUACGAGGUGAAUUCAUGUGAAAAAAAAAGUUUAAAAAAAAAAAAAAAAGAGAAUUGAUUAAAAAUAAUAAUAAAAUAAUCUUUAUAUAAAAAAAUUUUGAUUUUUUUCUUAAAAAUUAAUGUUUAUUAUAUUUAAAAAGAGUUAUAUUUUAAUCCUAUUAAGGAGCAUGGCAUAUAUAUUAAGUUCAAAUCCCAUAAGAUUAUCUUUAAGAAAAUUGAUAGUUAAAUAUGGGAUCUUUAAUGAGAGGAUUUUUGUUUUUAUAAAGUAAUAUAUUAUUUCAUUAUUUUAUUUUAAAUUAUUUUAUUAUUAUUUUUAUAUUUUUAAAUAUAUUUUUAUUUUUGGAUAUAUAUAAUUCUAUUUCUAGUAAAAUUCAAAAUAUAAUGUCAAUUCAUGUGGACUAUAUUUAUUUAAAAUUAUCAUAUUUCAUAUUUUCAAAAAUAAAGAUUAUUUUUCCAAUUAGGAAUCCUUUUUAUCAAUUUAAUUAUAAAAAUAUUUAUCACUUAAUAUUGUUAUUUUUAUUGAUGGUAAAAAAUGAGUAAAGAGUGAAAAUUAACCAUAUAUGUCAUUAAAUUAAAAAAUCUGUAGAUUACCCUUUUAACAUCAUAUAUUUACCAUAAAAAAUAAGUAUUUAAUUUGAUAAUAUUAAAAUCGUAAGCAACAAAAUUAAGUAUAAUAUCCGUUGUUUUACAAUCAUGUGAUUAAAUUACAAAAUAGGAAUUCAAUUUUAUAACCGUUAUCCAAAAAUAAUUAGCUCAUUGAAACCCACCAAGAUUUUUGAGAAAUUCAAUUGAAUUUCAAACAAAUAUUUGGAAUGGAAUGUAAAAAUAAUUUUUAUUUUGAAAAAAAUGAUCUUUGUUUUUUCAAAAAUAUAAUUAAAAAUAUAUUAAAGACAUUUUAAAUUUUCAAAAAGAUUUUUGUUCUCUAAAAUAUCAAAAAAAAAGUUUUUAAAAUCUGUUUUUCAAGAUUAUUUUUACAAACAGUUACCAAAUACACCCUUAAUUUCCUUGUUUUCAAAAAAUAAAGACCAUCUUUUGGAUCUAGGGAUUACUUUAUCUUCUCUUUUUUUUUAAUAAAUAGCCCAACAGAAAUAAUAAUAAUAUUAAUUCAUUGAAUGCUUUAAAAUAAGAAAUAUUUGUGCAUGGAUAAAACCUUCCUUUCCUUGGCUUAUUGGCUUAUUGGUUAUAAAGAGGGUUUGGUAGAAGAAGCAAAGGGAAACUUCAUAGCUUAAAAGACAAACAUGAGGUGAAUUUGAAUAUACAAAUGAUUUUGUAUUUGCCUUUUACAACCUCAAUCAUUGAUUUUAAAUCAUAUCAUUCUAUUAAAUGGAGUUCAUACCAUAUAAAUUUACAUUUAUAAUAAUAAAUUUCAUUUUAAUUACGCCUUGCCCCAACAUUUGGCCAAGAUUUAGCUGUCAUUCGUGUGAUCGGGACACAGCUCUUAAACAAAGUGCCCCGUUGCAAAGCAUCUUUGUUCUUCUGUGCCUGCCCUUGACUUUACCCAUUAACAUGCCAAUUGGCAAAGGCUGUGGGCAUUAUUGAUUGGUUGGCAAACCCACGUCCUCAUGUGCUACAAAGAUAUGCAGAUUUCCAUUUAUUUUUAAGGUAAUAAAUUGUAUUCUAAUGCAACUAGCCAGUAGAAAGGGCCCAUGUUAUUAGAAGAAUUGGUCAAACAAAUAGGAGAUGAGUGUUGGCAGUUGGCACAAAUGCUUUGAGAUUUGGACGGUUGGGAACAAUAAUGAAAUGGAAACACCGGUGGUACCAAUUUGUAUAAUGGCUUUUACAACCCAAUGCCAUUGCCAAUCCCACAAUCACAUGAGUAUGAUGUCAUACAAAAUUAAGGGUAUUAUUUUGUGUUGGAAUCUCUCAAAUAGGUAUGCUUAUGUGAACCAUAGGUUGGCUAGCCUAAAUGCAUGAAAGACACUAUCAGUUCAUAGUAAAUAAAAAGAUUAAUUUCACUUAAAUUGUUGAGUACUAAGUUGAAAAAUAAUUAUACAAGUAUAAAAAAAAUAAUUAAAAAUUAAACAUUACAUAUAAAAGUUAUUUUUUUUAAAUAUUUAAAAAGAUGAAAAAAGAUUAAAUUUAUUUAUUUUCGAAACAAACUUUUAUUCUACAAAACAUUAUAAAUUUGUUUUAAAGAAUUAUUUUAAAAUACUGUUUUUUAAAACAAUAUCCAAACCGAGUAUCUUUUAGAGAUUAUCUUUUAAUUGUUUUGACUUUUUUUUUUUUUCAAGGAUCGUUUAAAAAAAUAAUUAUAUAAGCAUGUAAAAUGAUUAAAAAUAAAGCAAUCAAUAUAAAAAUUAUUUUUAAAAAUAUUAUGAACAAGCUAAAAAUAUUUCAGGUUAAAAUCAUCACAGAACAAUCUUAAAAAAUUGUCCUUAAAAACAAUUACCCAACAAACCUUGGAAACUUAUUUUUACAAUUCAUUUGACAACCCUCUCAUUUAUAGGGAUAGCUAAAAGGAAAAACAAAAACCAAACAAGGGUUAGGUCUCCAUGGGAUCCGUCCCAAGUGAGGGCCAAGGAUGGAGAGUGAUAAUCAAGGCUAGGGACAAGGAAAAUUCCAUAAACCCAAAACGGGGGUAGGGAUGGGGAUCCUACUCCCCGCCUUGAACCUGUCUCCUUACCCACCCUGGAUUAUAUAUAUAUAUAUAUGUAUCUCAAAUUUCUACCCUAACUGGGAUUCCCAAUCCCUACCUUUGCCUAAUCUAAGAUGGAGAAUGAGGCUGGAUGAAGAAUAAAUUUACUAUAGCGUGGACAGGAAUGGGAACGGGGAGCCUUCCCCGACCCCACCCCCGCCCCAUUCCCUUUACAAACCUACUCAUUUAUGGGUAAGUUACGAUGAGCUCAACUAAAGCUGUGAAUUGGUUUCCAAUCUAUGGCAGGCAAUUUGAAUUCACAACAAAAAACAAGCUAUGAAAUGUGAAAUAUGUGGAGAGAAAAGGCUAGAAAAAUAUAAGGGCGCUUCUGCAACAUUACCCACAGAUUUAACUGGAAAGGAAAAGUUUAGAUUCAUCUACAUUUUCCUUGUUCAUUCUAUAAGACAGCCCUCUAAAUGGGGUAACAUCUAGAUUUGAGAAAACUGCAGAAUAUAUGCCAAAUCACUCCAAAACUCCCAACCUGAGUUCCAAUUUCUUGAACCACCUGUCUUUGCAUAUUUUCCUAUUUAUUUAUUUACUUAUUUUUCAUUUCCUGGGUUACAAUCUUCAGAUUGGUACUCAUAAUGAACGAACACAUUCACUUGUUCAGAGAUGAAAGAAUCAACAUAUAACGAAUGAACAAAUUCUUGUUUGGAGAAAAAAAUGCAAAACAGAACAUGCAUCAUUUAGGUCUUUAGAUUGUUGACUAUACGACAGAACCAAGUUUUUUACCGAAAAUAGUGAGAAAAAUCGAUCAUACACUUUGCAGACAAAAAUCUAACAAUGCAAAAUUUGAGCUUAAUACUCAUCAACUGUAGCUGGGUAAAAUAUAUACCUUCAUCUUUGCUCUAGAUUUUCUAGGUAGUCAUGAAGGAGCCACUGUUUCAAUCAUUUCAGUUUGUUGUAAUCUGCAUAACCAGAUAAGAAGGCCCCCUUCACGUUAAGACUAUAGACAUCAGUGGAUACAUGUGUAAUCAAAGCCUGUUCUUACUCCAACCACAUAAAUUAUGCAUCUCAUUCCCCAGAAGUCUCAUCAAUGUCUGUGUACACACCACUUAUCCUGCACAAUUGGCAUCAAACUAAGCUUACAUUCGCAACAUUUCAAACAAUAGGGUGAAAUUUAACAAUGAUUUUGCACAUAGACAUCAGAAGAUUGCAGGAUCCAGAUCCUCCUAUCUUAUGUCAUGCACAACAAGAAGAUUCAUAGCUACCAUCUCUAAUUGGCAAUCAUGCGGCAUGAAGAUCACCAAAGGGCUAUGAAAUCAUAGUUAUACUUCUCAGGAGUUUCGAAAAUAGGCACUUGCUAAGCAGAACUUUCACCUCAAUCUUUGGAAAAUUAGGCGACUAUUAUAGGUAUGAUUCAAAGUUGCGAUAUCAGCCACUAACUCAGGAAUCAUUUAAGUAGAUCAAUCUUGGGAUCACAGAUUGGUCAACAUUGAGCCACACACAAUAUGCUGGUUAAAAAGAUCAAAAAAGUUCUAAAAGAAUAAUGAAGAUUUUCAGAAAAAUAAUUACAAUUUGAUGGACUCAACAAACUAAAAAAAUAAAAACCAUCUCUUACAUUAGACAUUUUUUUUAAAUAAUCAUGAAAGCACAUGCUUAUAUUGGUUUAUAUAGUACUAAAAAUUGAAAAUUCUAUUACUUCAGGCAUAAUUAUUUUUCAGCUAAAAACAUACAUUAGUCAAUUUCAUAUUGAAUGAUGUAGUCAAAAUGGUUUUAAAACUUAUAUAGGCUUUUCUGACACCCUGCUGCAACUUGGUCAUUAACUUGGCCAUGUUGAUCACAACUCAGCCAACACUUUGGCUGUACCGACCAUGACUAUGCUGUAUCAGCCAAUUCAUUGUGGCAAUUAGAAACAAUCUAAUACCAGGUCUUGGUAUCAUCUCAGUAACAGCUGUUAUGGAUAUAAUUGGCCUACUCAUAUCAAACUUGGCCAAGUCACAUCAGACUCGACCUGUCCUUUGAACGUUGAUCCUACACAAGGCACUUUCCCUUCUCAAUUAUUGCAUGUAUUGGGUUGGUUAAACUAAAAUUAAGUACGAAAACCUCAGAGUUGAAUGACUAAUAUCCAAGGCCUAAGUGCUGAAAGUCUAUUGAUACUGCCAGAAACUGUUUGUUUCAUAAAUUAAAAAUCUAAAGUUUAAAACAUUGUAAUUUACAGCUGCUGCCUUUAUACUAUUGUAAUGACAUUCUUUCAACAAUAUUUACAUAAAAAAUUUCAAAUAUUAUAAUACGCUUCUUAAACAUUUAAUAUGUCAUAUUCUUGGCCUAAUUGUAUGAGCAGAAGUUUGAUGUAAGAAAAUUGUGGAGGCAAAAGAAGGGAAAAAGAAAAUAAAUAAAUAAACCAUCAUACAAAAUCCCUGAAAAGAGAGGGCCUGUUUGAAAAAAGCAAAAUCAUAUUACCAAAGAUAAAUAUAUACUCUUUCACAAAACUAAGCACAAUUCAAAUCUCUGUUUCCAAAAAUUCACCUACAAAUUACAGAAAAGUCAUUAUUUCCUCUCCCAAAUUCAUAGGCAAAACAAUUCUGUGUGUUUAUCAUCAUAUAAACUAAACCUUAAAAAAACAAUCAUUAUUCUUACAAAUUCACAAUCAAAAUAUCGCCAUCUUCACAUAACUAAAAACAGAAAAACUUGACAAUAAAAAUUAUAAGUUAGAGAUAACCUAAGAGAGAGAUUGGAUUUCUCAUACAGAUUUGGAUUCAAAGCAUAUGGUUUCAAAAAAUAAAAAUGGAAGUAGCACUGAACAAAUUAGACAGCUUUUUCUUUUUGGGUUAAAUUUUGGCACUCAAUAUGAUUAUCAGACAGAGUAUUACUCCUCUGGUUUCCUGGGAAAGAUAUUAAUGUCCCUAAGGUAAUGGGCAUGCUGCAAGUCAUUAGUGCAAUAAACACUAAGUGCAAUUAUAUAUGCCACAAAUACUAAAAGCAAGUCAUUAGUGCAUUAAACACUAAAACCAAUUCCACAAAUAUGCCAUUGAAGUGUUCUUCCUCAAACUUGAGUAAACACAAUGCAAUAAUGAGAAAAAGAAGCCCCAUACCUAUCAUAUGACAAGAAGGCAUCACCUAUUGUUCCUACAACUUUAUUCCGUACCUUUCGCACACAAACCUGCAAAUUGAUAAUUUAAGAGAUUUUAAGAAUAAGUUUCCAUUCCUGAACCUUGAAAAAUGGCCAACCACCUUUUUGUCCUUUUUCCAAGAACAAAUAAAUAGAUAACCAAUAACAAAUUGAUAAAAUAAACUUCGUAAAUGAAACCUACUUGCACUUGAUCAACAGGCCCAGCUUCUGGAUUUCGAUUACGAUGAAUAACAAUUCCAUUGUCACAUUUAUUUAUGAAGUGUGCACUUCCACUGAUAUCAUACAUAUUAGGUGGACCCCCAUUCCAUUGGUGCAACUGGUAAGAGUCAAAAGGUCAGAAAAAUGAAGAUACAGGUUAGCAAAAUAGAGGUCACAAGGACAAACCUGUCUAGGAUGUGCUACAAACCAAACGUGACAAGAGUGAUGCUGAGCAAAUCGCUUGAUCAUUGUCAGCAUCUGACUCACAUACUCUGUUUCCGUCCUGUAACACAUUAGGUUAGUGUUGGGAUGCUCUCUAAAUUUAUAGAAUGCACCAUAAGAGGAGCCCUCAAAGUAACAAAGGGAGUAUGAGAAGAAAUGGAUUUAAAUCUUGUUAGAUAAGUAAGCAAUUUAUUUAUCAACACAAGUAUAUGAGAAAAUUCUCAUUGGCGAGUUUAAAAGAGGUUAUAUAAAAUCCAUUUGCAAAAGAUGUUUCCUUUUUUCUUUUUCUUUUUUUAAUUUUUACUUAUGCAAGCUUGUGUGAAAUCAAAAACUUGAGCAAUGAUACUGGACAUCAAAUGUUGCUGACAAGAAGGCCAACCAGAGUAGAAAAAGAAAAAAGAAGGAAAAAAAGAACAGAAAGAGAGAGAGAGAGACCAAAACCAAAAAAUAAAUAAAUAAAUAAAUACAACCCAGAAAAAGUUGAGUAAACCCAAAUUUUGACAGAUCUGGCUGAAAGCCUAAUUUUGCUUGAUGUAUUUAUUGAUUAUCUUUUACACGAGUCAAAGAGAAACUUUCAUUCUUCAAAGUUAAUGUAUCUAGGUUCACUUUCCCAAGGAGCACAGUUUCUAAUAGACACAUAUGGUAAAUUCUCUUUCAGAUCUCAAGCUUAUUUUUCAUAAUUUGGGCUUUUAAUAAAGUCAUGGCCCUCCCAUUAUUUUCACACCCAUCAACACAUGAAAAUUUCAUUCAGAUCUUAAAAACCCAGCUUAUUUCCAUCCUUUAAGCUGAUACACAUGCAAAAAUUUCUCUCAGAUCUUAAAAAACCAGCUUAUUUCCGCACUCAGCUUAAUUUUCAUGAUUUGAGCUUUUCAUUUAUUCAUGGCCUUCCCAGUAUUUUCACAUGCAUCCUGCCAUCUCUUAGAGAGCCCAGGCAGUGAUCAGAAAAGCCUGGCAUAAACAACACCUCCUGCACCAUGUUAGGAAAUCUUGAACCAAACUCAUUCAUGAACUUGCCUCUGUCUAAUCAUUUGUAGGCCAGAUUCUCUUGUAUAUUGUGUGAAUAAGACUUCUAAUGGGAGGAUCAGCCAAGAAGGCUCAAAGUAUUGGCCAAGUCCAGUACAAUUCAACUGAGUCAUAUCCGCCUACAUCAGGUCUGAAGCAUCUUCAAUAUCCGAGUUAUGAUUCAACAUAGACUUGACCUUGAAUCAGCUGACUUGGCUUAUUUAUUGAAACAACUCACUUGACUCAAGUGAGUUUCAAAAACUGACGUCAAGUUAAGGCACAAAAAUGCCCUUCCUUCUGCCCAUCUUUGUUUCUUCGUAAUGUUUUUAUGGUGCUUUUAACUUGAGAGGCAAUAGUUUUGUUGCCAGUGGUCUUCCUUCCUCUGAUCUACUUCUUUGUUGUUGGUGGUGAGUCAAUGACAUGGUGUAGGUUAUUUACGCGUUAAUUGUAUAUUUAGAGAUUUUUUUUAUCAGAAAUAAAAGAUAUAUUAAAUAUGAUAAAAGAACAAGAGAAGGAUGAGAGGUCCUUCCCUCAAAAUAUAAAACUCGAUCAAAGUAAGACUAUACAUCUUCACUAGAUAAGGAGAACUAUACACAUAGGCAUACACAAAUGUCCUCAAAACCGAACUCGACUCCGUUCAAUGUUAUCCACCCCCUUUGAAUUACAAAUCAAAAGCCAACUAAGUUGAAUAACACUAAGUGAAACUCCUCUAAAAGCGACAGUACAAGAGGCCCAUAGAGAGGAAUAAACGUUAAGAAUAUUCCAUGACAUCCUCUCCAUUCUCCACUUUUCCUCAAAAAUCCCAACAUUUCUCACUUGCCACACAAUCCAAAGUACAGAGAGGGCAGCGAUUUGCCAAAGAUUCUUGCCUAUGAUGGAAGUCCCCAACCCUCUAAAUGAGAUAGUCAUCAUAUCACCAAUACUCCUGGGCAAAGCCCAAUCCAUCUUGGCCAGACUAAAGAGCUUAUGUCAAAGCCUCAAUGUUAAAGGGCAAUGUAGAAAAAGAUAAUCAAUUGAUUCUCCACUUCCCAUGCAUAAAAUGCACCAAUGAAGACUAAGAGAUUUGUCAGGUCUUCUCAAUGGUAGCAUGUCAUCAGUGUUUUCUUUUCCAAUGAAAUUCAUUUGGAAUUCGUGGGUGUAGCCAAAAGUGAGCUUCUUUGUUUGGGAGGCAACAUGGGAAAAAGCUUUAACCUUGGACCAAAUUCAGAAAAAGGGAUGGUCUUUAACAAAUAGAUGUUAUCUUUGUCAAAUGCAUGAAGAAUCCAUAGAUUGCAUCCUUCUCCAUUGUGUAAAGACAAGGGCUUUGUGGGAGAUGUUCUUUACUCUUUUUAAGGUAUCUUGGGUGUUUCCUUCUUCAUUUAGAGCAACACUUUUGGGAUGGAAUGGGUCCUUUGUGUGCAAAAAGCAUAAGAAAGUUUAGAGAGCAAGCUCUCAUUGAGGGUGGGGAUGUUUUUUGUACCUCCAUUUUGGCAGCUUUUUUUGUUUGAGCUAGGUAAGGCAAGUGUAUUUAUCUUAUAUAUCAUGGGUCGCUAUUUUGGCACCUCUUUUUAAUAUAUAUACUCUUAUCAAAAAAAUAUUUAGAGGUUUCAAUUUUUAUACUUCCUAUAUUAGCUUUCAUAUUUGAUCCUAGUUAUUAGGGAUUGACCAUUUUAAUUUCAAUAAGCAAGGAGAAGAUCUGUAGCUAUCACAUUUAGCUCCUUGAUUUUAGGGAUUUGCUUAUUAUCAUUGCUGCAAGUUAUGAUCAAAUUGUAAGGAUUUGUUUUGUAUUCUUCCUUCUAUAAUUUUUCUCUUUUCUUAUAUACAUUGUAAAAUCUAUUAAGUAAAUAUACAAAAAAUAAAUCUAUAUAAAUCAGCAAAGGCUCGACUUGGGCAAACUAUAAAUUGGAUAUUUGGUACAGUAUAUGGUAUUUUAUUAAGAGGCAUUAAGAGGCUUGAGCAGAGGAUUAAAUUGGGGAAAUAUCAAUUGAAUAGUUGCUAUAGUAUAUGGUAUUAUAUUAAAAAAGAUACAUAUAUAUUGUGUAUUUUAUUCGAUGUCUAUAUGGACAUGGUAAAUAUGAAUUGAAUAUUUGGUAUAAUAUGUAGUAUUUUUAUGAAUGUGGGUAUUGGAUAUAUAUAUAUAUAUAUAUAUAUGCUUAUAUGUGGGUAUUUUUUGAACUCAUGUAUUUAUAUGGAUAUUUUUAUGAAUACUAAUGGAAACAGCUAUUAUUUUAAAAUAUAUAUAUAUAUCAUUUAAAAUGAGGGUUUUGAACUCGUGUUUUUAUGACUAUUUGAUAUUAUCAUAUAAUCCUUAAUAUUAUUAUAUAUCAAUCCAAAAGCCUUUUUUUGUGAACUUUUUGGACAAUGUCAACUGUGUUGAAUUAUUUUAUUAAUUUUUUAAAAUUCAUCUAAAUGCAUUUAUUUUUCUCAUAAUAUUUGUAAUUUUGGCCUAUCUUUAUAACAUUUAGUUUAAAAUAUUUUGCAUAUCGUUUGAUACCAACCCAACUUACCAAGACCGAUGUUCCUCAGCACCUUCCGAGCUAAUGACCAAUACAACAACUUUGAACUAUGUAAACCAAGCAGAAUCCCUAGCUGGACUAUUAAAGAACUACAUGCUUCUAGUGAUUCUGGAAUCACCUAGUUUCACACUACAGCCCCUGAUAAAAUUGAGAUCUCCUUGAAAUGCCAAAUAGUGAAACCUGGCCCAAAGAUAAUUUUUUAUCUUCUCAAAGUUAUGCUUAGGAUAUAAUUUAUUGGCUAUAUAUAACUGUUUUUCAUGACAACAUUAAAAUAAGGCAACCUCAGUUUGUAUUCUGAAAAUGUAUGUAAUCUGUGGGAAUACUUCUUUUUGGAGUGGGUGGUUGUGAUCUUUUUCCAAUCAGAUCCAGUGGGCUGUUGUUUUGUAUGUGUGCUUGUGUUGCUUAUCAAGUUUGCUGCUAGACUCAAACCCAAAAUACAACCAAAUGAGAAAAGAUCACAAACAGCACGGUUCAAGAGGCAAAAGAGGUGAAGGACUCACUGGCCUGGAGGACGCUGAUGAUCAAGUUCAUUGUAUGGAUCGAUUACAAGCCCACGCACUCCAUGCCUUAGAACUGCAGAUUUUGCAAGAUCAAGAACCCAUUUUAUAUUUGGAAGAGAAUCUUUCUCGCACCUACUCAGCACAGCAUGUAAAUCAAUUCAAACAACUGUAAUAGUUCAAUAAACUUACAAGCAACAGUAGGAACAUAAAAAGGAACUGAAUAAUUUGAGUAAACAUCAUCAUCCAAGAGUAUAAAAGGGUUCACUGAAUAAACUCUGCUUCAGAUAAAUAAACUCAGCAAGAAAAAGUACACCAAUGAAUCUACCCACCUAAGAUAAAUUUAGUUUGCAUUUCAUAAGAGUCUUUUAAUUAAUUCACUAUAAAAUUCUUCAAAUAAAGGCACUCUAAAAGGAUAUCCAAGGGGACCAAUACCUAUAAAUCAUCAAGGUUGAUUGGCAGAAGAUUGUUGCAAGGAAAUUUUAUAUAUAUAUUUGGAUAGGUAAAUUUUGUGUCUCCACAGGGACUUGAAUCUGGAACCUCCCACAAACCCUCCCAAUUCUCCACCACUUGAGCCAUGCCUUAAGGGCAAGGAGAUUUUAUAAAUUAUGGAAUUAAGAUGGGUGUGAAAUGCUAAUUAUAAACAAAUCCUAGCCAGAAUAGACAAAGCAUGUAUUUAACAUAUGCAUUUUCAUUUUUUUCCCUUUUUUUUUUUUGUGGGAAGUGCUGUAAGAAUAUAAGGCAAACUUCAAAGCAUUGAAUCCAUAUGGAUCAACAAAACCUCAGAAAAGCCACCACAAAAACAAGCAAAAUUUAGUGGUUAAGGUGCUGUCUUUGUUGCUGUCAAAUGGAGAGAACAAGAAGAUUAGGGUAACUUUCACUUGCAGUAGGCAGACAUGGUAAUCUCUCUGAUGAAAAAGUUAAAUGGUGAAAUUUUGGUCAAAUUUCAUUACUGUGGAUGGAUGAAAGAUAACCAAGACAUCAGGCUUGAGGGGUACACGUCCUGAAGGAAAACAAAUCCCCAAGCUUUCCAGAAUUGAUCAAAUUUCAGGUGGCCAAGGCAUUUUGUUAAUCACAACAAUAGCCACACAUGUUCAAAACAGUUACACCCCUAAUUCUGACACACAUAAGGCAUGCAUAUAUUACUGUGGCAAGGCUAUUGGCAUGUAUGUCAAUAGACACAAAUUUUCAUUUUUUUUAAUCAUUAUUAUUAUUAUUAUUAUUUGACGUGUGUGUGUGUGUAUAUAGGAAGUAAUUUGACAAACUAGAAACAAGAGUGGAAAAAAAUGAAUGUGCAUGCAUGCACAAAUCUUGGGUUGGAUGUUAAUUUGUGAAAUGCCAUCAAAGAUGUGACAGGCACAGACACAAUAACACAGACAGACGAAUGCAUAGGCACACACACAUGCACAUGGAGACGAUAACACAGGCAUACACAGAUACUCACAGAGACAGGGAUGCAUGCAAAUACACACGCACAAACACAUACACAGGUAGACAUAGACAUGCACAUGCGUGCACACACACACACACAGAGACACCCAAAUAGACGUCUUUGCUAGUUAGGACAGUUAGCCACUAAGCUGCGAAGCUAAACAGUAAACACACUCACCCAUGCACAAAUUCACACACACACAUGCACAUGUCUUUGCCAGUUAGAACAGGGUUGGUUGUUAAUCAUUGAAGUAUAAACAGUAGACGCACAUGCACACAUACACGUCCUUGGUAGUCAGGACAGGAUGUAAUUAAUCCAAGAAGCAUAAAUAGCGAGGAGGUGAGACGAUGAGCACAUGCACAUGCUCACACACUGUAUUCUUUGCUAGUAAGGACAGACUUGGCAAGCUGGAAAUGCAGAAUUAAUCCAUGAUGCACAAACAAUAAGGAUGUGAGACACACACGCUACUCUUUGCUGAUUAAGAUAGGCUUGGCAAGUUGCAAAUGCAGCAUUAAUCUGUGAUGUGUAAAGGGUAAAGGAUAUGAUACACACUAUUUUUUGUUAGUAAGGACAGACUUGGCAACUUGGAAAUGCAGAAUUAAGGACAUCAUCCAGAAUUGAGUGAAGUGGAUAUGAAGUACAACCCCUUGCCACAUCAAUAAUCAGGUGCGCAAUCACUAAUCAUGGAAUUGAACUCCUAGGACAACUCUGCCUGAAAUAUGCACAGAGAAGUUGAAAAUUUAACUCACCGUAUAAGAUAAAAUGUUUCACUUAACCAUUUCUUCCCUAGUUCAAACUCCUCAACAGUCAUUCGUUCAAUAGAUUCCCCAUACCUAUGGUGAAGCAAGAGAAGAGUUAAUGAUCAUAGCAUGCACAAGUGAAUAUGUUAGUUAUAAAUAGUAAAAAUAAAAUGAUGCAAAUUUUUUUUUUUUGGAUAGGUAAAUGAGAGCUUGUAUUAGAAAAGCCUAGAAUCGGUGAAAACAAUACACACGAAGAAUACAAACAUCGCCCAAGUAAUUAGGCAAAAAGAAAGACAAAAAACCUUUCCCCUAACUAGACAAACAACCAUUCUAUAAAGUCAAACAUAGACAAAAAAUGAUCCUCUAAAUACACCCUAGCCCAAUUCACAAAAGUAUACAAAAAAGAAUGUUUUAUGGCUUGGUCGGACAAUAUGAUAUCAUUGAACACUCUUUCAUUUCUUUCCUUCCAUAAAGUCCACAUUAAGCAUCAAGGGGCAGCCCUCCAUGCUUUCUCCCUUCUCUUGCCCACAAAAGCACCAUGCCAACUAAGCAAAUUCCUUUUAAUUGAGGAGUGCAAGACCCACUGCA
rnacentral:lncRNA from 1 species